GGAUCUCCAACGGUGGAUGAUUAAGAGGAACAGGCCAAACGGUGUGGUGGAAAUCACAGGAUCUGAUCACAUGGUCAUGAUUUCUAAGCCAUUAGAGCUGUGGGUGCAUAUCCAAAGAAUUUCUGAGAAAUAUUCCUAAUUGUUAAGUUAUUUUGUAAAAAUAAAAGCCAUGGAAAUUGGAUUUCUUAUUAGGCUAAUAUGCAUCAUGUAAUCGUUGUCUUCUAGAUAUCCAACCAGACACUAAAGCAUCAUUUGUCUGGAACCAAUAAUGUAGAUACAUCCAGGAUAUUUAAUUUCAGAAAUUAAAUAAUUUAGCAUCAUUUGCCUUGGAGUUUAGUGGAUGUGUGACCUUUUUGUAGUGAACUUCAACAUUUGUUACAAAUUCUGCUCUGGACUUUACGUAUGAAUACAAUCACACCUGCCCUAUCCAUCUACCUUCUUGAUUAAGAUAUUACAUAUAUGUAUACUAUAUAAGAAAAAUAUAUUAGAGAACUUCAAUUAAGAAAUAUCUAAAAUAUGCUUAGUUGAUAAACACGUUUGUAGAACGCACUUUGUAAAAGAUCCAAAUUAUCUAAUUUUUAGAUAUUCCUUUAAGGAAAAUGUCUAUAAAAAAUUACUUGAAUCGAAAACCAUGUAACAAGCAGCUCAAUUCAAUAGUAGUCAUUUUAUUGUUUCCUAAAAAUACCGUAUUCGUCUAUUUUGUUACUCACAUCUAGAUGUUUUAAUGAUUUUCAAUUUAUCGAACUUUUUGUGAAGAUAAUCUAUAAAUAAUAGACGGUUUGAAUUGCAUAAUUAAAAUUCACAGUGAACUUUACAAGUUAUACCUCAAUAACACGAGAAGAUAUUUUUGGUUUGAUAAAGACCCUCCUCUUAAACAAUUCCAAUUAUAGUACACAUGGUUGGCGAAUUAGAGUUAAAAUAUUCCAUGAAAACAAAUUAGGGACAACUAGUAAAAAAGUAGCUGAAAUAUCCUAAAUCCUAAUUAGCUUUUCAGAACAGAAGCACAAACAAUCUAUUUUUUUGCUUUAUAAAGUUUGCCACAUAUUACAAACUCUUGUUUUAUAAACAAAGGUAAGAUCAUUGCCAUUAAGAAACAGCAAAAACACUUGAGUUUUUUGCCUCAAAAAGCACAAAUAUAGAACAAUGCCUUAUGAGCUGUUUUCUAUUAGUGAAAAUGCAAUCCCAGAGACAUGAACUUAGUUAAGGGAGCGGGGAGCGGAUGUGCUCCGUCCUCCGCAUCCGAGUUCAAAUUCUCCUCCUCUUGUAGUUUAGAUUAGAUUAAAGUGAAAUAUCGUUUGUAUUAAAAUAAAAAUAAAAGCAAUCCCAUGAGCUAAGUAACCAAAUUAACCAGCCAUAUUGAAGCAAACAGUACCAUACUAAAAUUCCCAGAAGCAUAAAAAAUAAAUAUAAAUUAAAUUAAAUUUAAGCAAUGGAGAUUGAAAAUUGACAAUGGUCUCAAACAUUACCAUAUCAGCUGUAAAUCAUAUGGCCAAAAAAAUUCCAUGACUAAAUUCACAAGCAUAUAUAUGGGUAGAUUUUUCUCACAAAUGAAUAAAGCUACAAAUCUCUACUGGAAAAAGGAAAUUAAGCUCUUAAAAAAGUACAGUUAAUUUGCACCAACCUGAAGCUUUACAUGAGAGAUAUGAAAAUGAUGAAUAUAACUUAUGGAAGAAAACCAACAAAAUGAACUGGAACACUGCUAUAAGCUGAAUAGCUGGUGAAUGGAGACAUGUUGUGCUGAAGGGCAAUCUCCACUGCUUGAGCUACAAGGAGGACAAACUCCAGGGCCAGUUUCAGCAGCUCUAGACACAUUUCCAGCCUCUGGAUCACCAUGGCUAGCUGUCGCUUGAGCUUGAAGAUUAUUUUUGUGUCUUUUUCUUCUUCCUCCUAUAUAUUCUCCCCUUAUCCCUCUUCCUUAUCCAUAUUCAUUAACAAGUCCCUUGCAUUUAUAUACUGCAAAAUUAACAUGAACAGCAAAACGCGUAGAUGAAUUAAUGGAUAAUAUCUAGUUUACAGGGGAUUCGAAUUUGGGAUAUCUUCUUAAUAUUUAUAAAAAAAAAGUGCCACUAAACUUAAUAUUUAAUUUCGAAUGACUUAAUAUGUAAUUUUCAAGGAAUUAUACGUGUUCGGAGUUUAUUUACAGCAUUAGAUGCAAAGAAGGAUCUCAGAAAAUUUUGUUAGGAGUGAAAAGAGAAAAAUAUAUUGUAGUUUGAAGUUGGUACUUACCUUAAUACCUUAAUAUGGCUUUUGGAGGAUGCCAAGGGACACCAGCAUCUCUCUCUCUUCUCUCUCUUCUCUGUCUCUAUGUGAAAAUGUAUAUAAUCCCAGUGAAACCACAAGAAGUAUUCUUAUUAAGCCAAGCCGAAUAUCAUUCUUAUCCGUUAAGAUUCUGUAAAUGUCAAAUAUGAUGAUGAUGUGGGUCCAAGUCUACAAGAGGAUGAAGAUGAAAGCAUCUAACAAUAGGCAAAUACGGCAUCUUCGAAACCAAUAAUGCGACACUAAGGUUUGGUGGUAGUAGCACAGUGUAACUAACAAAUCGUUGGUGAACAUAAAGCAGAGCAUUACACUAGUGCUAUUACAGCAGUAGCCCCCUUUUAUAACAUCAAGAGCAGUGAUAGCCGUUGAUGUACGUGCCAACUCAUCUUCAUCAGUGGUUUGGAGUCAUCCACAUGUCGAGAGUAGUGGCAUGCAUUGAUAUUGUCCAUACCCUGUCAACGUUUCAUGCUUUUUAGAGUUACUGUUGAUAGCAUUAUCCUUAGCAUAUAAAGGGAAUUCUUUAAGACUCGCACACAUUUCAUAUUGAAUUCGAUUUUGGUGAUUUUUUAUUCUUUUGCUUUUAUAUAUUUUAUCUCAAGUCUAUAUUGUUAGGCGUCCAUGGGAGUUGAGAUUGACUGGAAUUUGCCCGAAGAAGAUGUUGAUGGUCUGAGUCAAGAUAACACUAAUAUAUUUAAGAGUGCAAGCUUUAUUAAUGAAGACGUAGACUUUAGUGGAAUGAAAUUCCAUUCAGAUGACAAGGCGUAUGAAUUUUAUUAAUGAUAUUGUUUUAAUAAGAUGGUAAGAAAGUUGUGAAUUUUCUUUUAAUAAAUUGAAUAUAUUUAAUAAGGAUAAACUUGAAAAGCAAAAGUUAGCUUGUAUAAUAUAUUAAUGACAUUGUUUUAAAUGUAAAGAAAUUAACACAUGUCAAGCAAAAAAGAGAGAAGGUCCAAAGGAGAAGGUUAGAGAAAGAUUGUUAGCAUUCCCUAUUGAUACGGGCCUCCUAAAACAAAGUCUUCAACGAAAAUACUAAAAAAAAAGGAGCAUAUAUAUUGGAUUCAUCAAAUUACUAAUUAAAAUAAAGCAAAAACAAAAAGACAAUAAACCUAUGAUAUGCUAGGUUAUUAAUCAAGAGCUCCUAUUAUAUGUAAUUUUAAUAUAUUAAUAUUUAUGUGGAAUCAACUUAAACGAAGUGGUGGAUAUAAUUUUUUUUAGGUGGAUAUAUCAUAUAUAGUACCCGUUUGAUAUUACUUAUUUGGGGCUAUAAGUAUUAUUUUAAAAUUUUAGAAAGCCCAACCUAUUUGGAAAGAGAUAAUAAAAUCACUUAUUUUGAGUAAUUGCUGUGAGAGAAAACAAUUAGAAAAAGCAUGUGAUGAGCUGCUUUCAUUUUUUUAUUAUGUGGAAAUUAAUUUUGAAAAGACGUUGGGUUUAAUGAAACUUCCAAAAUUCCAUAAAUGACCCAGUCUUUUUUUUUUUUUCACGCUCUCGUCUCUAUUCUCCUUCCCAUCAUUCGUCUUUACGCCCUAUCUUCCACGUUUCUCAGUCCAGAGCUAUCACUCUUCUCCUUCUCUUUCAUUCAUUCUUCAAUUUUUGUUGUUGGAUCGAUUAAAGUGUUGAAGAAUAAAGUCUCACAUCGAAAACUUGACAAAAUAAAAUAUAACAUAUAAUGAAUGAUUCUACUACUGAUUAUACCGAGGCCUUUUGUGAUAAAACCACACACCUACUGGGCUUUGUAGGUGGUUAAGUUGGGGACAAUAUCGGUGUUGCUAGUAGUGGGUCAAUGACCCGUCUCUCUGAAAUUUAACAUGGUAUCAUAAUGGGUUUAUUGUCUGGGUCUGAAUUACUGGGCCUUUACCCUUCCUCCUUACUUGGGCUUGAAUAUUUACCCUUACUCCUUACCUAAUAUGUGGUAUUUACGUGUUGGACUUGAAUGUUUGACUCCAUUGUGGACUUGGCUCCACGUGUGGCACACUACGUGGUGGUCCCACGUGAGGGGAAUGGUUCCACUACUAAUUGCACCGAUGCCUUUUGUGAUAAAACCUCACAUUUAUUGGGCUUUGUAGGUGGUUUAGUUGAAGACAAUAUCGGUAUUGCUAGUAGUUGGCCAAUGACAUGUCUCUCUAAAAUUUAACAUGGUAUCAGAGUGGGUUUAUUGUCUGGGUCUGAAUUACUGGACCCUUACCCUUACUCUUUAUCCAACAUGUGGUGUUCACAUGUUAGGCUUGAAUAUUUACCCUUACCCUUUACCUAAUAUGCAAUGUUCAUGUGUUGGGCUUGAAUGUUUAACUCCAUUGUGGACCCUCCACGUGUGGCACACUACGUGGUGGUCCCAUGUGAGGGGAAUGGUUCUACUACUAAAUGCACCGAGGUCUUUUGUGAUAAAAUCCUACACCUAUUGGGCUUUGUAGGUGGUUUAGUUGUGGACAAUAUUAGUGUUGCUAAUAGUGGGCCAAUGACCCGUCUCUAUGAAAUUUAACAUAAAGUACUCUCUAGAAGCUGUAAAAUUCAAGUAGGAGACAUAUUAAGUUUAUUUUUCUUGUCAAUUUCUUUCUUCUCAGUUAGGGUUAGAGAAGCUUCUCAAUAUAUAAUGGGUUUAUUGUACAAACCAAGCUGAUAAACCAUUAAAUUAAUCAAUUGCGUUUUUCUUUUUAAGAAUUUAUGAGCCUACAUCAAUGAUCCCUAGCUUGUUUGUUUCAAUCAACCAAAUAAGUGAUUAAAUUGUAUUUUGGCUUCUUUUAUUUUGAAUCUUGUGAUAGCUAUAAACACAACCUGAAUCUUGCAACUUCUUUCAAUCCAUAAACUCAAUUCAUUUUCUUUGCUUUUGUCUUUUCUUAAUAAAGUAAGCCUGCACUUUUGGGUUUGGGUUCAUCAAGUCCAGUCAUGAUGCUGAGCAGCAAGCAACGCCGACCUGCAGCCAGCACUUGAUUUCCUUUCUUCACUUGUGAUAUUUGUGGCAGUAGAAUGCAUGGUACAUAUAUAUAUAUAUACAGAGAGCUUCCAUUGAGGGAUCCCUCAAAUAAGCUUAUUUGAGGGACACCUCUUGUAGGCCCCACUCCGGAUUGUAUUUCACUAAUUCAAACCGUCUAUUUUGUAGAUACUCAUUCAAAGAUCAUCCCUACAAAAAAUCACUUGAAUCCAAUAUCAUUUGACCACUCAAUUAAGUUAUUGAAAUUUUAGCAUUUUCUUGAAGUACCGUGUUCAUUGAUUUUGUAAGACACAAUUGGAUGUCGAAACGGUUUUCGAUUUGUCUAAUUUUUUGUUAAGAUGAUCUAUGAAUGAAGACCUAAAAAAUAGAUGGUUUGGAUCAUUGGGAAAAAAAUUGUAGGGUACCCUAAAGGGCGUCCCUCAAAUAAUUUUAUUUGAGGGAUUCCUCAAUAGAAGAGGACUGUAUAUAUAUAUAUAUAUAUAUAUAUAUAUGUUUUGAAUGAACAGUAUAGAUGGUUUCCAUGCUGUUAUUUGUAACGUAUUCAAAUAUGGAUGAUUGGGAUGACAGAGCAUGGUUUGUGAUCUUGAUUAGAAAUUUCUUUAACCAAGUCUAGUGUUUAGUUGAUCUUGCUAGAUUUUUGUCCUCAUUUUCCCGUUCCAAUUUUGUGUGAUGUAUUUGAAUUUGAAAGAUUGGCAUGUUAAAGAAGGAUUUGUAAUGUUUACUAGAAAUAUGUUCAUGUGUGCAGAUAAAGGUUAUAAUUUGGUUAGGCUCAAAUCAAGAGGGCAAACUUGAAUCUCAGAGUGUGUUGGUCAACUAAUGGAUUUUAAUUAAUGAUUUUUUAGGAGAACUAGCAAAUUAGUUGAUUUAUGUUAGUUAUCAUUAAGUCCAAGCAUUAGUAUUUUGUACGAUAUAUAAUACUGAGUUUAUAAAACCUUAUAUUUAUAACAUUAUUACUAAGAGAUGAAAUUUUCGUACAUGGUUAAAUUUUAUGUACUAUUUAUUAUUGAUAGUACCUUAAUGUUGCAAUGAUUUAACAAUUUCAAUAUGAUAUUUUAUUUAUUUUAUGAUUAAAAAAUUUAUUAGGUGUGAUGGUUAAGAAACAUAUUUAAGUGAAAAUGAAAAAGCUUUUCUUUUUUAUCAAAUACUUGAAUAGAAAUGUCUUUCAACAUGAUACCAUUUUUAGUUAUUAUAUACAGCUCACAAUAUUUUUACACAAAAAGUUACCAGACACUUAUAAACUGAUUAUUGUAUUAACAACACUUAUAACAAAAAGUUUACCAAACUGCAAUUUUUUUUUUUUUUACAGCUGAUUUCUCUCACAGUAAAUCUGACAAUGAUUAUUUUUGCAGCACAACAAUACCAAACUAACCCUAAAUUAAAACAAAUAUGUGACAUAAUAAAACAUAAUAUAUAUGGUGAAACAAAAUUUUGGGGCCCUCCUAAAGGUGGGACGCUAAUAUAAGGAUCAAAAUUAUUUUAGGCUUUCUUUCAAGGCUUAUUCGUAUUUUCGUUUUAGUUUUAUUUAGCCAAUUAUGAUUUUUCAACAUUCUAGAUAGACCAAACAGUUUGAAUUUGUGCAUGAGAAUUACUUCUCCAUAUAAUCACUGUACGGGUCUGUUUGAGAGUGUUUCUGAAAGAGCUAAAAGUGUUUUAUGACAACCAAAAGCCUUUCUGGCUUAUAGAAGCAUUUUUCCAAGAAGCAUUGCCAAGUGCUUUUCCAGGAAACACUUCCAAGUGCUUUUCCACGAAGCACUUGGAUUUCUUAUGAAGAUUUCAACAUCUUUAUAAUAAAAGCAUUUUUGCUAUAAGCACUUAUGAGUAGAAGUGCUUUCUAGAGAAGCAAUCUCAAAUUAGCCCAAGUGGUUUUAAGUGAUUUUAUGGAGAGAAUCGCUUAAAAUCACUAAUGCUUCUUCCCAAAAAUGAUUUUGGCAUAUCUAAAAUCACUCCUAAACGAACCCUUAAUAUGUACGUGAAAGGAGAUUUGAACUUAAAAAUCCUCUGAAAUUAUAAAGAGAAAUAUCAGGAAAUCAAGAGUUUGAUUGCCUUAUAUUUUUCGUAGUUUUAGUUUGAAUUGUGAGAAAUAUAAAAAGCAGACCAAAAUAACACUAGGGCUGUUUGAAUUCGAAUCUCAUAGUUAUAGGGCAUGUGGCAUGUAGCCGUUGAAAUUUGAAUUUACAGUCAUUAGUAAUAUACCCCUCAUAUUUCCUUUUUUGACCAAAAAGCCCUCGUAAUUCAAAUCCCAAAACCGCGACUUCAUUUGCGGGAUGCGCAAUUUCAAAUUUAAGAUUACAUCUCAACCGUCCCUUCAAGUCCUUUAACCUUUUAGCUUUCAGAGCUCUGUUCAAAACUCCGAACAACUUUGAACUUCCACAGCGAGAGAGAGAGAGAGAGAGAGAUAGAGAGAGAGAGAGAAAUGCUCGAGCUCAAAACCAACAGCACAAAAAGGAAGAGAUGAGCUAUUGAAUCAAGACCCACUUCCAGAGAUUCGUCAGCAAAAUCAAUAAUAGCAAUUCGACAGCUUCAUAUUUUGUUUUUCAAUUCUUCUUUCAGGUACGUAUUUACAUAAUUUUCACUAAUAAAUCCAAAAAUAUGUAAAUAUGUUUCUCUGAUAUUCCCAUUUCCUUGUCUUUGUUGAAUUUCUGCACAUCAGGAUGUUGAGGGAUUUCAAAUUCCUCCGCUCAAAUUCCCAAAAGAAAGAAGAGCCCGAGAACGUGCCGCCGAUGAACCCAAAGGACUUAUCGGCGAUCCGAAUCAGCUCCGAGUCUUCGAGAGCUCCAUUUAACCCGAUUCAAGAGCUCGCUCAGCUUCCCAAACCAGAACAAGAAGUGGGUAUUCGGAGCAGGGUUGAAAAGACACCAACUAAGGCUUCCAAGGCUAAAACUUCUGAUCCCACGUUGCCUCUUCGGACCCCCGACAAGCACGGACCUGGGUUUUCUACCCGGAAACGAUUUGGCUGGGCCCAGAAGACUGAACCCAGUUGUAUGACCACCAGUGAUUCGCAUGAAGUUGGGGCUAAUUGUUCGACCCAAGUGAGCAGAGGAGGUGGUGGUACUGGAAAUGGGGGUUUGGCAAAUGUGACUCCUCGGGUAAUGAGGACAGCUGGGAGGGCUGUUUCGAGUUAUUCGGAGAGUAAUUCGACGCAGACAACACCGACCAAGAGUGUUUCAAAGCCUCCAAAUUCGGGUUUUCGGAAUAAAGUUGAUGGAAGUGUUGGUCCUCGAGGAGGGAACUAUGCCGCAAUGUAUAAAGGGAUUCCCAUUUCUUGUGGUCCAUCUACGGUGGUUAAUACAGUGGAAGUGCCUCACUUUGAUCUCAAGGAAGAUCCCUCUUUCUGGAUGGAUCACAAUGUACAGGUAAAAAGCUCAGUUUGUAAUCCAAUUUGGACAUACAUUUAUUGUUUCACGAUUGAGCUUAUUUUGUAUUCAAGUAAAAGGCAAAAAUAUGUUACAAAUGAGCAAUAGUGGAUUUUUCGUUUAAUGGUUUCUAGAGUUUUUAUGUUCAUUCUAUUUUUCUAUUUUUAUGAUUGAAGGAAAUGGAUUGGGCCAAUAAAAUUUGCAAACUUUCUGUAGUAUAUUGCAAGUUAUGCUAAUGGGAUUGUAAAUUUGAUUUAGGUUCUUAUUCGUGUCCGUCCUCUCAAUAGCAUGGAGCGGAGUAUGCACGGUUACAGCAGGUGUUUGAAGCAAGAAAGUGCUCAGACAAUUUCUUGGAUUGGGCAACCAGAAAGUCGGUUCACAUUUGAUCAUGUAGCCUGUGAAACAGUUGAUCAGGUGUGAUUCGGGACAAGAUUAUAUUCUGAUAUACUAUUUUUUUUUCUUAAGCUUCUACUCAUUUGUGCUAGUUACAUGUGGUUUUUAAAUUUGUGAGUUUUGCAGGAAAUGCUUUUCAGGAUGGCUGGUCUCCCGAUGGUAGAGAAUUGCUUGUCAGGGUAUAAUAGUUGUAUGUUUGCCUACGGUCAGGUAAUCUCAUGGAGUUGGGUACUGUUUAACCAGGAACAGAGUGCACCGUUAGUAAUGUGAAGUUAAUGCAACCGUGAAAGUCACACUUAUGCUCUGCUGCAUUUGGCCCUCAUUCUUAUCAUCGAUUUACAUGAGCACUGGUUAAACUCGACUUGCUAUUACCUAGCAGAGCUAUGCAAAAUAUUGUAUUAGGGAAAGUAAGAUGGCUUAAAUUUCUCAUCUAGCGCCUUGAAUUUUAGAUGGAGGCCAGAGAUAUCUUUGAUGCCUACCUAGUCCUAUUUGUAUAAUCCAAUUUCUCUAUACAUUUAUUCUGUCUAGUAUGUCAUUCCUAUUAUUGCUUCACAUGGUCAAAAUAGCAUGAAUCAUAUGGCAGAAAUUUGCCUACCAUGAAGGCGUAGAUAACAUGGAUGCGUAUGCAAUAGCAUGUUGUAUACUUCUCAUAACUGAAAGAUUCUUAUUUAAUUGAAACAGUUUAAGCAUAUGGUAGUUUUGUAUUAUUCCAACGUGUUUAUAAUGUUUGGGAUUUGGUCUUGCAGACAGGAAGUGGAAAGACAUAUACAAUGCUUGGGGAGAUUGAAGACUUAGAAACCAAGCCCAGUCCACACCGUGGAAUGACACCCCGCAUUUUCGAAUUUUUAUUUGCAAGGAUUCAAGCCGUAAGUUUUCUUAAAAACUUUUUUCUACUUUAUCUCUUAGAUUAUACGUGAGUACAUAGAAGUUUUUCACUAUAUGAUUUUUACUUCAUCUUUGUAUAUUCAGGAAGAGGAAAUCCGGAGGGAUGAGAAAUUAAAAUACAAUUGCAAGUGCUCUUUCUUAGAGAUUUACAAUGAACAAAUUACGGAUCUCCUUGAUCCAUCAUCUACCAAUUUGCUUGUAAGUUGAUUCUUUUACAAAUGCAUGACGUUUGAUUAUCUUGAAGUAUUUCUCAUUAUGUUAUCAUUUACCUUUUGUUUUAAGCUGCGGGAGGAUGUUAAGAAGGGUGUUUACGUAGAAAAUCUCUCUGAAUUUGAAGUUUGUACUGUGAGCGAUAUCCUGAGGCUUCUAAUCCAGGUUUCCACUCAUGGAUCAUAAUCUUUCUCAGUUGUAGGCACACGAUUCUCUUUCUGCGUAAUGCACACAUGCAGGCAUGUGACUGAAUUAAACUGUAAUCUGUUGCACAUAGGGUUCUUCAAAUAGGAAAGUUGCUGCAACAAACAUGAAUAGAGAGAGCAGUCGUUCACACAGUGUCUUUACUUGUGUAAUUGAGAGUAGAUGGGAAAAAGAUUCCACAGCUAAUCUACGUUUUGCUAGACUGAACCUAGUUGAUCUGGCUGGUUCAGAAAGGUAUGUUUGUCAGACCCAAGCUUGUUGUAUAUAUAAUUAUAUAUAUAUUUGCAUGUCAAUAACUCCUGACCCAAUUGUUUUUCUGUAGGCAGAAAGAUUCUGGUGCUGAGGGUGAACGGUUAAAGGAAGCUGCUAAUAUUAAUAAAUCACUAUCUGCACUGGGGUAUGUUUUUUUAAUUCCUAUCUUGGUUCCCCUAUGCGUAUUCAUGUGUUUCUUGUUCUAGCCCUUCGUAAUGUUAAUGGGUGUUAUUUCAUUUGCAGUCAUGUUAUAAUGGUUCUAGUGGAUAUGGCACAUGGGAAGCUGAAACAUGUACCAUAUAGAGACUCUAGGCUAACCUUCCUUCUACAGGUUAUUUGUAAUUCCACCUUCUCUUCCUUAAUCAACUGUAAAUUUCUUAGACAGAAUGUUACUCUUGGUACCACAUAAAUGCAGGACUCACUCGGUGGAAACUCCAAAACAAUGAUCAUUGCAAAUGUCAGCCCUUCUAUCUGGUUUGUUUUCUCUUCUAUUUUAUUUUAGUUAGUUUUCUAAAAUCAUUUGAAUUUAUACACUUCGUGACAAAACUUUGAUGAACCUUUUUUUUGUAAAUUUUACUAAUAUUUGGUCUAUUGGUUACAGUUGUCAAGCUGAAACACUGAAUACCCUUAAGUUUGCUCAGCGAGCAAAGCUUAUUCAAAACAAUGUAAGCAUCAUACUGUAACUAGUGUUUUUUAAAUUAUUAAGCAUCAGUCAAUUCAUUGACCAAUAUAUUUCUUUCUUUGUCACUGCGCAGGCUGUGGUGAAUGAAGAUGCUACAGGCGAUGUCAUUGCCCUACAACACCAAAUACGGCUUUUAAAGGUGGUGCUGAUUAUCCCUGUUCUUUUAUGUUCUAUAUAUCAAAUAAUUAAUAGUUCAAAUGGUGUGCUUUCUGGAAUAGGAGGAGCUUUUCAUUCUUAAGCGUCACAAUGUCUCCCGAUCUUUAUCGUUUGGUUCGACCAAUAUUGAAGACACACAAGUACGAAAAAUUGAUUGUAAUGGAAAUGUAUGUGAAAUGGACCUCGAGUGUGAUGAUGAUUUUCUGGAAAAUGGAUCAAAAGGAACUGUGAGACUUUCCACCAAACAGGUAUGGUUGCUUUGCUAGCUUCUAUGUUGUCUAGAAACUGAUCAACUAAAUACCUAAACAUGUGAAUAAAUCUAUGUGUGUGUCUAUGACUGUUUCUUCUUUAGCAUCAUGCUAAACAUGCUAAAUAGCUGGUUGUUCAUGUUAAUGACAUUACAGGGUGCACAUAUAUUAGGAAUGUCUCAUAUAUAAGCAUCCCAAGCAACAGAAGAAAAACACUUAAUCACUGUUAGAUUACACCUUUCUAUUUUUAGUUGUGGGACUGCUGUACUAUUCUUGGGUUUACCAUGAGCCAUGUCACUAGAUUUUCCUUGUUUUUGGAAUCCUCACAUUGGCUAAAUAUUACGGUGAAUCAGUUAAAAUCUUUGGAGACAACACUUGCGGGUGCUUUGAGAAGGGAGCAGAUGGCAGAAACUACCAUCAAGCAACUUGAAGCUGAAAACGAGCAGUUGAACCGUUUGGUAUUUGUGCAUUCUUUCUUUAUUAUUUUUCCAUAUGGAGAUUUGGAGAUUGUGGCUUAACUCCUUAGCAUUCAUUACUCUCAGGUUCGUCAAAGAGAGGAAGACACCAGGUGCACUAAAAUGAUGCUUCGGUUUCGGGAAGACAAAAUUCAGAAAAUGGAGUCACUUAUUAGUGGUUCUAUUCCUGUGGAGACUUACUUACUGGAGGAGAACAAAACACUCUCUGAACAGAUUCUGCUACUUCAAGCAAAACUUGAUAAGAAUCCCGAAGUAACUCGCUUUGCAUUGGAGAAUAUAAGGCUUUUGGACCAACUUAGAAGGUAGUUUUUUUCAAAAUCAAUCAAUUUAAGAACUCUCCUAUCCAUUAAACUAAUCUCUUCACUGUGGCAUGCACAGGUUUCAAGAUUUUUAUGAAGAAGGGGAGAGAGAGAUACUCUUGGAUGAGGUAUCUAAACUGCGAGAUCAGGUACUUAAAGAAAUAACAAAAAUAUGUUUUUUAAUCCCCAUUUUAGCUGUUGUUUAUGGCUGGUAUAACAAAUUAAAUACAAUUUUUGUUUUCAGUUGCUUCAAUUUCUUGAUGGACACUCUAAGAACCAUAGCAUUCCAAAUUUUAGUAUGAAUCCACAGGUUGGUUACUAUAAUUCUAUUUGGUAAUUCUUUAUAUUUUAAGUUUCAUUCAUUUCGGAAUAUAUGGUGUCAAUGAAAGGAAAAUGGGAGUGGAUUUCUGUUUGUGGCUUCCUCAAGCAUUUUCCUUACCUCAAGCUUCCCCAGGAGCCAAAUCCAGGGCUAGCUAAUAUUAAUAUACUUAUGUUUGUGUGUUAUCUUUUUUUGCUAAUUAUAUAUCUUUUAUUGAAACAGGAAACCAUGUGCACGAACAAAGAGAAUGAUUCCCUCAAUUCAGAGGUAGAACUUACUCAUGUCUCUAAAUAGCCGCUUCAUUAUUUUACUCAUAUUAACAUAUUUGGUUUCAUGGUUUCAGUUAAAGAAUACUCUCCAUGAGUUAGAGGAAUGCAGGCGGAACUUAAAUAAUUGUAUGGAGGAUAAUGCAAAACUCAGCAGGUUAGAAAAUUUUGUCCUCCUGUUUUAUCAAUACAUGGGGUUAUUGAUACACUUAGUUUCUGCCUUUAUAUUGGAAUCCUUAAUUCUUAAAGUAAUAUACUCAUGUGGUUUUGUUCUUUUCCAUAUGUUGCAGGGAAAUUGAUGAUCUGCGCACAAUGCUGAACAAUCUCAAGCCCCUUGAUCAACACGGCGGUGUAGCUUUGGAGGUAUUUCUGUCUUUAAAAUGAGAAUUUGUUUUAUGGCUGCCAGUAAAUUGUUUUAUGGUAGAAUGCAAUAGAGCCUUAGUGUAAUGAAUCCUGUGGCCUAGUUUUACAAUUCUUUAUGGCCGCCAGUAGAUUGUCUAUUCAGGCUUAUGUGACACGUGUGUGUUUGCUUUGCAUCUUCUGUUGUGUGCAUAGGCAUGCUUUAGAUUCUUGUAUUUUAUGUACAAGGUUUACAAGGAAGCAGUAGAUAUUACUUUCAGGAUUCACUAAAUCUACCUUUUGAAUUCAGGUGCACAAUGCAGUUCAAAUUGAGGAGAUGGAACGGAAGGAUGACCCUCUAAGAAAACAUGCGGAAGAGAUUUUGAAUUUACAGCUAGAAUUGGAUAUUCUGAAUAUCAUUCUUAAAGAAGAGAGGACUACUCAAGAAGAAAGGGUGUUUUUCUUAAAUAGAGAUCUUCAGCUGGCAAAUGAAGAACUUUUUCUGAUAAGCAAACAACAUGAUGAUGCAAACAGCAAAUUGCAAGAGGCUAAGUCUAUUAUUGAAGCUCUCGAGUCUCAGCAAAUUCUGUCAAUCAAUGAGCUUGAGGAUAUGAGGAAUAGUAACAAUCAUUAUGUGCAGCUUUUGAGUGAACAGGAGCUUGAAUUGAAGGCUCUGAAGGAACAACGUAAUUUUAAGGAGUUUAGAGACUUAUCACCUUUGAACUGCUCAAACAAUCAUGACUCGCGAUUACAGGGAAAUUUGAAAAGGAUGCAAGAUUCCCUUGAAAAAGCAAAGAGACUGAAUACGUGGUACCAAAGUGAUCGUGCAUUUCAAGUGUCAAAUGAAGAAGAAAUGGAUGAAGUCUGCAGGCAGGCUGAGGCUGAAACUGCUGAGGUGAUUGUCUGUAUGCAGGAAGAACUUGGCAUGCUUCAGCAGCAAAUUCAUGAUAGCCAUUUGAAAGAAUUGGAGAUGAACAAAAAUGUAAUGAUUCUGGAAGCUGAACUGAAGGAUGUGCGAGAAAAGUUGUACAUGUUGAACAAAGAUAAUGAAAGGUUAGGUAAAGAGCUUGAGGAGAAAGAUGGGGAAGCAAGAACAUUAUCAGAAGAAUGGGCAUUAUUGUCCAGUGAGAUUGAAGAAGUUCUUUCUGAUGGGUGUGAGGUACUAGAUGGUGCCUCUGAUCAACUUGACCUUAUAUCCCAUUCCUUUCCGCAGAAAAGGAUUUGGAUUUUGCAACAAGUUGGAAGAAUUGUACAAACCAUCUGUGAAAAGGAAUUUUUGAUUGAAGAAUUGAGGAAGUGUUUAGAGGAUGCAAACAACAAGAAAAGUAAUGUGGAGUGCAUGCUGAAGUCUUUGAGAGGAGCGGCACUAGUUAUUACUGAAGCACAUGAGCAGGAAUGUCUUGAAAAGGAGACAGAAAUGGUCAUGAUGACAACGCAGUUGAAUGCAAAGACAUCUACAGUGGAAAAGCUGGAGAAUAGAGUAAAGCUGCUUGAAGAUCAGAUAAGAAAAACAUCAGUUUGUGCAACAGGUGCUUUUGUUGUUGUGAACAGAUUAGAAGAGAUGAAACUUGAUUAUGAAGACGCUUUAAAGCAUAAGAAUAUUCAGCUUAGUGAAUCAGAAGACUUGAUCUCAUUGAAGGUUGCCGUUCUCAAUGAUCAGGCAACUGUGAUAGCAGAAGGAGAGAAAAAAAUUCAGUCUCUAAGUGGGGAAGUUGAAGAGUGGGAGAGAACCUGCACCAAUCUAAGGCAGGAGCUUUCUGAGGAGCGGCAACGUACUUGCACUAUAGAACAGAAGCUUGAAGAUGUUGAAGAGAAAAACAUUUUGAUGACAAAGGAGAAACUAGCUGAGCUAAAAACUGGUGUAUCCACACUCAGGUCAUGCAUGAACACACAUGCGGAGCAUCAGACAAGUUCUGAAAUGAAGAAUUCACAAGUAUCUUGUAAGACUUCCAAAGGAGAAGGAGGUGGAUGGGUAAGUUAAUGCUUUGCUUCCUGAUAGCUUGAUCUUGAGGUUCACGUCUAUGUUGUAGAGGAAUUCUUUGAAGAGUGUUCUGUUUUGUAAUUGCUAUGCCUAAAUAUUGUUGCAGAUAGCUACGGGAACAAUGAUAGACCAGAAUGGAAACAAACAGUUUGUUGAAGACCUAAGAGAUGAUUUAUCUGAGUGUUCUCUUGAAGCCGGGAAGAGUAUUAGUGCUAAUAUAUGCACUUGGGAAAAUUUGAAGUCUGACAGACCUUCCAAGGAAGUGAGUGGUAGAGAUGUUACCAUUAUUCUUCUGAAAAAGGAAAUAGAAGCUGCCCUUGAUAGCUUAAAAGAGGUACAGGCUGAGAUGGACAAACUACGUGAAGAAAACAAAGCGAUGUGCAAGUCCGAGCAACAGAGUCAGGAAAGCAUGAAAUAUCUCAUAACUCAGGUCCUUAAUCUGCAAUCAACUAUGAAUAACUUAGAAAGGCAAUCGAAAGUGAAGUUGGAAGCUCACAAUCAUAGACUGGAAGCAUUUCAACAGAUUGUGCAGGAAGCUGGCUCUCAUUGGUGCCAAACGAAAGAGGUAAACCAUUGUAUUUUCAAAUUCAAUUCAUUUUUGUUUCUUGGUUGAGCUACAUCCUACUGUCUGACAAGACUUCCGCUUAUCUGUGUGUACCCAGAAAAACCAAAAGCAACCUUCUGAGAUAAUAAUGAUAAUAUCUGCUUAUACCUGAAUCCAUUGUCCUUUUCCAUCCUCUUAUGUUUUCUUUUUUGAUAAAUCCUCUUAUGUUUCCCUGUGUUGUACGUAAUUGUAAAUUUAUUUCUAACUCACUUGUGCGUAUAUCUUGGCAUUGAACAACUUUAUCAACUUCUUUGGUUUUUUUCCCUCGCAGCUAAUGGAAAUAGAAUUUGAUGAUGCAAAGUUAGUUGCAGAUCAGAAAACCGCUGAGGUCUCUUGCAUUCUUCCUAAGUUCGAAGAGGCUCAGGAUAUCAUAAAGGAAGCAGAUAUUAUGAUCAAUGAACUGAUGAUAUCAAAUGAAACAAUGAAGCUUGAAAUAAGAAGGCUGAAGAAAAUGGAAGCCUCAGUAACGAGUGACAGGGAUAUGUUACUAAAUGAGGUUCAAAGCUUGCAGUCCAUCAAUCAUCUGAGCAAUCAACAAUUUGCAGAAGUUGAAGAGUUGCUUGCCUCAGAUAUAAAGGAAACAAAGGCUCUGGUUGUAGAGCUGGAGGGCAUGCUUGCAGAGGUCCAGGCUAAUUACAACGAAAAUUUCAUGCUUUUAGCCUCUGAUUUCCGCAGUGUGAAGUCUCUGCUUUCAGACUCCUCAAAGUUAGUUCGUUCAUCACUUGAGGACAUCUGGUCUGAGAUAAUUGUGAAGGAUUGUGCAGUUUCAGUUCUACACCUCUGUCACAUGGGACUUUUGCUGGAAACAGUGACUGGGCUGAAUGCAGAGAACAGUCUGCUUCAACGUGGACUUUGUGAAUCAAGUUCUUGUAUAGCUGAUCUGAGGCAACACAACAUUAGGUCAAAAAGAGAGCUUGAGAUGUGUCAGAUUCUAAAGGGGAAAUUACUGACCGACAUUAAGAACAGUUUUGAUCACAUCACAAGGAGAGAAGAGGAAGCUGGGAAGCUUAAUAUGAAGCUCAACACUUUCGAGGAACAGAUAUCAGAACUUAAGUUUCAAGAGGAGUUAAUGCUGCAAAGGUCUAAUUAUAUGGGAUCUCAGCUUGCUAUUCUAAUGAAAGAGUUCGAUUUGAGCAACUCAAAUUUUGGUGCAUCCCUUCUGGAUCAAGAGAAAUUUCUGAAAGAUAAAGAGGAGGCACUUGAAUCUCAAGCGGAGUGUUUCAUGAUAGAUUGGUGUGUGAAAGACUUUGAGUCACUUAUCUUGACAUCAGAAUUAGAAGAGAUGGCUAUGCACAAAGUUGAUAUGGAGAGAGAGCAUAUCACUUGUUGUGUGAUGCUUGAAGAUUUGAAGAAAGAAUUCAUUCUUUCGAAGGUUGAUGCACUGUUGAAAGAACAGUCCUUAGUGGAUGAAGAAGUUGAGGGUGCUCAUCUGCAAAAGGAAGCCCAAAAGGAGAGGCAGGAUUUGUUGUCACAGCUGAACCAAAGCACUUUAAGGAUCACACAAAUAAAUGAAGUGAACAAGGCUCUUGAAAAAGAUAUUCAGUUGCUAAAGGACGUUGCUCUUUCAAAUGAUGCCUUGAAAGGUGAACUUGGUGAAGUUAAGCAAACAGAGGUGAAGCUGUCGAGCCACGUUCAGGCACUAGAAGCUGAAUACCAAAAACUACGAGAAGAUUUAAAAAUGAAGGAAAUGAACUUAGAACUUUCUGCCCAACAGAUUUCUGUCCUUGAUCAGGACAACCAAAGGUUGCAGAAUGAUAUUUGCAUGUUGCAUACCUCAUCAUAUGGACUUCAAGGUGCUGUAGAGAAGAAAGAUGCUGAGCUGAGCAGAUUGAGUCACUUGGAGAUGGAAAAUGAGUCACUUAAAACUGAGAUAGGGAAGUUAAAUACAGAAAACAGCACGACCCUAAAAAAUUUGGCAGAGAAGAAUUCUGAAUUUACAUCUUCAUUAAACCGUAUAAAUGUCUUUGAUAAAGAAAACUGCAGGUUGCAAGAUGAAAUUAUCUCGUUGGAGAUUCAUAUUACUAAUCUGGAGACUAAUCUAAGGGUGAAAAGUGCUGAACUGUAUGAACUCAAACAAUCAGAGUCUGCCAUUAUGGAAGAACUGUGCUCAAAAAGCCAGGAGUUGCAGAUCUGUCUUAGCAAAACUAAUACACUGAAGGAAGAGAAUGUUCUCUUCAGGGAAGAACUUUUGUCUCUCAAGAAAAGCAAGGAUGAAUUCCUCACCAUGUCAAAUGUGAACAGUAAGAAGUGCCUUGAUUCAGUGGAAACUGUGGAUUCAGUGAGUAACAUAUUACGUAAUAUUUUAAAGGGCGAAGGUUUCAUCAUUGUGGACAAAAUGUUUCAGGAAAUAUGUGAAACUGGAGAGAGAAUAUCUGAGUUCAUAGAGCAGGUCGAUUGCUUAGAGAGCCAUGCUAAGGAGCUGGUAUCUGAAAAUUUGUCUCUUCAGGCUGAAUUACUAAGGAAGGAUGACGUUCUUAAAGGAUUGUUAUUUGAUCUGAGCAUGUUGCAGGAAUCGGCAUCUAAGAAUAAGGAUCAACAAGAUGAAAUUGAGGAAAUAUUGUCUUCUUUGGAGGCUUUAGAGGAUGAGCUUUCAGCAAAAUCAUGCGAGCUUCGUCAGGCCAUUGCUAACAGCCAAAUGCUUGAAACUCAACUGCAGGAGAAAACAGACGUAAUCUCCACUCUUGAGUUUGGUAUAUUGGAAGAGCGCGAGUCUGUAAAAUUGCUGUCCAGUGAAAACCUUGAGCUGAGAGCUCAUAUGGAAGAUGCUUUGGAAGCAAAGAAUUCUGUCGAGAAGGAGUUGACGGAGAGACAGAAGAUAAUUGAGAGCUUGAAAAUGGAACUCCUGGAAAUAAGUAAUGCUCUUGACCAAAUGAAUAACUCGAAUGAAUCCUUGAGGAGCAAUAUGCAUGAACUUGCUAGUGAAAAGGAUCUUCUUCACAUUGAGAUGCUUAAGUUGAAGGAAAAGCUUGAAAGAGAACAAGCACGAGCGGAUGAAAUUGAAGCAAUUGCAAAUGAAGCUCAAGAGGUACAUGCUUGUUCAGCACAAACAGUUUACUACUUUUUCUUCAAAUUUACAUAUACUGAUUCUAGUCUGCUGUACUAAUUUUCAGAUAGCUGAAUUAAGAAAGAACUAUGCUGACGACAAAGAGGCAGAGGUGAAGCUCUUAGAGAGGUCUGUUGAGGAGCUUGAACGUGUUGUAGACGUGCUGGAAAACAAGGUAUGUCUUUGAUUGCGAUUAAGUCACGUGAAUCUUGUUCUAGUUCUGUAUAUUAUCUAUCAUAUCAUCACCACGACCUAUGGACUCCUGCCUAGGUUGAUAUUGUUAAGGGAGAAGCUGAACGACAACGGCUGCAUGGAGAAGAGCUUGAAUUGGAACUUCAUGCUGUGAAACAUCAGAUGCAGAAUGUUGAAAAUGCUAAUGCUGACAUGAAGAGGUUUAGAGCACAUCCUCCCAUUAAUUUGUUUCAAGUGCACAAACACACUCAACUGUUUUGAUAAAUAGACACUAAAUAAUGAAUUUUCUUUUUCUUUUGAAAAUAGAUAUUUAGAUGAGAAAGAGAAAAGCCUUCAAGAAGCCCUACAGAACAUACAAAUACUUGAGAAGGAUAUAGCUGAGAAGGAUGCAGAGGUGAAGUUCUUGUAGCACCUGUACUGCAAUAAAUUCUAACUCUGAUCUGAGCUUGCAACGUUGAACCAUAGUUUUCUGAUAUGACUGUGGAGUGCAGACUCAAUCAUAUCUAUUGUGAUUAUAGUUUUGCAAUAUCAUGGUUUUGUUUUUACCUGACAGAUUGCCCAAUUUAAAGCACAUAUCUCUGAGCUGAAUUUGCAUGCAGAAGCACAGGCUUGUGAGUACAAGCAGAAGGUAUGGGAAAAGAUUGAAUCUCAUUGUCUUGAUGAACUUUUUAAAAACAUAUUUUCGUAGUUCUUCUGUUAGAGACCCUUCAUAUUCAUGACAGUUACAGCAAGUUAGGGAGAUUUCUGUUACAUUUGUUAAUACCCAUCAUUGCCUUGUUGUCUGUUACAAUUCGGAUAUAACUCCCAGACCAUUGCAGCUUAUAUAAAAUCCAUGUAAUACUGUGUAUUUAGAUAUGAAAAGAAUCUGUUUCUACAUGGUAUCUAGAGCCUCCAUUUUUCCUUAAAAAAUUUCUGCUUCUCUUCCUUUCCAUGGCGUUAUUAUGUAACUACAAAAUCUGCAAACAGUUUAAGGCAUUGGAAUCCAUGGCUGAACAAGUCAGACCUGAAGGCCAUUCCACUCAUGCCACAAGUUCAUCAAACAAGUCAGAGAAACAUGCCACAAAGUCUAGAGGCUCUGGUUCCCCAUUUAAAUGCAUUGGCUUGGGCUUGGCACAACAGAUAAAAUCUGAGAAGGAUGAAGAACGUACAACCUCGAGGGUCCGCAUUGAAGAGCUUGAAUCCUUAGCAUUGAGUCGACAAAAAGAGGUAGGGCUUUACUGUCCUAUUUGGUUCUUACAAAUACGUUUGUCUACCACAAAUUAAUCCUGUUUUUCCAUUUUGGUGGUGCAGAUAUUUACUUUGAAUUCCAAAUUGGCUGCUGCUGAAAGCAUGACCCAUGAUGUAAUUCGGGACUUACUGGGAGUCAAGUUGGAUAUGACCACUUACGUGGUAAAUUAUUUUACACAAUAUAACAAAUAUCACAGAAUUAUAUUACUGAUGCACAAUUAUGAUUUACAUUUUUAACAAAAACGAACUGCAAUGAUCAUCUCACCUUUUCCCUUUUUGUGAAUGCUAGUCACUAUUGGAUAAUCAACAAGUGCAGAAAAUAACAGAGAAGGCCCGGCUUCAUAGUGUGGAAUCCGAAGAAAAGGUAUUCAGCUUUAAUUAUAUUGAAACUCGGAUAGAUAACUUUUUGUUGUGUUUCGUUGUAAUUAACUCUUUCAUUCAGGAACAGGAGGUAGUUAAGCUGAAAAAACAGCUGAAUGAAUUCAUUCAGGAAAGACAAGGGUGAGUACAUGGUACUUCAAAACUUCCAAAUUUUCUAGUAACUUUUCUAUCUUCCAUAUGCCUAAGUUUCUUUAAGCCUCAUAUUCCAGGUGGCUCGAGGAAAUUGACCGAAAACAGGCUGAACUCAUAGCUGUGCAAAUUGCUUUGGAAAAACUUAGGCAGCGAGAUCAGUUUCUAAAAACUGAAAAUGAAAUGCUGAAGGUUGAGACUGUUUUUGAAACAUUAUUCCUUAAAUAAAGUGAAUCUUUUAUCUUCUUUAUUUCUUGGCUUAUUACUUUUGAUCUGGGUAGGUGGAGAACGUAAAUCAUAAAAAGAAGGUGAUGGAACUUGAAGGGGAAGUAAAUAAGCUGUCUGGUCAGCAAAACCUCCAGCAACGGAUUCAUCAUCAUGCAAAAAUCAAGGCAAGAUAUUUCCAAUUAAGAUAUUCUUGCUAAUGAAGUCUAAGCACAGCAUCUGUAUUUUCUCUACUUAUCAUUUCUACUCCUAGCCAAUCUGAGUGAGUCUUGUCUAUAAUGCAACAGGAAGAAAAUCACAAGCUAAAAGUUCAGAAUGAAGAACUAAGCACUAAGCUCCGGCGGACAGAAGUUAUUCUUUCUCGUGUCAAGGAAGAGCUUGCUCGCUUUCGUGCUUCCUGUGGGAGGAAUUCUUAUGUUGAUUUUGAUGAGGAGCAACGAUUGAGUGCCAAACUGAAGGUUAGUGUUGUCUUGUGUGUCUGUAUGCGUGUGAGUGUGUGUGGGAGAGAGAGAGAGAGGGAGAGAGAGAGAGAGAGAGAGAUACAGAGGUGCAAAAUCAACCCACAGUUUGAUGCCUGACAAUGGAAGUUAAUCUGCUACAGGAAACUGAGGAGGAGAAAUUGCAACUAGCACAGAAAUUGUUAGGCCUGUGUACUAGUGUUUUGAAGGUAUGUUAAAAGGCCAUGAGGUUACUUAAUUCACUCUCAGAAGUUAGGAAACCAAACCUGGACUUAUAUUUUCUUUUGAACUAACUUUCAGGCUGCUGGAAUAACAAAACCAUCAACCCACAUAAACCCAUCCGUUGCUGAAGAGGCACUCGAGCAAAUCAAGAACAAGGUUACUUUGAUGGAUAGAGAAUUGCAGGAUUUGAAGUACAAGGUAUAUAAAAUUUUAGCACUGCAAAAGCAUUUUGUUUAUCUUUGAGCUUGUUUUGCUAUACAGGAAUGUACAAUGUAUACAAAAACUAUGUUAUGAUCCUAAUAUUUUGUUUCUACAGAACAAAAUAAGCAGUGAAAGAAUUCGACUGUCAGAGCUCAUGCCACAAGCUUCACCAAUAAGCUCAAGGGCGGAUGAGAAUCGUCAAACUCCGAAAAGAAUGUCCCAAGCUCCAUAUUUUUCUCCCUUAGAUCGAUGACUUUAUUCUUUGAUGUAGAGGAUCAGAGUCUGGUUAGCUUUCUGCUAAUAUUUAUAUGUAUACAAGUUGUGUCUUUCUAAUGUCUAAAAGCUUUCAUUCUCAGCUGUAUAUUAUUAUUUUGCGGUUGUGUAAAUAAAACAGAUGUGAAUACACGUUAAUACAAAUUCAGAUUUUUCCAUUGUGUUUCUAACAAUUUGGUGGCCCUUCAAGAAAUCUAAAGUGUUUCUAACAAAUGUGAACAAAAUAAUGAUAGCUGGAUUCUUGGUUUUGGUGGUGGUGGGCUUGAUGGAUCUGUGCAUGUCUGCGUGUGUUCAGAAAUUUAGAGAGAAAGACAGAGAGAGAGAGAGAGAGAAAGAGAGGGAGAGAUAUGGAAAGAAAAGAAAAGGGUGUGGUAAGUGAAAGAACAAAGCAAGAGGGAUCAUUAAUGGUGAAAAAGUUGAAACGCGGUGUAUUGGUAGAGAAAAUAGGAGGGCUUUGUAGCACGCCACCGCCAACGAGUUUUACUCUCAGCAAAACGACAACAAACCCAGCUCUGAAUUUCUCAACCUUACUCCCACAACUCUUCGGAAUUUUACAAGUUUAAUCUUCCGAAUUUCAUCCAUUUUUGGGAUCAGACGAUAGUUCUUCAGAAUUUUACGACGAUGAUGACGACGAUGAAGAAGAUGGUGAUGGCGAUGAUGGUUCUGGGUAGGGGGUGGAGGCAGGGAGGGUGGUACGGUUUAAAAUAUUUUAUUUAUAGAGUAUAGCUGCUCGGCUAUACCUUUAAAAUAUUAUACUUAAACAGUAUAGCCGGGCGGCUAUACUAGCCACUAUACGUUUAAAAUUUCUAUUUAAAGAUUACAGACCGGCGGCUAUAUUUUUAAAAUAUUAUAUUCAUAGAGUAUAGCGCGGCUAUACCUUUAAAAUAUUCUAUUUAAAGCGUAUAGCCGUACGGCUAUACGUUUAAAAUAUUCUGUGUAGAGAGUACAGCCGUAUAAAUGUCUUUGAUAAAGAAAACUGCAGGUUGCAAGAUGAAAUUAUCUCGUUGGAGAUUCACAUUGCUAAUCUGGAGACUAAUCUAAGGUUGAAAAGUGCUGAACUGUAUGAACUCAAACAAUCAGAGUCUGCCAUUAUGGAAGAACUAUGCUCAAAAAGCCAGAAGUUGCGGAUCUGUCUCGGCAAAACUAAUACACUGAAGGAAGAGAAUGUUCUCUUCAGUGAAGAACUUUUUCCCCUCAAGAAAAGCAAGGAUGAAUUCCUCACCAUGUCAAAUGAGAACAGUAAGAAGUGCCUUGAUUCAAUGGAAACUGUGGAUUCAGUGAGUAACAUAUUACGUAAUAUUUUAAAGGGCGAAGGUUUCAUCAUUGUGGACAAAAUGUUUCAAGAAAUAUGUGAAACUUGAGAGAGAAUAUCUGAGUUGAGCAGGUCGAUUGCUUAGAGAGCGGAGUUGUUAUCUGAAAAUUUGUAUCUUCAGGCCGAAUUACUAAGGAAGGAUGACGUUCUUAAAGGAUUGUUAUUUGAUCUGAGCAUGUUGCAGGAAUCUGCAUCUAAGAAUAAGGAUCAACAAGAUGAAAUUGAGGUAAUAUUGUCUUCUUUGGAGGCUUUAGAGGAUGAGAUUUCAGCAAAAUCAUGCGAGCUUGGUCAGGCCAUUGCUAACAGCCAAAUGCUUGAAACUCAACUGCAGGAGAAAACAGACGUAAUCUCCACUAUUGAGUUGGGUAUAUCGGAAGAGCGUGAGUCCGUAAAAUUGCUGUCUAGUGAAAACCUGGAGCUGAGAGCUCAUAUGGCAGAUGCUAUGGCAGCAAGGUAUUCUGUUGAGAAGGAGUUGAUAGAGAGACAGAAGAUAAGUGAGAGAAUGAAAAUGGAAUUCCUGGAAAUGCGUAAUGCUCUUGACCAAAUGAAUCCUUAAGGAGCAAUAUGAAUGAACUUGCUAGUGAAAAGGAUCCUCUUCACAUUGAGAUGCUUAUAAGUUGAAGGAAAAGGUUGAAAGAGGACAAGCACGAGCCGAUGAAAUUGAAGCAAUUAUUGCAAAUGAAGCUCAAGAGGUACAUGCUUGUUCAGCAUAAACAGUUUACUACUUUUUCUUCAAGAAGCCCUACAGAACAUUCAAAUACUUGAGAAGGAUGCAGAAGUGAAGUUCUUUGUUGCACCUGUACUGCAAUAAAUUCUAACUCUGAUCUGAGCUUGCAACGUUGAACCAUAGUUUUCUGAUAUGACUGUGGAGUGCAGACUCAAUCAUAUCUAUUGUGAUUAUAGUUUUGCAAUAUCAUGGUUUUGUUUUUACCUGACAGAUUGCCCAAUUUAAAGCACAUAUAUCUCUGAGCUGAAUUUGCAUGCAGAAGCACAGGCUUGUGAGUACAAGCAGAAAGUACGGGCAAAGAUUGAAUCUCAGUGUCUUGACGUAAUUAGCACAAGACGCGUAGCUAUACUUAUUUUGACACGUGGUGCUUAAUCGUCAUCUUUAAUAUAUAUAGUAUAGCCGCAUACUAGGUUUUUGGAUUUAUUUUUAAAAUAUGUGAAUAGUAUCGCUGCACGGCUAUACUCGGUUUUCCCCUUUUUUAAAGAAUAGUAGAGCCGCACGGCUAUACUUUAUUUUUCCUAAUUUAAAAAACUGGUAUAGCCGCUCGGCUAUACUUAGACUCUGUUUUUCCCUUUUUUUUUUAUAAAAUUAGUAUAGCCGCCCGGCUAGACUCGGUUUUUUUUUAAAAAAAAAUUUGUAGUGUAUAGCCGGCUAUACUCGGUUUUUCUAUUUUUAUUUUUUAGUGUAUAGCCGCGCGGCUAUACGCUGUUUGAGUAAUGUUUCUUACUUGCUGAGGUAAUAACAUUUUUAGAACAAGGAAAACAACCCAUUAAAUAUUUUGGCAUGCUUAAAUAUGAGAAUUAAUUAGUAGUAAUUUUUUUAUUAAAAAAAAGUAUUAAUUUUCCUGCUCUAGAGUCUAGAUAGUAAAUUAGAUUUCCAACUAGAAAUUUUUUUUAUUUACUUUAUUCAACAAUUCCUGUGUAUUAGAGAUAUCCUUCCAUUUAACUAUAUUAGGUAUUCCUAAAUAUUUUCCCAAAAUUCCAAAAAGUAAGCACUCAUCUGCAAAAUAAAUAUUUGAAACUUUGAUCCCAUGAUUAGAAGAUAGCGACCCAAUAUGAGGGGAAGUAUUAAGGGUUAAUUUAUUUAAAUGCCUCAUAAAAGGUUCCACACAUAAAAUAAAUAAAUAAGAAGAUAAGGGAUCACCCUAUCUCACUUCCCUAGACGGGGAUAUAUUUCCAUAUGGUUUACCAUUAAUAAGUGUUGCAUAAGAAACCAUAGUAACACAAUCUUUGAUCCAAUUGAUCCAUGUUUGAUUAAACCCAAAUCUCUUUAAACAAAUAAAAAGCUUUAAUGUUUGAUAUUUUUUUGUCUUCAACCAUUUCUUAUAUAUGCAGAUAUACGGAAAAUAAAUUUUAUUUUAUUUGAGGCCUAAACUAUUUAUUACGGUUAUAAAAGACUCUAUUUUUUAAUAUUCUAUACACACAUGCACAUCAAUAAAAUUAAAUCAUUCUUGUGUAAAGCUAUACAUAAGAUCUAUUUUCGACUUCACUAGGGCCUUAAAAAUCUCAAGUCCAGCCCUAUCGAGGACCUUAGAUGCAGCUAAAUACUCUCUUAGCAACUGAGCUAUAGGCCCUCCUUGCAACUAUCUCCAAAUAUUAUUUUGAGAUAUUUAGUUAUAUACUUAUUCUUAGCAUUAAUGAUAUAGAUAAACCCUACACCAUUUAAUUUCUAUAAACAAACAAAAAAAAUUCAAAAAAUGACAGCUGGCCCUAUUGAAUAUAAUUUUAAUUAUUAAAUUACUUUGAUACCAUAUUGAGUGUUUUAGGUUUUUCUAUGAGGUUCUGGGAUUUGGUUUGUUUUAAGAAAUCGAUGGAAAUUUUGUAAUUUAUAAGACGUUCGAAGCGUCUUUGUUAUGUUGUAAAUGAGUUUUGAAUGUAUUUUUAAAGUCUAUUUCAUGUAGAAUCUUUUUUUAAAAAUUUGGACCUCUAUAUUAGAUAUAAUUGUGAACAGUCUCGAUCUCUUGGACCACAGGAGUCCAAGAGAUUUGUGGUCACUCACCGUUGGAUGUAAAUUCAACGGUUCACUCAAUCUUGAAGUCCUUUUAAGAAACUUUUUUGAACCAUUAGAUUAAUAUCCAACGGUGAGUGACACAAUCUCUUGAACUCCUGUGGUCCAAGAGAUCAGGACUGUAAUAGUGAAUCUCUCUUUUAUUUUCAAGCUAUCAUUUCACACCUCACCCUUACUAAGUCCACUUAAAUCCAGACUUUACUGGCAAACAAAAAUAUAUAUAUAUAUAUAUAUAUCCUAACCCUAAUGUUUUGUCCUUUUCCAUUGAGUUACUGUUUACUACUUUUUCACCCACGCUUGUGUCUUUUUUACCGUGUAAUAUAUUCUAUGUUUCGUCAUGGAUGCUCUGUCAGUUUCUGCAGCGGGGAAACUCCGUUUUCUUACUGAAAAAAAGAAACCUUUUUGUCUGCCAAAAAAGAAGAAGCUAUAUACAUGCUGUAUUGUAGGUUAGGCUUGUGAGAGCUGGUAUUCAAUUUGAAGUUUCUAGGUGUUGUUGCUCUGUGCAAGUUUCUGAUAGAAGAUGAGCUCUGCAACUUUCAGCUCCAAUUUUCUUCGAACUGGGUGCCUCAGGAAGGUAUGUACUCAUUAAGAUUUCUGUUUGUUUUCUCAGAAAAUGAGGGAAGAAGAAACCCAGUUAAAGCCUGCAUUGUAAAUUAUCAGUCAAUUAGAUACUUUGAUUUGUUGUGUUAGUGUUUUCAUCAUAAAAGUUGAACUUAUUAUUGAGGUUUGGUAAAUGCAGGACGGGUUUAACAAUCCAAAGGAUAAGAAGCGAAAUGUAGGGAAGGUGUUUGUUAAAUGUUCCGUGAAUACAAAAACCCAGAAGGCAGAAAAGGAAGUUCGACUUGGUGUUCUUGGAGCCAGUGGUUACACUGGUUCUGAGGUAGUGGCUCACUGACAAACCCUUUUGUUUACCAUUUCUUAUUUUAACUCAGAGCAGUAAUGUUAAGUAUAGAUGAUAAUUGAAUUGGGUUAGAUAAUUAUGUACUCAAUAUUUAAGUAGUUCCAUGGUUUUAUGGCUUACAAUGAGCUGAGAUGAUCCUUCUUUCUGGAAGAUUGUUCGGCUGCUGGCAAACCAUCCUCACUUUGGCAUUACCUUGAUGACUGCUGAUAGAAAAGCCGGACAGUCGAUUGGAUCGGUGUUUCCUCAUCUGGUUUCCCAAGUAAGAAUUUCUAUGAUUUAUGUGUUUCCUCUAAGGGCCAAAGACUUGAAUUUAAAUAUGAUAUGAUAUCUUUCUUUUUCUCUCUCUUUAUAUAAGCUUAAAUAUUGGUGCAUUCCUAUGGUAUGGUUGUGCUCUGUUAGUUGCUGUCAUGGUCAAUUUGAUGAUGGGGUUUCAAUCAUUUAAUGGUGGUGUUUGAUCAUGGCAUAAUUUUCAAUACUUUGGAAUUACAUUGCUUGGCUUUCUGUGUUUGCAGAAUCUGCCAAAAAUGGUUGCUGUCAAGGAUGCUGAUUUUUCUGAUGUUGAUGCUGUAUUUUGUUGUUUACCACACGGAACCACACAGGUUAUUUUUUCUUUCCUUUGUAUCAGUCAAUCCUUUCUGAUUUACUGAAUCUCGUCCUGAAUUUCUAACAUGUAUAUGUUUGUUAUUUCAAUUACAGGAAAUUAUCAAAGGCCUUCCCAAGAGUUUAAAGAUUGUUGAUCUGUCUGCUGUAUGCUUUGAAUAGCACUACCAUGCAAUGCUUUUGGGAUUUUUUUAUUGGCACUCAUCAACUAUAAAUUUUUCUCAUUUUUAAUUUUAUGUGAUGGUUUUUUCAGGACUUCCGUCUACGAGAUAUCUCUGAGUAUGAAGAAUGGUACGGUCACGCACAUAGAGCACCAGAAUUGCAGGUAAGGUAAUUUCUUCUGAUGCGUCUAGGCUUCUAUGGAAUAAUAAAGUCCACCAAGCAUUACUGUAGGGAUAGAUUGAAUGUUAACUUCAACUUUCAACAAAAACUCUGGCCUGUUUAAUUUGUUGUCAUAAAGUUCACCUUUGUUUUGCAGCAAGUGUAUAUGACAAAUAAAACUGAGGCACCAUCUUGCUCUUAUUUCUUUAAAUUAUUGCUCUGUUAUUUUAACAAGCAUUUAUCUUCCUGGAUCCAGAAAGAAGCUGUAUAUGGUUUGACGGAGAUUUCAAGGGAGGAGGUAAAAAGUGCACGCCUAGUUGCUAACCCUGGUUGCUAUCCAACUUCUGUUCAAAUUCCCCUUGUUCCACUGAUUAAGGUUUGUGCCUUGUAUAUGAGUUCUCUGCAAAUUGCAUGCUUUUAUGAAAUAUGGGCUUGAGAUCAAUUCACUCACUGUUUGAGAUGUAAUAAUGUAGCUGAGAUACAAACCCAUAUACAUACAGGAGGUUGUCACUCCUGGAUACUGUUUAGAGAGCAACAAAAGUGGAAAAAUGAAAUACCAUGUCUUAAAACUCCUGCACACUUAUUAUGCAUACUGAACCACCAUGCACUAGGAGGGAAACCAAGACAUUAAAAUUCCUUGGAAUGUUACAGAAAACAAUCUUAAAGUGAUAAACUUGUUGAUGUAGCACAGCCCUGGGUGUGUUAGUUUUAACACUCAGAGCAAUAGGACAGAAAAGAAUAAGAGAAGCUGAAGGAAAGAAAGAUAGAAGGCACGCAGAAAUCAGAGAGUUAAGAGAAGGUUUAAUCAAUAUUCAAAUCUAAAUUUUAAAGAACUACAUAGGGGUAUUUAUAGCAAACUAAAACCUAGAGACAAUAGGAUUAAAAUCCCCAGCUAAAACAGAAAUCCUAUUCCUAAUAAAAUAGGAAACUAGAACCUAGAGACAAUAGGAUUAAAGUCCCCAGCUAAAACAGAAAUCCUAUUCCUAAUAAAAUAGGAAACUUAGAAAUCCUACUAGGAUUUGGAAAACUAAAGAAUAUAGGAAACUAACAAAUAAAUUAGGAAACUAAACAAUUUAGGUCCUAUGCAUCCUGCAUCAUUCUCCUCCGAUUGAAAGAACUUGACUCCGGCGAGUUUAACGACGAUGGCGCCGACUGUAGGUAUGAAUAAUAGGAGGACGAGCAUCAGUAACUUCAUGCUGAUGAAACUCAUCUUCAGUAAUCCAAGUAGCAUCUGUAUCCGGACGUCCCACCCAACGAACCAAAAAACGAGAAAACCCCCCAAGGGCUGAAGCCACCACUUCAUGAUCUAAGACUUGUGAGCUUUGAUCCGUAGGAGCAGCAUGGGAAGCAGGCACGCGAGGAGCAGCAGGAGGAACAAUAGCAUGGGUUAUUUCAGUCGCAACAGGAGGAGUAAAAGUACCCCGGUAUGGAAACAAAUCAGAUACGUUAAAAAUGAGACUGAUAUGAACAUCAGAAGGAAGUUCAACCAAGUAAGCAUUGGCACCCAACUUGCGAAGGAUACGAUAAGGACCCAUUGAUCGAGCAUGAAGUUUCUUAAAAGAAUGUUUGGGAAAUCGCUCAGGGCAAACACGAACCAUAACAUAAUCACUUUCUUGGAAGUCUUGAGUGCGACGAUGAGUAUUGGCAGCAAGUUGGUAUGUGUCCGUACUUAGAGAAAUUUUCUGACGAACCUCCUCAUGUAGGCGACGAAUGUGCUCAGCAAAGGUAGUUGCAGAUUCCGAGGGACGGGCAUCAGUAGGAAGGGGAGCAAGAUCAAUGGGUGGACGUGGCAUCACAUCGUAAACAAUUUUGAAAGGACUUUUACCUGUAGUUCGGUUGGCAGAAUUAUUAUAAGCAAAUUCUGCUACUGGAAGAAUGAGGUCCCAAUUACCCUGCUUAUCACCGACUAAACAUCGUAAUAAAUCUCCAAGACUACGAUUAACCACUUCUGUUUGACCAUCUGUUUGAGGAUGAAAUGCCGACGAAAACUUUAAAGAAGUACCAAAGAGCUUCCACAAGGUCUUCCAAAAAUAACUAACAAACUUGACAUCACGGUCUGAAACAAUAGAAACAGGAAGCCCAUGCAGACGAAUGACCUCUUUAAAAAAUAACUUGGCCACAUAAGAAGCAUCAGCAGCUUUAGAGCAAGGCAAAAAGUGAGCCAUUUUAGAGAAUCUGUCAACGACAACCAAGAUAGAAUCAUGGCCGCGUGCCGUUUUAGGAAGGCCAAGAACAAAGUCCAUGCUUAAAUCUUUCCACGGGGUAUGCGGAAUUGGCAAAGGAGUGUGUAAUCCAGUAUUUUGCUUUCUAGCCUUGGCAAGCUGACAGGUGCGACAUUGGGCUAGGAUGUGAGCAACAUCUCGCUUCAAUGAAGGCCAAUAAAAUCGAUCGGCAACUAGAGUAAUGGUCUUAUCUUUACCAAAAUGUCCAGCCAGACCUCCAGCAUGUAAUUCCCACACAAGGAAAUCACGUAAAGAGGUACGGGGAAUGCAUAACUGCGUUACACGAAAGAGAUAACCAUCCCGCAGCAGAAAAUCAACAUGAUCACGACGAUUUUCAGCCGUAACUUCCUGAAAAAUGAGACCAAAAUCUGGACAAGAAGAAUACUCAGUUUUGAUUUUAUCAAAACCCACAACUUGUGCAGUCAAUGAUUGAAGGAUAACGCCUACUCGGCUGAGUGCAUCAGCAACCUUAUUAUCAACUCCUGGGCGAUGUCGAAUCACAAAGGUGAAAAUUUGAAGAUACUCAGUCCACUUAAUAUGGCGGCUACUGACGUUACGUUGAGAAUGGAGAUACCUUAACGCUUGAUGAUUAGAAUAUAAGACAAACUCAUUUGGUAACAGAUAAUAUUGCCAAUAACGUAGCGCACGGACUAUGGCAUAGAAUUCCUUGUCGUAAGUCGAAUACUUUUGCUUUGCCUCAUUAAGCUUCUCACUAAAAUAAGCAACAGGAUGUCCUUCCUAACUUAAGACGCCCCCAAUGCCAACACUAGAUGCGUCACAUGCUACUUCAAAAACCUUAGUCAACUCUGGAUGGCGUAGGACAGGUGCUUCUGUCAUUUUCUGUUUUAAUGCCUCAAACGCUCGAGUGGCCGCAUGAGUCCAUCGAAACUCGCCUUGCUUCAUACAGUCUGUGAUAGGAGCCAUUAUAGUACUGAAACUAGGAAUAAAAUGUCGGUAAAAAGAUGCUAACCCAUGAAAGCUUCGAGUCUCGGUUAAAGUUGAAGGAAGCGGCCAAUUUACAAUGGCGUGAACUUUGUCAGGAUCAGCACUUAUGCCAGCUGCGGAAACAAUGAAUCCCAAAAAUAAAAUUUGUUCUUGAAGGAAAGAACACUUCUUCAAAUUAACAAACAACUUUUGCUGGCGUAACAUAUGAAAAAUUGUCCGGAGGUGUUGCAGAUGGUCCUCUUUUGAAUGGCUGUAGAUAAGGAUAUCAUCAAAGUACACAACCAAAAACUUUCCGAUAUAAGGACGCAAAACAUGGGUCAUCACGCGCAUAAAUGUGCUAGGCGCGUUAGACAUUCCAAAUGGCAUAACAAGCCACUCAUACAAUCCAUCAGGAGUUUUGAAUGUGGUUUUCCAUUCAUCACCUUCCCUAAUACGAAUCUGAUGGUAACCGCUACGAAGGUCAAUCUUGGAAAACCAUUUGGAACCUGCCAACUCCUCCAACAUAUCCUCAAGUCGUGGAAUAGGGAAUCGAUAUUUAACUGUGAUCUUAUUAAUAACUCUACUGUCAACACACAUUUGCCAAGAGCCAUCUUUUUGGGAGUAAGAAGCACCGGUACAGCACAUGGGCUCAGACUAUGGCGAAUAAAUCCUUUAUCCAACAGACCUUGAAUUUGCGUGUUUAGUUCGGCACGUUCAGACGAGUUCAUGCGGUAAUGAGGAAGAUUCGGAAGUUGUGAUCCAGGGACAAGGUCGAUGGCAUGUUGAAUGUCUCUCAUGGGUGGUAGCUCGUUUGGGAGGUCAUCUGGCAUGACAUCGGAGAAUUCAUUGAGGAGUUGAUGUAGAGGUUCAGGUUGUUGAUAGGAAGGGGCCGCAGAUAUCUCUUUAAUCACGAGAGCAAAUACAACUUCUGUCUCCAAACUUUCUUUCUCAAAUUCGCCAUAAGAUAAUAGAGCCAACUGAUGACCUGACACAUUGCCUGUCUGCGAUGGAGAGGAGGUGGUAAUAUUAGUCUUGGUAGGUUUGAUCGCAGGAUUGACUGGGCGUAACGUAAUACUUUUGCCUUCAUGUUGAAAAGUGUAUGUGUUUUCACGACCACAAUUCUGCACGCGAUGGUCAUAGAGCCAAGGUCUGCCAAGUAAUACAUGUGCAACAUUCAUAGGCAGUAGGUCCAAAUAAAUGUCUUCAUCGCAGGUCCCGAGCUUAAGGGAAACAAGACACCGCUCAGUGACUGGGAGUUUAGUUUUAUCAACCCAAGCUACGUGAAAAGGGUGGGGAUGUGGUUCGGGCUUAAGAUUAAGACGAGUAACGGCAGACUUGGAGAUGACGUUCAUGGUACUACCACUAUCAAUAACCAGUUUACAUGUUUGGUUAUUGCAUGAAACGUAGGUAUGGAAAAUACUAGUGCGUUUCCAGGAAUCAAGCAAUGCGGGUGCAGAAUAGAUACAACGCAUAACAGAAACCUGAUGGAGUAUGUCAUCAUCAAAACAAUCGUCAAUUUCUGGGUCAUACACACCCUCAAGAGGAUCCACAAUCUCUACAUCACAAUGGUCGUCUGUGCUAGCGCUGAUAGUUAAUGUGCGUUGUGGACAACGAGAGGCAAUAUGUCCUUUAGCAUGGCAAUGGAAACAUUCAAUGUGGGAAUUAUUAGAGACAAUCGGCCCUUUGGUAGGUGGCGCAGUAGGAUUAGAUGGUCCAGAAAAUUCAGUCUUCAGACCCGGAGUGGUAGUGCGGGCUUGGUUGGUGGUCGUAGGCUGACCAGGAUAUCCUGGGUAACGACAUUGUGGUCGUAGAUAGGUCUCAGCUUCCAAGGCUUGGCAAUAGGCAUCUUCUAAUACAUCCGGACGUGACCUACUCACCUCACGUUUGAUAUCAAUCCGAAGGCCAUGAAUAAAACGAGAAACUGUGACUGCCAACUCUUCUUGUACGGCAGAACGCAAUUUGUGCUCCACAAAGCGAGAAUAAUAGUCUUGGACUGUUGAAGUACCCUGGGAAAGAGUCCAUAAUUGAUCUAACAAUUGGUGACGAUAAAAAGAUGGAAGGUAUUGUUCCCGAAGUUUCAAUUUCAUCUCAUCCCAUAAAAUCACAGGGGUUUGUCCCAGUCGUUGGAGAUGAUGCUCAGUAGCCUUCCAGUACUGUUUUGCGGCUCCUACGAGUUUGAGUUUGGCGAACUGGAUCCGUUGUGCAUCGGACAUGUCGUACCAUUCAAAAUAAUCUUCCAUAGCCGAGAUCCAAUCAACAAAGAGAGUAGGAUCCCCGCGACCAUCGAAGUCAGGGGCAGUAGGCUUGGCAUGACGGGCGAUCUCAAAAUCCAAGUUUCGGUGGACGACGUGAUGUUCGUGGGGUCGGGUUGGGAUAGUGGCAUCCACGAGAGGAGAAACUAUCGUAUGUUGGGUAUAAUGGGGUUUAGGUGCAAAUCCUGCAGAAAAAUUUGGUUCAGAGUGAACCAGAGAUGUCCCCGCCGAAGAUGAUGGAAGGCCCAGGUGGCCUUGAAACUUGGAAUCCUUAGAAGGAUUGGGAAGGAGACCAGCCUGGAGAGAAGGUGUGCACGAACUAGAGAGAACAGCAGAUGUGGAUGAGGGUUCAAGAGUCACGGUUGAGAGGUGGUUGACGAGCAGCGUCACGGAAGCUUGUAAUUUGGCAAUAUCUGUGGACAUGGACGAAAAUUCAGUCUUUUGAGCAGCCAUCAAUUUGAUGAACUGAGUUUCCAAAGUGGUGACAUCUGUAGAAAUUUUCGCCUUGAAUUCCUGAAAUUGGUCCGCCAAAUUGGCAACGGUGAUGUUGGGAGCCAUGACGACGAGUAGAGGCAACGAAGCAGAGUAACAGCGGCGGAGCAAGAGGCUCUGAAUACCAAUUGAUGUAGCACAGCCCUGGGUGUGUUAGUUUUAACACUCAGAGCAAUAGGACAGAAAAGAAUAAGAGAAGCUGAAGGAAAGAAAGAUAGAAGGCAGGCAGAAAUCAGAGAGUUAAGAGAAGGUUUAAUCAAUAUUCAAAUCUAAAUUUUAAAGAACUACAUAGGGGUAUUUAUAGCAAACUAAAACCUAGAGACAAUAGGAUUAAAAUCCCCAGCUAAAACAGAAAUCCUAUUCCUAAUAAAAUAGGAAACUAGAACCUAGAGACAAUAGGAUUAAAAUCCCCAGCUAAAACAGAAAUCCUAUUCCUAAUAAAAUAGGAAACUUAGAAAUCCUACUAGGAUUUGGAAAACUAAAGAAUAUAGGAAACUAACAAAUAAAUUAGGAAACUAAACAAUUUAGGUCCUAUGCAUCCUGCAUCACUUGUAGGGUUUAGGCGAUGCUUCAAAACUUAGUUUUAUCUAUGAUUCUAUUGGAAGUACAUACGAUAUCACAAGUUAAAGAUUUCUUCAGAGCAGAAAAAAGAAUUAAAAAUAUUUUAUCCUUGAAAAUAUGAAAUUAAAGGUAUGCAGGUGGUGUGAAUUACGAACUAUUUUAAAGUUUGGAUAUAAGCAUCGCUUUCUCAUGAAUUAUGUUUUAGGUAGCCAUUAUAAUCGUAUAAAUGGCAGUUGUCUAGUCACUAGUCUCAUGCCAGUUAUGCUGUUCUUUAAUCCCAAUGGUCCUGGCACAUGCCUUAUGGUUCUCUUAUUGCAUUUUCCUUGCAGGCUAAUCUUGUUCAACCUAAAAAUAUUAUUAUUGACUCAAAGUCUGGUGUUAGCGGAGCAGGUUAGGGCUUGAUUGUAGUUUCUAACAUUUCCUUGCGAAACUUUACCAUAUAUGUGCUCCUUGUGCUCCCAUCAAUUAUGCCUGCGGCCUGGUUACUUUUGCAGGACGUGGUGCCAAGGAGGCAAAUUUGUACACUGAAAUAGCUGAAGGCAUAUAUUCUUAUGGCGUUACCCGUCAUCGCCAUGGUAAGAUUUUGGAUUUGUUGAAAUUUAAAUUUUACACUAUAUGACAUGUUCAAUCUUAUUUCCUCACUUGAGCAAAAUACACAGAAUGGGUGAUUAAGCUAAAUACACAGAAUGGGCAAUUAAGCUAAAUACACAGAAUGGGCUAUUGAGCUAAACACAAAUAAUGGGAAAUAACUUUAAAAAGUGUGUAUUUACUUCUUUACUGAGAACAUAUGCCUGAAAAGAUGCUUAAAGAAUUCUGGUUAAGUGGAGAGAAACAACAGGUAAACAGCGUCUUUGCUACACCUCUCAAACUCAAAUGCUUGUGAAUUGUUUACACCAUUGAACAAACGUGCAGUUUGGGAACUGCAGUCUUACAUAAUAGAUGUAGAACUUCGAAACUCAGAUGUUUGUAGUAAGAAUCUGGUUUAAAUAAAGAGAAACAAGGGGUGAAGGGCUUCUUUGCUACACCUUUGAAAUUCAGAUGCUUGUAAGUUUUAUACUGUUGAGGAACAUGAAGGUUAGGAACUAUAGUAUUGCCUUUUUACUGGCGUCUUCUGAAUGGAAUAGAUAAGUGGUGGUUGACUGUGUUCCUUCAUUGACUGGAUUGAGUGGUCUCUCUUAGAUGACAUAAUUCUGGAAUUUACUCAUUGAUCUAGUUGAUGUUCAUAUUGAAGGUCUAGGCUUCAGAAAAUGGUGUAUCUGCAUAUUCUGGAUACUUGUACGAAGUUACAUAAACAGUAGACAGCAUGUGUGUUUUUUUAUUUGAUUUUAUUACCUAAGGCAGUGACCUGGAUUUUAUCUUUGAAAUUCAGUUCCGGAAAUUGAGCAGGGACUAUCUGAUGCUGCAAAUUCAAAAGUAACUGUUAGUUUUACUCCACAUCUAAUGCCAAUGGUAACUAUUACUCUCAUAUGCUAGAGAUUCCGUAUUUUACAAUUGACUUUUUGCUAAUAGACUAAGCAUUAUUUCACUUUUGUCUUUUAGAGCCGUGGUAUGCAAUCAACUAUCUAUGUGGAACUGGCUCCGGGGGUAGAAGUCAAGGACUUACGCCAACAGUUGAAGUUAUCCUUUGAGGUAUGUACUGGUUAUAUUUUUGUUGUGCUGGUUGUGUACUUAUCUGAUGUGUCUACGACUGAUGUAGGAUAUGAGUGAAUUGAGUGUUUAGGUAAUUUAGCAGAAGCGAAAACAAUGGAAAACAGAUGUCUGCAUCAAUGACCAAAAAAAAUAUGAUGCAACUACAACCAAAAAAAAAUUAUGAUGCAUCUCUGAUGCGCAGAGGGAAUAAAAGCCAAUACAUUGAAGUUUAAAUGCACACCCCACAGAUACACUCAUAUAGUUAAAACUGUUUAGUAGUUUGGUUUAAUAAAUAAAAGUUAUUUACAUACCUGUCAAGCAAGAAUUUUCUUGCAUGGAUUCCCAUAUCAGUGCACAAUUAUUUGCAUUAGUGGAGCUAGACAAUCAUGGCUUAACAAUCUGCCAGAAUUAUGUGUUACUUGGUUCAUAGGAUUCACAGUUCAACUAGUUUUUCUUUUGGCCGAAACAAUGUGUAAACACCCAAUGCUAAAUGGCAAGAUAUUGAGUGCAGGACUCCUGCUUAUGCUGCAUUGAUUAAUAAAACAUAAGUCAGUCAGAUAAAUUACCAGCGUCCCUUAAUCUCCUUGGCAAUGUGGCAGUUGCACUAGGAAGCACAUAUUUCGUGCAAUCAUAUUGCUUGUAUGUUUAUAUCAUGUGUUUUUCUCUACUCUCUUGGGUGAUGGGUGUAAGUAUUGAUUAUUCUUUUCUAUUUCCUUUUAUCUUUUGCAGGAUGAAGACUUUGUGGUUUUGUUGGAUGAAGGAAUUGUCCCUCGCACUCAUAAUACUCGAGGAUCUAAUUAUUGUUUCAUCAAUGUCUUUCCUGAUCGGAUUCCCGGAAGAGCAAUAAUAAUUUCUGUUGUAUGUUCAUGUUCCCCAUCCUUGCAUUUUGAAAAAAAUUGUGCCUCUAUGUAAGUGUGAGCUUAUGUUAUUAUUGGCUGACAGCUAAACUUUCAAUGUUGGUGCAGAUUGAUAAUCUUGUCAAGGGAGCUUCAGGUCAAGCCUUACAGAAUCUUAAUGUGAUGAUGGGGUUCCCAGAAAGCACAGGGCUUCUUUAUCAGCCCUUAUUUCCUUGACAUGUUAAUUAAUCACACAUGAGUAAGCAGGCAAGUCUAGACUAAAACUUUCGUUUUGGCUAUGCAAACCCCAUUUUCUCAUCUAGGAAUUUUUCGAUCCCCACCAUUUUGGUGUUCUAUUGUCCUAGUGGCUCUCUUUUUCAUAAAUGGCACCAACUUUAUAAUAUUUGAUAUCGGGAGAUAGGAAAGCCAAAUUGUUGCUACCCAAAAUGCAUAUCAUGCCAUGUUUCUAAUAGCAUCCAAGGUGUAAGACCACUAUAAAUGACUACCUUGUAUGACAUCUGUAUUCUAUAAUACCAUCACAGGUUCAGCUGGGGUUGUCUUGUCCCAAAGUUAUAAUUUUGGCCUUGAUUUUCAUCUUCCGAUCUCCUGCUUCUCAUGCAAAUUAAGCCAAGAUUAAAUAUUUUUUCCUUUUUUAUUUAUUAUUAUUUAUAAUUAAGUAGUUUUAAAAACCUUCUGUUAUCUGGGUUGAUAACUUACAUUCCGCUGAUUGUGUUGCAGGUAAUUAAGGAGUAGAAAAGCCGUUUGCAGGAGCUGCGUGACUAUAUCUGGGAGUUUACUUUGGUUAUACAAGUUUAGAAAUAUGUUUUACCUGUUGUAUUUAGAGAUUUUGUAUCCUCUUAAAUGCUAGCCUGUUUGAUUUGAUGGCACUUAAUUAUGAAAUAAUUUUACACCUAUGUCUCGGUCUUACUGUUAUGCCACAGAUAGUCCAAUAAAAUUUACCAUGCAAUUUAUCGUGGUAAACUUAAAAAUAAAUGCAUACUUUUAUUAAUUACUCAAAAAUUUGUCGGAUGCUUAUGUUGAAAUUACGAGGACCUACAAGAGGUUUGUAGCUCAAGUAGUUGAUAGCAUUUACCUUUGCAUCUGAGGUCAGUUCCUCCUUUCCUGUAUCAAUUGUGUCAAAAAAAAAAUUUACAAGGACUUAAAAAUCGAACUUUAUGCUCAAACAGCCUUGAUUUGUUUUAAAGGCUAUUCGAACGGUUGUGAUUUUUGUUUUUCAAUUAUACUUUUUGUUGUUUUUUAGUGUUUUUUAGCGAUUGAUGUUAGGGCCUAUAUGCUAUAUGAGUGUGUUAAAGUACUUUGUAGCAUGAUUUGAGAGACUUAUUGGUUUAGGAUAUAGGGUUUUUAUUAGGGCAUAAAUUGUGCCAUCGUGAUGCGAGAAUAGUGCAAAAAGUAUAACUCAUCAUACUUCCGUUCGUUCGAAUGUACGAUUUAAUGAUAUAUAAUUUGUAGCUCAAAUCGCUAAUGAUCCAUACAACCAAAGUUAUGUUUUUAAAAUUAGUGUACAAGCGUAAUGAUAUGAAGGACAAGGUGUAAGAAGCUUAUCGGUAACGAGAGCUCUAUUUAAUUUAGAUCACUAUUAUACCUAAUAUAGGAGUCCAAAUUAUAAAAAUACCCUAUAUGAAAUGGACUUUAUAAAUACACACAAAACUCAUUUACAACAUAACAAAGAGGCUUUUAACUUCUUAUAAAUUACAAAACUGCCAUCAAUUUCUUAAAACAAGCCCAACCCCAAAAUCUCAUAAAAAUACUCAAAACACUCAAUAGGAUAUCAAAGUAAUUUAAUAAUUAAUAUUAAAUUCAAUAAGGCCAGCUGUCAAUUUUUGAGUUUUUUUUGGGUUUGUUUAUAGAAAUUCAAUGGUGUAUGAUUUAUCUAUAAUAUUAGUGCUAAGAAUAGGUGUAUCACUAAAUAUCUCUUAAUUUAAAUUAUUCAAUAAUGCUUCACUUAUAUAUAAUUCUUCAUUUUCUCUCGGUUGAAACUUGAACUAUGUAUUUAUUUUUAAGGUUAUUUAUAACAACGAUCCCUUAACUAUACUCAGAGUCACAUUUUGGUCACUCAACUCAAAUAUUAGUUGCAAAGGUCACUCAAUUGGGUGUUGUGUUGCCCCAUUAGUCCCUACUGUCAAGUCUAUCUAACGAUAAGGACUAAUGGUACAAUACAACACCUAAUUGAGUGACCUCUGUAAUUAUUUUUGGAGUUGAGUGACCAAAAUGUAACUCCGAAUAUAGUUGAGGGAUCAUUGCUACAAAUAAUCCUAACUGAAGAGUCACAUUUGCCCAUCAAUAAUCUAAGAGAUGUUUGUCACGUCAUCAUUUUAAACAGAAAAAGUCACAGACUUGACGAUAGAGACUAAUGGUGCAACACAACACCCAAUUAAGUGACCUUUGCAACUAAUAUUUGAGUUGAGUGACCAAAAUGUAACUUCGAGUGUAGUUGUGGGACCAUUUCUACGAAUAACCCUUAUUUUUAUAAAAUGUGUUUCUCAAACCAAAAAAAAAAAAAAAAGGAUAAAUUACUCAAAUGGUCCUCAAACUUAUACCUGAUUUACAUUUUGGUCCCUCAACUAAAUUAUUCUUUCAAAUGGUCCAUCAACUCUAUAUUAUUCACUCCAGUGGUCCUACCGUCUAAUUUUCUGUUAGAUUUAACCUAAUUUUAGGAUACAUAAUGACCAAUUUGCCCUUAUAUUUAACGAAAAUAUUGACAGAAUGUAACGGUAGGACCAAUGGAGCGAAUAAUAUAGAGUUGAUGGACCAUUGAAACAAAUAAUUUAAAUUGAGGGACUAAAAUGUAAAUCGAGUAUAAAUUUAAGGACCAUUUGAGUAAUUUAUCUAAGAAAAAAUUUAUGGACGGCCCAUUAACUGGCGGCCACGAAGGUACGCUUACAAUAUGGCGGCAGUAGCGGAUCCCAGCUCCAUCCCUUAAACCCUCCUCUCCCUCAUUCUCAAUUUCCCACACCGAAAAUACCGUCUGCGACUCUCCGACAUCGAAGAGUUCCUUCAGUAUCUUAUCCUCCAACAAAUCCAGCCAUGGCGUUUCGACUCAAAGAAAUCAUCACCUAAUUUUUUAUUUUAUUUUCAAUUUUACUGGAAAAGGGCUCGAGCAUUGUAAGCAAUGGCAACUCUUUAUCCUUCUCACUUGUUAUCUGCCUCCCCCAACCUCCAAGCCUCCGCUAAAAUCAACCUUCGGGCUCAUGCUCCUCCUUCUGUUCUUGGGCCCAAGGUGAGCUUCUAAUUUAUAUAUAUUUUUAUUUUUAAAAAUUAUGAUAAUAUAUAUGGGAAUCUUCUUAGAACAUAAUUGAAAUGGGCAUUCUUGAAUCUUAUUGUGUGAAGAUUAAAUUUUCUUGAUUUUGAAUGUUAGGAAACGUGUUUCUGGAAUUGUUUUCAAUCUUAUGUUCAUUUGUGGUAGAAAUUUAUAUGUGCUUUCAACUUUUUAUUGUGUGCUGAUAUGUUUGGUUGAUGGGCAAAACAAAUGCAUAAAAUGGGUCUAGAAUUGUCAGCACAAUCAUAUUGUGAUUUAAAUGAUCACGUUUUAUUUUUUCUGUGGAAAUAAAUUUAGAACCUCACAUCAUCUAAUUUAUCUGAAUUCGGAACCGCUGACUUUGGCAAUGUUAUGUUUUAGUGAGUAACUUUCCCCAUGAAUAUUAAACUAGUUGGCAUGUAGCUUUUGUUCAAUUGGGUUGAGUAGCUUCCUCAGUUAACAACUUUCAUUUUGUUGUUGAAGGGUUUGGCACAGUGUAGUAAACUGCAUGCCUUUGGUCAGAGUGUUAAGCUUUCUGGGUUGCGUCAGAAUUCUCAGCACUAUAUCUCGUGUGCGAUAAAUAUGACUGCAGGACAGUCGGAUGAACCUGGGAAGAUGAAAUUCGAUCACCUGAUUAAUAAAGCAAGAAAAUUGUGGGAAAGCUCUCCACAGCCAGUCAAGAUCUUCCCUUGGAAAAGGGCCGUGCAAAACUUUAUUCAACUCAUCUUUGACCUUAUACUAGCAGUUGUCAAAUACUUAUCUGUACCUUUGUUGGCCGUUUCCUCCCUUAGUGAAAUGUCAUACUGUGCACAUGCGAAGAAGUUGUUUUUAGUUCCUAUUCCAGUCCUCAUUGGAAUGGCUAUUGCGGAAGUCUUAAAACUGGCAGCCUUGGAUGCUUCCCCACUUCUUAAGGUAAAUUAUUUUGCUCAAACCCCUUACUUGUGGCAGAAAGAUUUAAACAAGUACAGAGUUGGGGGUGGGUUUCUUCAGGAAUCUGGUUCUUCUUUGUUUGCUAUUAUCUUGCUCAAAAUGUCGUUAUAAUUUUUUUAUAUUUAAAGACAAUAUUAUGAAAUAAUUGAUGACUGCAACAUACUUUUCUCCAUUUGCCUUUUGUUUUUGUUUUCUGUCUAUUUGUAUUCCGUCCUUUAGAAUUGCUGCACUCCCUGAUUUGAAUUUCUCAUUUUCAGUGUAUCUUAGAGUGUCCUAAAUCUUUUUGUGAGUUCAUUCUAUGGGAACAGUUCUUGCAUAAGUGAAGAAAUGAAAAUUAAACUCAGUUAUUUACCAUUGAAGCUUAUUGUCUGGUUUUAAUUGUCAGGAUGCAGAAGUUCCCUGGCAUCUGAUUGGCAUGGCAAUCUUCUUCACACUGCUCAAAUUGCCAGGUCCAUAUUACCCAUUCUGGGGGAGAAUUUUAAUCCCACACUUGGCUAAUGGGGGGUUGUUAAGGACCUUAUGGUUUGCAUUUUUGUGGUAUAGAAGACCCCAAAGGGUAUUGAGAAUGGCACCGUCACAAAAUUCUGAAAGUGGCAGUCAAUCCGAAGUUGAACCAAAUAAGCUCUAAUUCUUGCAUCCAAACCCGCACCAGGUAUUUGUUAACUUUUUCAGGUUUUCUUUGUUAAGUUUUACGCUGUUCAUCGUAGCCUGUGCCCUACCACUUUAGAGUAGGUAUUAUACAUGCAUCCCCCUUGUUUCCCUGAGGCUUUCGGUUUUCAUUUAGUUAAUAAGAUGAGCUCUUCAUGUAAUAAAUCCAUGUCUCCCUUUGGUCCGUAAGUUUUUCAUGUCACAGACCUGUAUGCUUCUGUUUACUUGAACCUUCUAAGUAGUAAGAUUUAGGGCUUCAUCAAAUAAUUUUAACUCUCCCUUUUGAUAUAGGUGAUCAAUGAGGUGAAAUUUUAUCCAGUGAGGUGAUCAAUGCCAUUGAUUGAGAAAUUACUCAAGGUAAGUGGCAUCAAUUGGGAGCUCAAGGGGUGGUUCUGAAGAUGCCUUUGGUGGCUUGAUAACUGCUACACUCGUUUGCCUAAUUGGACAGCCUUUUUUGCUCUUUAUGUUUCUUUUCUUUGUUGUGGGAGAGGGAGACUUUGCAAGUAUCAGAAUAUUCUUGUUGUUAGGAUAUAGCACUCUAGGAUCUUUAUUACGCAGCCGGCAUCGCACCAUCUCAAAGAAGUGUUGACACUUCAUCUGUAAAUUGUUGAAGCUCUCUGUUCUGAUUGAAUCCACUCAAGUAUUCUUCUGCUUGGGCUACCAACAGAUAAAUGGUAUGAGACCGAUGACUAGAGGAAUUCUUGGUCUUUCAAGUUGUCAAUUUGAGAUAUUUGAUCUUCGGGAAUUCUUUGUAAGCUAAAUGCGAUGUCUAUCGGCAAGGACAUGUUUUCUUGGUUGAAUUUUGAGAAGUAGAUCAGAAUAUUUAUAGCUGAAAUUAGUUCACUUUCAUGCCUAAUUCAAUGAGAGCAUGGCAUCCAUCCACUAUUAAGCUGCAAAAAUAAAUAAAUAAAUAAAUAAAAAUAAAAGCGUUGUAUUUAAUUAAUAUUUUGCCUAAAAUAAAUUGCUCAAAUGGGAAGCAAGCAAGACUUGAUCUUUAACUUUUCUGGCCCAAAAAAAAUAUUCAACAAUUUAGUCUAGAAACGACGUCGUCUGGACUGAUUUCAUAUUUUCAAUCAGAGCCCUAUGUAAUCUGUUAUGCCAAGACUUUUCCUCCUUUCGCUUCCCUCAUAACCUUUUCUGUCUCACUCUCUCUCUCUCUCUCUCUCUCCCCCUCCCCAAUUGGUCUGCGAGUCACUCACCGAGUCAGAGAGCGAUUGCACCAUGAAAGAAGACCAAGACCAACACCAAGAAGCCACCGCCACCGGCGACAGUGCAAAGCGAAAGCUGGAAGACAGCAGUUUCAGCAUCGAACUGGCCAAGCAGAAAGCUCAGGAAAUCGCCGCCCGACUCGUCAGCGACGCCGAGUCAAAGCGCCCUCGACUCGAAGAGGAGCCUUUCCAGCCUAGCCCCGUCUUCAACCCUCCUCCCUACCCUGGUACUCCUUCAUUCUUCCAAUGCUUUGCUCUUUCUAGGGUUUUAGUCUUCUAGUUUUGUUAAUUUAUUACUAUUCGCCUCUACUAUUAAUUGAAAAUUAAAAAAAGGGGAAAUAAUUGUUAACUAUAGCGCAAGAUAUGUGGAGAUUUUGGAUUGUGUGUGAAUGGAAAAAAAAAAAAAGAGUUCUACUUUCAGUCUAGCUCUUUGGUCGUUAAACCUGACUUUAGGUUUAGGGAAUUUAGGUGAUAGUGAGCACUUGGGAUUAAGUAAUGAACUACUCCACCCCUUGGACUGUUUGAGCUUUUGUGGAGCAUCUGGUGCUCAAUCAUGGGUAUCAGUUCCCACGAGUGCUCAAUGUCCUCUUUUUUGUUUGUUUUUUUUUUUAAGGAAAAAGAGAGCCUGUUGCGUGGAUGUCAUACAGUAGUUAAAUAUAAAGAUUAGGGCUAUUUCUUGUAGUGCGUCUGCAUGUUUGAAUCCAAGAUCCUCUCCCAUUGUUUUAGGAGUGUGGUGUUAUAUUUUCAUACAAGCAUCCCCAUUUUUAGAACUGCAUGAGACCUUCGUUUUCUAACUAAAAAGUUGGUUCAGUUUCUUUUACCGCGCAAUCAGGCCAGUCUUAUGGUUCUCCAGGCACAAGCAAGAAAAUAACUAUACCAAACGGGAAGGUACUUUGUUGGUUUCUUGCUGCUCCUCGGACUUUUUUCAUGGCAUAAUGCUGAUGAAAUUGGAUUUGUUUCGGUAAUUACGUCUUUCAGGUUGGGGUAAUUAUUGGAAAAGGAGGAGAAACAAUAAAACAGCUGCAACUUCAGUCAGGGGCCAAAAUCCAGAUAACCAGGGAUUCAGAAGCUGAUCUUAGUUCUCUAACUAGGGAUGUGGACUUGACGGGUACGUUUGAACAGAUCAGUAGGGCAGAACAACUUAUCAGUGAUGUCAUAGCAGAGGUGAAAGCUAUGUUUAUAUUGGUUUGUGCAUUGAUGUUCUUGCUGUUUCAUGAUUCAAAAAGUACCAUUCUCUCUAAAAAUAUUUUUGUUGUACAGGCAGAUGCAGGGGGCUCUGCUCCUCCCUCUACAAAUCAGGGAUUCAACUCAAUCCAACCUGGAACAGAACAGUUUGUCAUGAAAGUUCCCAAUAAUAAGGUAGAUCUGUUGGAUAUUUUUCUUUUUAGAUGAAGCUAAUGCUAAUGUAACAGUGUCAUGCUUGCACUCAUUAUUGUCAUAGGUUGCUUUAAUUAUUGGCAAGGGAGGUGAGACUAUCAGGAAUAUGCAAAGCAAGUCAGGAGCUCGUAUUCAGGUGUGUAUUUUAAGGAGGGCAAAAGUAAUCAUGGGAACUUAUACUAUCUCAUAAUUCCAUUGGUUGGUCACAUGUAUUUUCAAAUAGAAAUUAUAACAACCUUGUCAAAAUAGUAAAAUACAAUUAUGGCACUUGGUUCAUAUUUGCAAUCUUACUGCCUUAAAGUCAACUUGAUUGGUUUGAUGGUUUCAGAGCAUUUAGUUUUUCGGCAUGAAGAGGAUUGGAAAUUAAUAUUGUAUAACUUUAGUAUGGGGGCAGAAAUGGCCAUUGUGUUGGGUUUGCAUCCAUUAGAUUACUAUAGUACUUUUCUCCUUUUUUUAAAAAAGCGAAAAAAAAAAUUACUAUAGUACUCACUUCUCUUGUUAUAGUAACCUUUUUAUUUGAACCAAUCCUGGAAAACACUGUAUUUAUUAUUCGGAAAACUAAACCUAGGUCCGAUUAAAAAAAGCAUGAAAACCGUAGUAAGAAAUAUGUUUAUCCUUUAUAUAUAAGUGCUUUAAAAAAUAAAUAAUUUAACCUAAUGAACAUGAAGUGUGCAUUAUAAAAAUGUGGAUGUUAUGUUUACGUAAUGAUAUUUUAUGCUCAAUAAGAAAUACAAAAUAUUGGAACUAAUUUUAGCAAAAUAACAUAUUCUUUUCAAAAUUUUGAGUUGUUAAAAUUACAUGGUAUGUAACUUCUUAAAUUUUUAUCAUAUAACUUUAUAUGAAAAAUAUAAUUGUUAUGUUAGUAUAGCAACAUAGUAUGUGGUUUAACCUUUAAACUUUGACCCUCUUCCACUUUUUGGUUCAAUGAUCAGUCUGUUAUUUAGAGCAUUGCUUUUUUUCUUUUUAGGUUUAAAUGUUUAUCUACUAUUUUUUAUUCUAAAGCUGUCGAGGACUCAAACCUUUUCUGUGUCAUAUUUGAGAUUAUGUUCCUGAAAUAAAAUUGAUAGCUAGGCAUUUUUAUGGAAUGACAAUUGCCUCACCACAUGGAACAAGUCUUGCAUGCCAUUUGUCUUGUGUGUUCCUACAUCUUAUCUCCAUUAUAUUUAAUACAUUAUUUUGGUUCAGGUUGUACCACUGCACCUUCCUCCUGGUGAUAUGUCAGCUGAGAGAUCAGUAUACAUAAAUGGAGUGACAGAACAAAUUGAGGCAGCCAAGGAAUUGGUCAACGAAGUAAUCAGUGGGGUGAGUCAUCAGUGGUUUGUUGGUCACCUGUUUUUGCAUUCAACCUUUUUUUAUCUUCUUCCUAAAAGUUCAAUUUAAAAAAAAAAGUAUGAUCUUAUGAUAAAGGAUUAGCAUUGCUUUCUACUUACAACAGUUGACCUUUUAAUCUGAUGAACAAAAUCUUGUUCGGGUUAGCAUUAUCAGAUUUUCUUCCAAGUCUUUCUUUGACAAGUUGCUUGAUGGUCAUUCUUUAUCAAUUGUAAUCCUAUACAAUGACCAUCGAGCAACUUGUCAAAGAGGGAGAGGGAGAGAGACAGUGAGCAAGAAAGAGAACGUUAUAUUUUGCUUCAUUAUUGGUUUCAAGUGCAACUAUUUUAUAAGGAUUAUUCAGAAGUUUUCUUUUUAGGGACUGGAAUAGGGUUUUUAGGACUGGUUUUCUUCCUUGAUGUGGUGUAUAGUUUUCUUUAAAAUUGUUCUGAUAGCUAAGGUUGGAGCACUGGUCCUCUUUUCAUCACUUUGUACUCUACCUCCAUUUACUCUAAUUUUUUCUUAUAAUUUUUAUUGAAUGUCAGAAAUUUUGGCCUAAAUUUGAACUCAGUUUCUGGUUAAAUUCUUCUUGUACUGAUCUGUCCAAAUGCAGACAUAAUUGGCAAUUGAAACAUUCAGUUCCCAUUACCCUUCUCAUCAUAUUAUUCCUCUGAAUUACUGGAUUGUUGCUUCUUGGUUAGUUCUAUAUAUUCUGUCCUUGGUUUCACUUCUGCAGAAGCGUUUAGUAAAUACCUCUGGAACCAAUAGCUAUAUGCAGCAGUCUUACGCCCCUCCUGGUAAUUGGGCCCCACCAGGACAAGCUCCAAUUCAGCAACAGCAGCCUCAUUAUGGGUACACACAACCAGGAAGCUAUGCACCUCCUGCCUCGUACUAUGGUAACUAUCCUACCCAGGGAGCAGGUUGGGAUCAGUCAAACCAAGUACCCAGCUCUCAACCACCUCAAGAGAGCAGUGCAUAUAAUUACUAUGGACAACAACCUCCGAUGGGGUCAGCUCCCCCAAAUCCUAGCUACAACUAUAACCAGACACCCCCCGUCGCCAGCCAUGGUUAUGAUCAGGGUUAUGCUCAGCAGCCACCAAGUUAUGGACAAAACAUCUCUAGUCAAGCUCCAGGGUCUGAUCAGCAGCAACAAUAUGCAACUUCAGGAUAUGGGCCACCUGCAGUGCCAUCCAGUGUAGAUGGAAGCGCUUCCUCUCAAAGUACUCAGCCAUCGGCUGCUUAUCCAGUUCCAUACAGCCAGCCACCGGCCAACUCUCAGGCUGGGUACUGGCAACCACAUACUCAAACGGGCUAUUACCAAACAAGUUAUGGAGGGCAGCAGGCAGUCGAAGACCCUUCUGCAGCAUCUCAGUCAGCAGUAUAUGGACAAGGUGGGUAUCCUCAGCCAGACCCUUCCCAUUAUGGCGAAGCAGUGAAUCCUCCUGUCAAUGGAGAGUCACAGCAUCAGCCACAACACCAGUCACAGCCACCGACCAAUGGAUAUGCGGAUCCAUCAGGUUAUGCAGCUGAAAAAACUGGUGAGAGGAAUUCGGAGGAAGACCGCUCAGCCUCUGCAGCGGAAACUGUUGGUUCUGAAAGCUGAUAUUUUAGCUGGUUAAGGAUGUCCUCUCUUACUUAUUUCCUUUCUGUUAUCUUUUUUCAUUUUUGGAAUGAUUUUUCAUAUUGCUCUCACAUACCAUCUGUGUGGUUGCAAAGCAUUAUAUUUCUAGCCGUAAUAUGUAGGAAUAUCUUGUUAGACACCCGUUUAUUAUGUUCAUAUGUGAUGAUUAGCAGUCAACAGCUAGUCCAUGAGUUAUCUUGUUUUUAUGUUUGUUUAACUUCAUAACAUUUGUAGUCCGGAGGUCCAUGAAAUAUUUUAACUGAAUGGCGCCAGAUGAGCUAUGAAGGUAAUUUUGUUGUUUGACAAUAUGUUUGCAGUAAAAAAUUUGCUACAAAUACAUCAAUGGUUGAUGCACAAAGAUGGGAUGCCCACUUUUGAAGAUUUUGUAAGCUGAGACAUACGGUACUGUUUAAGUGCUUUGCUUUGGAAAGACUGGUCCUGCUUCUACGCACAAAUGCACAUCCUUGUUAUUUUGCUUACCUUUAAAUAAGAUUUAAAAUUUUGUAAUUACUUUUCAGAAGGUCCAAGAACUUCUGAAAGUUUGAAAUUAAAAAACGUGGGUUCCUUGUAAAACCUCUAUUAUCCGAAGUUACAUAUCAUGUGAUUUUGCGUUUUUUGUAAUUAUGGAUACAAAUCGGGUGGCUUGGAAAGGCUAAUCACUGCUUAACCCGAAACCUUUUUUUUCGAUUUGGAAAUUUAAGUACAAUCCUGUCGAAUUAGAAACACAAUAAUGUCUAAAUUCACAUUAACAUCGGGUUGAUCCACAUCCUACAGGCGUUAACAAUUACAUAAGGUUUUUUUCUUCUUUCCUUUGACCAUUAAAUGACAAAACCCGGCUUAUAUUUCCUACAAUUCUUUCAAAAACAUGUUUUGUUGAGAGAGAGACAUAGAGAGAGAAGUGGGGAACUUUCUGGAGAAUGAGCACUGAUACAAUUUUCAGCAAACCAUCUGUUACAUUACUUGCGACAAGUACAUAACAGUAGAUAAAUGCCACUAGUAAUUAGUGGCAAAAACAAAUGAACAGAAGCUGCCACUAGAAAAAGGAGAAAAAAAAGAAACACAGGCGGAGGAUGGACUCCAUUGCCAGGAACUUUCAGGCACUGAACCCUCCAUUGCCAGGAAAGGCUAAAAACCCUUGCUCCAAUUUCACAACGGCGGACUUGUGACUGAAGAUAAUAAUUAGUUUCAUAAGCAGGUCUUCUAAAUUCCUGCUUGCACGUCAUCCGCACCAUGACCAGGCAUUCUGCCAACUAUAUUGCAUAAACUAUCUCUCCGCUGCUGUCAAUGUCGAUGUCGGGAUCAGACUCCAGAUCCUCCUCCAUGUUAUCAAUGUCCAGGCUGCCAGCAAGAUACUGGUUGAGGCUGUUCGUCCCAGCCGCAGGUAUUGUAGCCUCAGCAAUUAUCUGCAUGAUCUCAUCAAUGCUUUGCAUGGGUUGAUCAGGCUCUUCAAACUGGCUGUUUGUGGUGUUUUCAACCAUGAGAUCUGCUGGAAGGUUCUUCAAAAACCACUCAUGGUUCCUAAUCUCAGGAAUGGUUAUCCUCUGUCGCACAGAAAAAUAUUCAAUGGAACUCAAAUUAUAACAUUGCUCUUUCUGUCCUUUGAACCCUAAUCAGAUAUGGGGAGCAAGCCAAUGAAAGAAACAACUUGCAAAGCAUAUUUCUAUAUGCAGGAAAGAGAGUAGGCUGCAAACCAGGAAAGAGAAUAGGCUGUAUUCCUGGUUUCUUUCACAAAAUGCAGCCUAUUCUCUUUGCAUUUUGUGAAAUCAGGUUCAGGGAUGCCACAUACAUAGGAAGAGAAUGAGAAGAAUAAGUAAAUGCAAGAUCCUAAUAAAUUCAUGUACUAGAAUCCAGCAAUAAGCAAAUAGGACAUGGAUCAAGGUGGAAUAAGAUACUGGUAUAGGUGCACACGUAUAAUACAAAGAAUAUCACCCACCUUCUCUGGUUCCGCAACAAAAAUCCUUGAGAUUAGAUGGCGGCACUCUGGAGAUAUGUGAACAUAGUCAGGAAUCGAGUACUGGACAUUUGUUAUACGCUGCAAAAAAAAAAGAAAUAAUCUUUCAUUUUAGUUAAGUGUCAUAGCUUCCCUGUUUCAGUAUUGAAUAUGGUGCAAAAAAUUACAUGUAUUGUCUUGCGGAAGUUUUUAGGCUCCCCAGGAUCCUCAAAUGGGUAUGCACCCACCAACAUGACAUAUAAGGUCACCCCACAAGACCAGACAUCUGCAAUCUGAAAGGCAUACCAAAGUGGAGAACUAUUAACAUGACGUAUUCAAUUUAUGUGAAAGCAGAGGAAAGAAUAACCUUUAUCCAUCAUGAAGAAGUACACAGCAUUAAAUCAUGUAUAUGCAGGGAAUGGAGAUCGAACAUUGAUUCGGAACAACCCUUUCUUUCUAAGGGGUGGUGAGUAAUCAAAUUGCCAUAUUUUAGAAUGUGCAUCUAACUAGUGUACUUUUGCUUUCCUGAAGUUGCGUUUGCCUCAGGUUAUCAUCAGUCAACACAAAAGCCCUCAAGAGUACAGUUUGUAAGGUACCAAAAACAAGGAUAAGGCAAGAAGAAAAAAGUAAAGCCUCCCAACAUUUAUGUAUUGUGGUAAUAUCCAACAAUCUUUUCUGGCUCAUCCUUUCAGUUGCAGCUAGUUACCCAUGAUCACAGUGUUUUAAAUUUCUGCCAGAGGAACUCAGAAGUGAACUCUAUAUAUCAUGGUGGAAUUGUUUUGACCUUGCGAGCUGCACUUCGGCCCUACUAGAUUUGGAACUGAUUUAAGGGUGGUUGGAUUACUCAUAAAUUAUUUAGUGACAAUUGAGAUAGAAAUAGGACAGCUUUACAUACUCAUAACUAUAAGAUAAUGGGAGUAUAGUUGCAAGUUAUAAGUUGUAAGAUAAGUUUUUUUUUUCCCAGAAAGUCUUAAGCUAAGUUAAAUAUAUGCAAAUACAGUGACAGAUGAACUUAUAAAGAAUUGAAUAGAGAAAUAACUAAAAGUGCAACAAACAUAAUAAGAUACCAUUAAUCGAGAUUACUUAACAUGUUAGUUAAAAGAAUUAUCCUCUCCAACUUUAAAUAGAUUGAUUCGUACAGAUGAAAAACAUUAUUACCUUGCCAUCAUAUUCUUUCUUAAGUAACACUUCAGGAGCAAUAUAUGCAGGGGUGCCAACGGUUGAUUUUGGUUGUGAAUGCAGCACCGAGGACUGAGAAAAGAGACGGAGCCUAAUUAGAUGGAUAUGAAAAGAAAAAAAAACAAAGAAGGUAAUAGCACACACAGGUUAGCAAUGAAAAAUUAGCUUACACUUCACCAAUAUCACAAAAGUACAAGGGGCAGACAACUUCCUAUGAAGUAUCUACCAGUUAAAGGAAAACACAUGUAUUGCAUUCAAGGAACCAUACUUUUCUAGUGAUUUUCUGGAUACAUUUUUGUUUUAAGUUUAACCACCAGAGAUCUGUCAUAAUUUAGCACCUGACUUCCGUAAAAUGAAGGCAAGGGCACGUGCAGAGAGAGAGAGAGAGAGAGAGAGAGAGUCCUGUACCUUUGAGUAGCCAAAGUCACAUAUUUUUAAACGAGGAGCUGGACUUCCAUCUAACAAUGUGUUCUCCAACUUCAAGUCCCGAUGGCACACUUGCUUCAUGAUGAAAUGCAAAAAUAUAUAUCCAGUCAGAAAUUUAGUAGAUAUCAAAAGAAUCACAAUAGAGAUAGACUGAUUAGUCAGCACACCAUUGCAUGACAGUAACUGACUCCUGAUAUAAGUUGUUGGAAAAAGAAGCGUGCCUGCAACACAAGUACAUUAGAAAUUAGUCGGAAUCACUAUUAGAAACAAAAUUAAUGUAUUGGAUAAGAACCUCAUCCUCGCUGAACCGCCCAGCAUUGCAUAUCCGCUCAAAGAGCUCUCCUCCAGAUGCAUACUCCAUCACAAUAGCCAGAUGAGUAGGGGUUAAUAUUACCUGCAAUCAAUAGUAACAUUACUGAAUCCCAAGGAGGAUUUAAUCAGUGUGAUUAGAUGUCAGAAAUUAACAGACCUCUUUGAAUCGGACAAUGUUUGGGUGCCUCAAUGACCUGUGGUUUAUAAUUUCUCUUUGUACAUUUUCAUCUAUCUGUUAGACAAAAUAUAGAAGUAGGUAAAUCAACAAUGAUAGGAGAGUAUUUGAAUUGAACUACCAAGCACAACAAGGCCUAUUACAAGCCAUACAGGACAAUAGAAAUUUAUCUGGCAUAGAUAAAAAGAUCUUGACCAAUCAGAUGACUUGUCCUACCUACAUCACUAAAAAAUAAGAUUAACUUCAACACACUUAAUAAGAAGAUAACAUGAAAUUGUUAAAAGUCUUUUUAAUAAUUUAACAAUUUACAAAGGAAUGCCAGCAUAACCCAUCCAGGAAAAGUCUUACUGCUUGUGAUCUACUAAUGAAAACCAUUAGUCGGCAGUCCUCAAAUGUCAUCAAUUCUAUCAUGGUCAAAUUCUAUCUGACACAGUUGCAUACUUACUUCCGGCUACAGAUCGAAGUCAGUUACAGAGUUAAAACUCAAAUUUAGUCGAUAGGUUUUUACAAGUUUCUUUCUCAGACAUACUAUUAGUGGUUUUACUAUAUACAUGGUUACAGAAUAGAAAGCCCAUGCUAAUUCUGGAUUCUUUAAACAUCCACGGAUUCUCAUUUUAUCCAUCGGCACCUAACUGAGAAGAAAAAUUCAUUCCAAAAAGGGAUUACAGACCAAAAAACUGGGAAAAUAGAAGAAAACAAACAUUUAGAAAUUUGCAAUCCAUAACAAAGGGAACUACUGGGCCAAUGUAAGGUAAAUUUGCAGUUCAAAUUCAUUGCUUCUUUCUUUUCUCUGGUUUAUUCAGAAGUUUAGCAGAGGGCAGAUGUUUAUCUUCAUCCUCCAUUAGAUUGUCAAGUUCCAGCUUUUUUACAAACAAAAUCCUGAGCAUUUAAGAAUUCAAAUCCAAGAAAAACAACUGUUUCUGUUUUGGACACUUCAGUAGGAAACUUAUUAACCCUCAAGCAACAAAUAAACAAUCAACUUCCGGAAACUCCCAUUCAAAAGACACACAAAGACAAAAAAAAUUUAUGACCCACCAAAAUCAAUUUGAAACGAUCACAAAAGGAAACUUUAAUCGAGCAUAAAACAAAAAACGCAUCAACCUUCACCUAUAAAAAUAAAAUAAAAAAUGUCAAGAAAACAGUGAAUUCCCUCACAUACAGAACAUCAGUCAGACCUCAAAAACUCAUCUAAAAGAAAAAAAGAACAAAAAAGAGUAAAAUUCAGGCACUAACCUUCUCACCUCUCUCUAUAUAUUUCACAGCAACAAGCUCAUCAGUCUGCUUGUCCCUCAUAAGCCUGGCAACCCCGAAAUUUCCCGACCCAAUAUCACGAACGAGCUCGUACCGAUCGCUGUCAUGCAUGAUCGGCAUGUCCAUGCCUGGCCCAACUGUGAGCACAGACCGAUCCAUCUCUCUCCCUCUCCCUAUAUAUACCAACACUCUUUAAAAAGAAAAAAGAAAAAAACCUAAUUAAGUUCCUCCACAAGCUGAGCUUUCUUCCUCCGUUACAUUAUAGAGAGAGACAGAGACAGAAACAAUAGCAAAAUGGCCCAAAACAGUGAUCAAAUCAACCGAGAAGGAGGUUGUGGAGAUGACGUGGCAGGACGUGGACCACUGGAUUGAUGAAAAGCUGGUGGGUGAAGAAAAAGACCGAGAUGGGUUCGAGCCCGUGAAGCUUCACCCACCUCAGAAAUGGGGGGUUUCUCAGAUUUUUGGCCAAAGAAAAAAGCUUUUUCCUUUUUUCUUUUCUGGGUAUUUUAGCACACUGAUUGCAGAGGCGUUACGAUAGAGCUCGUGAACCCAACCAUCCCCUCUCUCUCUCUCUCUCUCUGUGUGCUGUGUAUUCUGUUUGUACAACUGUGUGGUUUUUCUUUUCUUUCAGCUCUUACUCGCUCUUCUCUCUCUCUCAGUCUGAGUGAGAUUGUUUUUUUGUUGGUGUGGAAUUUAUCUGAUACUUUUUUGGGAAAUGAAUUUUUAUGAUAUUUUUAUGAUUUUAUCCGCUCCAGAGUCCAAGACUCGAGAAAUCUUUAGCAGACAGGGCAUACAGAGAGAUCAUAUCUAUUUAUUGUCUCAAAUUCAGUGAACUCAGAACAUGUGCAAUUAUUUAAAGACCCCCUAACCGUAUCAGUACUGUCCACAUGGGGAUAAGCUUUUCUGUUUCUUCUGGUUGAUUUUUCCCACACCUGGAAUGCAAUCAAUGGUAGCAUUUGGGAAGUGUCUCUCAAACCCUGAAAAUUGUUAUAUUGAGAAACAUAAAGAAAGGGAUGGCUUUGUAUGGAUUGGGAACACAAUCCAAUGAUGGUAACAAAUUCAUAUUCAAAUUGAGAGUGACAAAUGUAAGAGUUGUACUUCAAGUAGUUAACAAUAAUUAUCGUUAAAUUUGAAAUUUAAGACUUUGUAUUCGAUUCCAACUUUUUUCAAGAAUAUCUUGUAUAUAUAGAAAAAAAAAUGAAAAAUCUAGUCAAACCAAAGUUCACUUUCAAUGCGAAUUUCCAUUAUAAAAGAGUUAGAUCACAUUCAAUACAAAUUCACAUUGUGGGUGUGCUUAAACUCAUUUUAUUUACAAUGUGAAUUCACAUGGUUUUUGAUGAAGCUAUACUCUAAUAGAAAUAAUAAAUCUUUGAUGUAAGCGUUUUAACAUCAUCUAUUUGUGCAUGAGUGAAUUAGCUUAACCACAUAACUACAAACUCAUUGUCUAUGAAAAUCAUUUUGGAGUAGUAUCUUUCUCAAGUGGAACAGAUACAAAUACUUUUAUAUUUGAGUGGUCCUAUUUUUAUGAUCAAUUACAUUCUCAUUUGCUUUCCUUUGUUGCUAAGCUAUACUUUUUAUAUGUGGAACAAAUGUCUCUGAAGAUAAAUUACUUUCCCAUUUACAUUAAUGCCAGUUCCAUAAUUCCAUUUGCCUAGUUAUCACUUACAUAUAUGGAUCCUAAUGGUUCCUUAGGUUAAGAGGAAGUAAUUUUUGUUAUUAUAAGGUUGAGAAAUAUACAGCAUUGUGUAUGAAUCUUUGACUCCCUCAUCCUUAAUUAAGGAUGAGAGUAGUAGACCAGCUGCAUAUCAUUAAUUUUGAAGGUAAAUUUCAAGGGCUUAAGAAAAGGCCAACCUAAAUCUUGUGCUGCUCCCUGCUCUGUUCAAAUCUUGGAUCUCCUAUAUUUUUAUAAUGGGGUGUGACAGAGAGAGUGGGAGUGGCCAGCAAAAGAAAGGGAACAAUGGUGAGUGAGUUGUUGUUGCCUGACAAGUGGCAAGAAGGUGUGGGCAAUGGGAAGAUAGUCAUCAAAUUAUUAUUAUAUUUUAUUCUCUUGGUCAAGUAAGUGGCAGUUCCUCAUAUUAAACUGCAGCUGGAUACUAAUUUGAUUUUAACUGAGUUACAAGUUUUUCUUCAUAAUAAUGAAUGUUGCAUCAUUUAUUAUAAUUUCAUUUUCCAGUUUGGUUGAAUAUUUAAAUACUUUACUUAUGCUGAUCUUUACCAACCACAAACUGACCUACCAAAUUGCAAGCCUAGCUAGCUGGAAUUAGGUUUUUUUUUUUUUUUUUUUCUUCUAAUGUUGUCUUUCCAAAUAAAUAGCAUGGUUACUAAACAUCACUAGAAAGGAUUCUCAGGAUAAUGCUAUUUCCGUUUCAUGUAAAUAUUUCUUCUCAAUACAGAACAACACGGUAUAGCAAAAAUCUAGAGCAUUAAAUAACAAUUUCUCAGUUGUCUUUAUCAUGCUUGGCUGGGCUCCUUCUUUGUGAUUACAAAGUCCUGAAAUUGAUGCCAAACAGGAUGCGUCACCUACUUCUGUAUUAAGGUGGAAAGUGGUUUCCUCAAGCAUAGGGAAAUUGGUUAAAAGGCACAUUAUCCAUCUUUUAACGAAUAAAAUAUUUUUAUGUGAAGAGCAUGUUUUCUUGAUGACUAGGAACCAAGGAUUCUGAUAGUCCGUUCGGCAAAGCAACUGAUAUCGGCACUAUUUGCAUUUUUGCACAACAAUAACACCCUAUUGUCAUAAGACUUUUGUAUUAUAUAUAUCAAUAUAUCCCUAAUGAAAAGCCCCGAGUUCUAAUCUUAAACUCGUAAGUCUUGUUUGGUGGCUCACAUUCAACUAGAUUGGAAUUGUCUGAGUCAAUUUUUAUGAGUCUUGCUCUUUUAGAUGAGACUUAUAAGAAAUAAUGUGUUGGAUUAUUGUCUAAUUUAAUAAGUACUGUUCUAACAUUUAUAAGUUCACUAAUCAACGGUUAAGACAUUAGUCCAAUUUAAUUAACAUAGUCCAAUACAUGCCAAGUCAUCAAACGAUGUUGUUAGGGACUAGCCAAUAGGGGUUCGGUUUGACCCGAUUUACCCCUUAAAUUGGAAUUAAAAUCGAAAAUUUCACACAGCUUGAUUUGGUUGAAUUUACAUACAAAAGGGAAACUGAACCAAACCAAUUUGUCAAUUUGAGCUAGAAGUGAAGAAGUCAGAGGGAAAGAAAGAGAUGGAGAAGAAAGAAAGGAGGUGUAACAAAGAAAAUGGCUAUGGUGCAUCGAAAAGAAAAAGAAAUAGGCGUAUAGUUGGUAUUUAGGCAUGUUUACUAAUCCGUAAUCGUGUAAGGAGGAAUUGAAUUGAGGAUGAGUUGGAAUCUAGAUUCCCAUUGAAGUUGUUUACUAAACUAUCUGGAAUUGGGGUAUAAAUUAUAUUGAUUCCUUAUAAGUUGUUAACUAAUUCCCUUAAUUGAAACCCGUUUGAUUACUAAAAUGCUCUUGGUUUAAAUAAAUUUUUUUAUAGGCAAAUUCUUAUUGGGUUAAAGUGGAUGGCAAAUUUGGAAUUUAAAAAAUUAUGUGAGGAUAUAAUGGAUAAAAAAGAUGAAUUCAUGCUGAGUUAGUUCUCUAAGAAUUAGAAUACCACAUCCCACCUAAGAAUCCAAUUCCUCCAAAAUCAUUCCUAAUUUUGUGUGGGCCCCACUUGUAUUUUCAUUCCUUUAUAUGAAGUAAACACAACAGUAAUUCAUAAUCGGAAUUUAAAUCCUUAUUUUGAUUCCAAUUACGAAUGAGUAAACAUGUCGAUUAUAAAUUCGGACUAUGAAAUUUGGAUAUUAAUUGGGUUAAAGGAUCUAGAUACUACUUGGGGCUAAUAAUGUGAUUUGGAUAUUAAUUGAGUUUAUUAAUAUAUUCGAAUAUAAAUAAAUAAGUAAAAUAACACAACCGAAUUGGUUCAAUUUGGAUCAAAUUUUUCAAGGCAAAAAAGGGGAUGAGAACCCAUCUAAAACAGUUUGAUUCAGUUUUUGGGCGAAAAUUGACUUUUUUUUAGUCAAUAUGGUUUUUUUCUUGAUUUUUUCAGUUCGGUUCUACUCUGUUCAUCGGUUCAUCGGUUUUUUCGCCCACCCCUACUAGCCAAUGAUAAAAUAAAAGAGAAAUUUAUAAUAAAACUCAUUUCUUACUAAAAGCUAUAAAUUAAAGAAAAAAAAUCCAAAAGAGACCAGUUGAUGUGUGAAAUACUAUUAUUAUCCUUUUAUUAUGAUUUUUAGAAGAAAAAAAACUCAUAUGGUAAUGUUGUAAUUUUGAUAUUUUUCAAAGCAUGUACGAUAUAUUUGGUCUCUUUAAAAAGUCAAUAUGAAUUUUUUCCUAAAAUUUGAGUUAUAUUGUGGGCUGUACUUAUGAACUUACAUUUGAAAAGCCCAAAAAUAAAAUUCACUCAUGAAUUGGCUUGCCUUUUAGAACAACUCCACCCAUUUGCCCUUUGUCAUGGCAAGAGGGGGGACUAGGGCAGCCACUAUUCACGUGAAUAGUGGCUGCCUCUGCAAAAAGCAAUGCUGAGUUUCCACCCGUUGCCAUGGCAAAGGGCAAAUACUAUUCAUUUUUUUUGUUUCUUUCACAAAUUUGUUUACCUAAAUAAUUAAUUUGGAUAAUAUUUUCAGAUAAGAUUUUUGAGUUCGUACGUGUCAAUAUUUAUUAUAAAAUUUAUAUCUCAAUCAGAUAAAAUUUUCGGAUAAGAUAAUAAAUAAAAAUACAAUUUAAAAGUGAAUAAAAUGUUGAGUAAAAAGUGAAUAAUAGUAGAAGUAGAAGAAAAUAUAUGAGGAUUUAGUGUUGAAAGUGAAGAUUAUUGGUAGGCACUAGCGGAUUCAUAAAUUUUUUAGCAGAGGUGCAAUAUUGACUAAGUAUGAUAAAUGAUUUUUUGGAAUAAUCAUUUUCUCAAAAUAACUUUUGGCGGCUUUUAUUCCUUACACAUCAAAUAAGAAAACUUGAUUUUAUGGAAUUUUAUUAUGAAGUAUAUAUUGACUUAAUGAGCCAUCAUUUUUAGCAUAAAUCGUAUUUUGCACUAAAACCGAAUUUUCAUAUUUUGAUUUGGUAGGAAUUUAAUUUUCUAGUAUUUUUAUUUGAAUCCAAAUGGAGGGUACUACCUUAUUUACAUUGUAAACUUAAGUAAAUGAAAUAAUAUAAAAAUAAAUAAAAGUAAAAGGACAAAGACAUUUAUUGUUGGUAGGUAUUUAUAGAAAACAAAUUCUAGAAUUUUUUGGUAUUUUUUUAAAAAAAAUUCAAAUUUUUUUCAUAAUUUUAUAACAAAAAAAAAGCUCAGCCGUUGGAUUAGAGGAGAGCAGUUGAUCGGAGCGCCCAGACGACGACACCUAUCUUCUAGCUGUUGGUGGAGCACAGGGUUGACGUCAGCGUACGCUGACAUCAUCUCCCCCCUCGGACUCGAACUUGAGCGAGAUCUGCCUUCUGGCCAACCCGUCUUCGUGAGUCCCACCUCCAGUCCGGGCAAAAGUGACCCGCUGGAACUGGCUUUUUAACUUGGACCACCCCCAAGCCUCAGGCUUGGGCUCCUCGCUGGAGUUGCUCCUAAGUGAAUCAAGCCCAAGUAGUGGGCUCAAGCCUUCUAUUUCCAAUUCAAUAAUUACAAAAUAAAACCCUCCCAAAAUCAAAAUCCCCAGCUGCGAAAAAACUGAGGGCUGAAGCACAGACAUGCUUCCGAGUAGACCUCCAAAGCUCCCAGUCUCCACUCUCUCUCUAACCCACUCCUCCUUCACCUUCUUCUCCUCCCUCUUCUCCUCAAACCCUAAACCUAAACCCCUCCCUAUGCGCUCUUCUCUUUCCCUCCUCCGCUCCCUCACACUUUCUCUCUCACACCACCACUACCACCCUACCCACCGAUUCCCGAGACCCAUCUCUGGUUUCCCGCUCGCCGUCGCCGCCAAAUCCCGCCGAGUACUCGCCCUUCCCUCUUCCAGUACUUUCGUCGAACACCUUUCGGGCGAGGCCUCGCAGCCAGGGGAGAAUUGGGAUUUGAGCAAUGUUGCGCAGGGCGAGGCUUUCAAUUUAGAUAAGUGCUUUUCUUCAGCCGACUUGAAGCACCUGGCAGUUCCGGAGCUUGAGGUUCCGGAGCUCGAGGACCUCCCGGAGCAGUGGCGAAGGUCGAAGCUGGCUUGGCUUUGUAAGGAACUGCCGGCGCAUAAGGCCGGCACGUUGAGUCGGAUACUCAAUGCGCAGAAAAAGUGGAUGAGGCAAGAAGAUGCCACUUAUGUUGCAGUGCAUUGUAUGCGAAUUCGCGAAAAUGAUGUCGGGUUUAGGGUAAAGUAACUAAAUUUUCAGUCUUUUUGAGUUUUCAUUGUGUUGAUAUUUGCAAUAUGCGUAUUUUGAUGUGUUUAUAGCUUUCUCGUUGUAGAUUGCUGUCACAUUAGUCUUCUGUACUGUUGGUUGAGGAUUGCUUAUCCUCUUGUUAUCAAUAUAACUGUUUCUUUUUUAAAAAAAAAUAAAAAUAAAAAAAUUGCAAUUUGCAUGUUUUGCUUCACUUGGACUGUGAUUUUAGCUCUAUGGAUCCUAGUAAAAUAAAUGAUUCAUUGAUUAUAUAAAUAUAUGUGGACUUAGUUAAGUUUUGUUAAAAUGUCUGUAGGUGUACAAAUGGAUGAUGCAACAACAUUGGUAUCGUUUUGAUUUUGCUCUUGCUACCAAGUUAGCAGAUUACAUGGGUAAAGAGCGAAAAUUCUCAAAGUGUAGGGAUAUAUUUGAUGAUAUAAUUAAUCAGGGGCGUGUGCCUAGUGAAUCUACAUUUCAUAUAUUGGUUGUUGCAUAUCUUAGUGCAUCGGUUCAAGGUUGCUUGGAGGAAGCAUGUGGCAUUUACAAUCGUAUGAUUCAGUUGGGAGGCUACCAGCCCCGGCUUAGCUUGCACAAUUCUCUCUUCAAAGCCCUUGUCAGCAAACCUGGAACCUCUUCGAAACAUUACCUAAAGCAGGCUGAGUUUAUUUUUCAUAAUUUGGUAACAACUGGACUCGAGAUUCACAAGGAUAUUUAUAGUGGCUUAAUCUGGCUACAUAGCUGUCAGGAUACUAUAGAUAAAGAGAGGAUGACAUCAUUAAGGAAAGAAAUGCAACAAGCUGGAAUUGAGGUGGGCAGAGAUGUGCUUGUGUCUAUCUUGAGAGCUUGCUCAAAGGAGGGGGAUGUGGAGGAAGCAGAAAGUACUUGGCUCAAACUUCUCCAGCUUGACGUUGGUCUCCCAUAUCAGGCAUAUGUUUAUAAAAUGGAAGCCUAUUCAAAGGUUGGAGAACCUAGGAGAUCCCUGGAGAUAUUCAGGGAGAUGAAAGAACAGUUGGGUUCAGCCAAUGCUGUGGCAUAUCAUAAAGUCAUAGAGGUCUAUGUAAAGCUCAAGAAGUUGAACUUGCAGAGUCCCUCAUGACCGAUUUCAUUAACACUGUUUUGAGACUUUCAUGCCAUCUUAUUAUUGAUCUUAAUGAACAUGUACUUCAACUUAGGCUCACAUGACAAAUUGGAAUCAGCUUUCUUCCAGUGCCUUGAGAGAUGUCGACCCAGCCGUACGAUUUAUUCUAUAUACUUGGAUUCUUUGGUGAAAGUUGGUAAUCUUGAUAAAGCUGAGGAGAUCUUUGACCAAAUGCAGAGUAAUGGGCCAACUGGUAUUAACUCUCGGUCCUGCAACACCAUAUUAAGCGGAUACCUAUCAUCUGGAGAUUAUGUCAAGGCAGAAAAAAUAUUUGAUCUGAUGUGCCAGAAGAAAUAUGAUGUUGACUCCCCAUUGAUGGAAAAGAUUGACUAUGUCUUGAGCUUGAGCAGAAAAGUAGUUAAGAGACCUGUAAGCCUGAAGCUGAGCAAAGAACAACGAGAAGUUUUAGUAGGUAUGCUGUUGGGUGGUUUGCAGAUUGAGUCAGAUGAAGACAGGAAGAAUCACAUGAUCCGGUUUGAGUUCAGUGAGAAUUCUAGCACACAUUCUCUGUUAAGGAGACAUAUGUAUGAUCAAUACCACGAGUGGCUACAUCCUUCUUGUAAAACCAGUGAGAGUACUGAUGACAUACCAUAUAACUUUUCAACCAUCUCGCAUUCUUAUUUAGGUUUCUACGCGGACCAGUUUUGGCCAAAAGGUAGACAGGUGAUUCCAAAGCUAAUCCAUAGAUGGUUGACACCCUGUGCUCUUGCCUACUGGUAUAUGUAUGGGGGCCACAGGACUUCAUCAGGUGACAUAUUGUUGAAGAUAAAGGGAAAUGAAGAGGGUGUUGAGAAGAUUGUCAGAGCCUUGAAGGCAAAGUCCCUGGAUUGCAAGGUGAAGAGGAAGGGGAGAUAUUUUUGGAUUGGUUUUCUGGGAAGUAAUUCUACGUGGUUCUGGAAAUUAGUAGAACCUUAUAUUCUAGAUGACUUGAAGCAUCUUUUAAAAGGUGGCCAAAUCUCAGAUAACAGCGCGGUUGAAACUGAAAACAUCAACUUUGGUAGUGGGUCUGAUACUGAUGAGAAUGCUUCUGAAUCUGAUCACACUGAUAAUGAUAAUAAUUUGUAGCGCUCUAUAAGGUGGUGUAUUAUUGGCCAUUCUCAGAUUAUUACUGUGUUUAGUAAGCUAGGAGACUUCUCAAUCAAUUCAAGGCUUUCGCUUCUAGAGUUGUACAUACCUUGAUGACAGAAAGUAGAUGAGUCUUGAUAUUUUUGUAAGAUAUUUUUAAUCUAUAAACAAUCUCCUGUUCCUUGUUUCCCUGGAAUAUCUGUUUCUGUCAUCAUGCAGUAUAUGUUUUGACAACUCUUUAGUUUUCCUUUUUCUUUUUUAAUAAAUAAGAAUCAGUAGGAGAUAAACAGAGAUUUUUUUUGUUUUUGUUUUCUUUCUUUGAUUUGAAAUUCAAGCCCAGAGAGGCACAAACAGCUACUACAAAACCCAAAACAGUAGAGACUCAGACCACAACACCAAAACUAAACCUAAGCCCUGGCUCACCCUAACUAAAAAGCUAAAAACAAAACGACAGCCUACCUGACAGAAAUCAAUUGAGAAAUCAGAAAAUCCAAACCCUAAUUCCCAACUGAACUAGUACAACCUGAACCUGUCUGCAGUUUCCAGCAGUAGAAAGAAAAGUGCCCAAAACCAAAAUGAGACAGGGCCAUUUUGAUCAUUUUUUUGGGUAACAUUAAUGAGUGACUUCGGUUUGUUAUUGUAUUCUUUUUUUGGUUAAAGGAUCCAGUUGGAUUCAUAUUGCUCUGCAAGUUGCAGUAUUCUUUGUGGAGAAAUGGAUUUUGCCUCUUUAGCUUGUUUUGGCUUUGUGGCUGGGGGAACUUGGGAAGGCCUGCGCCUACCCAAUUGGACAUUGCCCAAAACCCAACUACAAAGGCAAAGCAGUCCAAAAUUAAGAACAUAGGUUCCGGUGCGACAGUUCCAAGGCCAAAUUUUCUUUUUUCUUUUUAAAUAUUGCAUUUUUUCUCAAUAUUGUUUAAUAAAAUUUUAAGUUGUAGUUUUUAGCUCUAAACAAAAUUAUUUAAAAUAAGGGCCUUGUAGCACACUUGAGUGGUUAGCAUAGUUUAUUUUCGAAUAUGUAUAAAUUGCGAUAAUUAUGUGUAUUUAUAAUCUACCUUCAAAUAGUGCAUGUGAUAAUAAAGUAAAUCCUAGAUUUUUCUCUUUUACCUAUUUUUUUAAUAGUAAAUUUAGGUUUUAGCCAUAAAAAAACUUUCACUUUUGGAAAAAGCCAAAGCUUUUUCAAAAAAGACAGAAAAACCUCUCGACUUUCUAAUCAAAGACAUGCAAAUGUAAAGGAUUCCUUGAGAAAUCCAAAAUUAAAUAAAGGCAAUUUUGUCCAUUUUGACUUCUUUUAAAAAAUUUCUCUCUCCUUUAGGUUUUUCCAAAGUCUCCCUUUUUUAAUUUUAAAAUUUUUGCCAAAUUUUCACCUAAUUUGUUGAGUGCGAAUGGAGUUAACCUAGACUACACACACCACCAAGGUGUGUACAUACUAGAGCGAAGACCUUAGACCCCAGCCAAGCAAGCUGCAAGAUAAAAUUUCAAAUUCCAGAAAUACCCUCCACCCGCCCACACGCUACACCAUUACCCGUUUUGUUCUUUCUCCUUCUUCCUCACAGGUUUCACUUGCAUGAGACUCCAUUUCCCUUCUCUCUCUCCCUCGCCGAAGCAUCUCAACUCCAAUCAUCGCCCAGAUAUUGGCAAAGUUCAGAGCCCAGAAAAAAUGGUUUCGAACUCGGACAUCCUGACCCGGCUCACAGAAAUCCUCAGCACUUCAGACCUCGACACGGCCACCGCCGGCAGCGUUCGCCGUCAACUGGAAAACGAUUUCGGAGUUGAUUUAUCGGACCGGAAAAAGUUUAUCCGGGACCAAAUCGACAUUUUCCUCGAGACCCACAGGGCAGAACCCCAAGACGAAGAAGAAGCAGAGGGGGAGGAGGUCGGUGAAGGGUCGGAGAAUGCAGAAGAAGAAGAAGAUGGAGAUGAAGAAGGAGAGGAAGAGAAUAAAGGCAAAAAUAAAAGGAGAAAAACGUGAGUUAAUUUUUUAAUUUAUUUUUUAACUGCAUUUUUUGUUUUGUUUUAUUAGUGUUUGGUUGCUGGGAAAAUGGGGUUAGUCGGUAGGAAAGAAAUUGAGGUUUUAAGGUAAUGAGGAUACCAGUUGCCCAAUUUGGCCUCCCUUUUUUUCGAGUUUAUUGGGUCCCACAUGAUGAGAAACGCGGCUUCUUUUCCUUUCUUCUUUUCUAUUGAAAUAAAAGCCAAGUCAAUAAUCUUUUGGGAUUUUGGAGUAGUUGCAAGAAGUGAACUUGAUUCCUUUCUAGAUAUUUCCGUCGACUAUGUGCAUCCAAUUGCAGUUUUUAUUGCCUUUUCCUUUCUUUAUCAUAUGGUUGGCUGAAAUUUGUAUUGAAGUUGAUUUCUUUCUUUCUGGUCUUAAACUUUGAUUUCAUAAUCCACAACAUCAUUGCAGUACAUUUCUUAUGUGAACAUAUCAUACUUUGCACUUAGAAAAAACACAUACCUGAAUGAAGAAAUAAUGAAUAUUUUUUCGGUGUUUCUACAUGGAUUGCUCAUUGAAUUAUCAAAUACUGAGGUUUUCAGUGCCGGUAGCAAACUGACAGCAGUCUGUCUUGCUGUCUCAUCUUGAAACUGAAAAGGCUCCUAGAAGUUUAAGAAGAGUAUACAUUUUUAAAGUUUGCAUAUUUAGAUUUAGUUGAGGAGUCAAUGAGAAGUCUCUGUUUAGUGAAGAAUUUGAUAUGGAAGUAUACGAUUGACAGUGAAUUGGAAAUGAUCAGUUCAGAAUCUAUGGCUUCCCUUAAAACAUUCACGCUUAGUUUUCAUUUAAUAGCAGUGACUUUGUAUCUAGAGAUAUGGCCCUUAAAGUCCACCUUACUCAUUGUAAGGAAGUCCUCUUUUUUUAGUAUGCAAUUACUUGUAUGCCUAUAAAUCUGUUUAUCUAUUUAGCUCUUCAUAGUUAAUACUACAUAUUUAGAGCACUAUAUGAAAGGAGUUGAAGCUUAUACUAUGAUUACAUUGACAAGUCAAGGAUAUUGCGCUAUAUGUUGGAGGCUAGUACUUGUACGACUAACGUUCAUUCUCUCCUGUUAUUCUAAGGAGCAUAUAUAUGUUGAGAAAGCUUUGCAUUCAUCUAUAGGCUAAUUGUCUAAUAUGAUUGUGGAAUUUCUCAGAGUAGGCUCAUAUCUCUGAAAUCCAGUUCAGGGACGAUGAUUUCUUUACAUUGUUUCUAGAAGAAUGAAUUUUCUGUGUACUUGUUGUUAAGUUCCAUCUGUGAUUGGUUACUUUUGUCCUCAAUAUAUGAAUGAGUAUGUGAUGUAUGUGGCUCUGUAAAUACGUAUUCGUGCUGGGGCUCUGAGUUUCUGCUAUGCACACUUCUCUAAGUUAUUUUAUAUUGCCAAACAGGGUGGAUAAAGGAGUUGUCAAAAGAGGUGGCUUCAACAAAAUAUGUAGCUUGUCUCCACAGCUUCAAGAAUUUGUUGGAGAGCCUGAAAUGGCCAGGACAGAGGUAUAAUUUAUUAGGUUUAUGCAAUUUUUUAUUGUUUACUUUCAAUGCAUCCUUGUGUUGGAUGGAGAUUACGGAACCAAAAUAUGAUACUUAUUCUCCCUCAUUCAUUUUUAGGUAGUGAAGAGAAUUUGGGCCUAUAUCCGUGAAAAGGAUUUGCAGGACCCAAAAAAUAGGCGGAAUAUAAGAUGUGAUGAAUCACUACAUUCCCUUUUCCGUGUUAACUCUAUUAAUAUGUUUCAAAUGAAUAAAGUUCUCUCCAAGCAUAUAUGGCCGCUUAGCAGAGAAGAUGGUAUGUCUAGAAUUACCUUCCUCAUCCUUCUGAUGGCACUUAUAUGUGAACCGAUUGUCUUUGGUCAUGGUGUUAACUUAUUUAUAUUACCCUUGUACUUACAUGUUGAUUUUCCAUAUACUCAAGAAUGUGCGUAGUGUUGUUUUUUUUCUUUCUACUUGUUACUCUCCGUUUGGUGAGCAUGGUAUAUGCAGCUGCUUGACAUGCAUUUAAACUCCACUAAACUUGAAUGUGCACUCAAUGAAAAUGAAAAUAAAGGACAUUCCUACAAGACGUACGCUAUUUUCUACUGUAAUUCACUGAGGACAGGCAAUAUUACUAAUUGUUUAUUCUCCAGUUUAAGAAUGAUUUUACAUUACGGAGUUGUAUGAAUCAGCUUAUGAUAGGAUGGAACCGUCCACUUAUAGGUUCUCUUGGAUGCUUAUCCAUUUCACUUGUACUUUGCACAUGUGGUUGGUUUUGCUCACUAACAAGAAGGUAUAACAUUUGGUUACAAAGCUUAAUAAAACCAUGAUUUUUUAAAAAUUUGUGCUUUGUUAUUUUUCUUUGGAGCAUGAUUUCAUUUUUUCCUUUCUAAGUUAUUUUGACUUUCUGUAGCUCUGGUAUAAUACUGAUAUCUUGGCUCAUAAACUAUUCUCUUUUUUCAGUAUGUCCAUUAGCAUGGGGAUAUAUGUAAUUUAUUUUACUUUUUUACAACUUCAUCUGCCAACAAAAAAGUCUUCCAAAUAGGAUCGUUGCCGUAUUUCAUGUAAUGGUAUCUUAUAAUUUUAUUUAUCAUUUACCUUUACUAUUGUCACCCUGAAGUUGCAUGUUAUAGUAUUUAUUUGAGAUUUUAACACCGUAGCAUGAUGAAACUCAGAACCUGUAAAGCAAAAGAAGAAAGGGGAAGAAAGUGAUCAUUCUGUCUCUGAAGGAGAUGUAAAUAAUGUAGCACAAGAGGAAGAAGAGGUGGAAGAAGAAGAAGAGGAGGAGGAAGAAAAAGUUAGUAAACAAAAAGAAAGCAAGAAACGAAGGUUACUUUCUUUAAUUUCAUGUCUUAUCCUUUUUUGUGUAGGUUUUUUAUUUUGUUGACCUUGUCAUUGUUUCCAUUAUUUUUUUAGUUCUUCUAUUAUGCAUGUUCAACAUUUGGAAGUUGGAUAUUUUAACUUGAAGUCCUUGUAGAUAUGUAAUUAUGAUUUAUUCGUUAUUGAUUUGCAUAACUAGGCAAAAACGGAUUUCCUGGAAAUUCAAAACUGUAACUUCUAAAUCCGAUCAUUGAAUUCACUUAUUGUCUAUUUACUUUAUCAGAAUAACACCCGUAGAGUUAUUACUUGUGAUAGUUUGAGUUUCUCCUGAUUUCUUCUGCUCCCGCCCAAAAAAGAAAAGAAAAGGAAAGUCCAUUACUGUUUAUUUGUAUAAUGAUAUGUACUGGGUACAUAGUAACCUAUUGGAUAUUCAUAAGACCCUCUAUGGCUGUUAGGGCGAUAUAUACCUGGUUCUGAGGUGGCUGGUGUUUAUUUUUUCUAAUAUAGUGUGUUAUCAAGUAGGGCUGCAAAAGUGGAUAAAGAAGUCAAGAAAAGGGGAGGAGGUGGCUUUACCAAAUUAUGCAGCCUUUCUCCAGAACUUCAAAAGUUCAUGGGAGUGCCAGAAUUGGCCAGAACAGAGGUACUAGUUUUAGAUUUUCAGAAAACCCCUUUCUCCUCGAGGAAAAAGAAAUUAUUUUAUUUUAUUUUUAGCCAGAUGAAAUCGCUUUAAGUAUAAUUUCAAAACUUAUUGUAUACUCAUUCUCAUUUCUUUCCUGAAUUAGGUUGUGAAGAAACUUUGGAGUUAUAUCCGGGAGAACAAUUUGCAAGAUCCAAAUAAUAAACGAGAGAUAAUAUGUGAUGAGUCAUUGCGUGCCCUUUUUGAUGUUGAUUCUAUCAAUAUGUUUCAAAUGAAUAAAGCUCUGUCCAAGCACAUAUUGCCCUUAAAUGGAGAAGGUAUACAUCUUCAAUAAACAUGCAUUAUGUUUCCUACGUACUUAUGAAUUUGAUUGUCAUAAAUCCUGCAGUUUUCAGCACUGAUAAAUCAAAAUGUGUUGUGUAGAAUGGGGAAACUGUUUCUUGGAUGUGAUGCUUUUUGCACAUUUAUUUCUAUACUUCAUGCGUAUGGAUUAUGAUAUAUUGAUAGCUUCACAAGAAAGGGUGAUAGGUCAGCAGGAAGGAAGUAUAUAAUUAUUGUAAUUGCUCUCCAACAUAUGUUGGGUGGAACAUGGUUCCAUAUAUUUCACCUAGAGCUAUAUGCAUUUAGCUUCAUCGUGAACAUGAGUAUUUUGAAAUGUCUCUUUAUCUGCAUAGAGCUGCUUUCAGUUUGUUUAUAUGUCCAGUGAUAAAAGUGAUAAAUUUUCUCAAGGAAGAAUUUUAAUUCGUCAGAAGUGUAUGCGAUGCUAUCUGUGCUAUGCUGUCACAGAAUUUAUACUCUCUUGUUGAAGUUUUGACAAAUAUUUUGGUACCUACUUACAAAUUGUGUUAUAAUCUAGCAGCUCCAGAUAACGCUUCACGAAAGGAUAAGCAGUCUGAACAGGAGCAUGAAGAAGGUGAGAUAUAUCUGUAUAUAUAUAUAUAUAUAUAUAUAUAUAAUAUUCAGGUCUUCAGCUAUCAAACUUUGUUGGUUGCAAAGUUAUUGUAUCUUUAUACCACAUCCUGGUACUGGCAUAAUGUUUCCAAAUAAUAUGCUAAGAAAUGAACCAAGGUGCUUUCAGUUAUGAACUUGCGAGUCUCAGCACCAAUUUCAAUAUUCAGAUUCAGAUGACCCUAAGCAAAAUGAAAACGACUAAAGAAAGAUGGUUCGGUUCUUCUUUCUCUCCUACCACUUUCGGCCCAACAUUGAUUCUGCUGCCUAGUAGUUUUGUGCCUGUCUGCUAAAUGAUGUUGAUCCAACACACUAUUUCAGAGCAGCUUAACUUUUUGCCUACUUCUAUUUCCCAUUAAUGUGUGUCUAAAAUCCAAAUUAUAGUGCCCGGGGAUCAUUCAGGUAAAAUUGGCCCAUUUUCCAGUUACUUGAAGUUCAAUGGGAUAGGCAUACCUUGGGGAAGAUGUUACGUUUGAUGGUAUAAAUACAUUAAUGACUGUUUUCUACUGUGUUGCCAUUGCUUUCGGGUGCCACUAGAUCUUGGUACUAACUGCUUAACUUCACACCUGCUUUUGGCUGUUUUUUCCCCCUGAAGGAUCCCUCUGAUAAGUGGAGAAUGAUGUGUGAUGAUAAGCUAAAAGAAAUUUCCGAGGUCGACCCCUUCAAUGGCUUCUCAGUCCCACAGCGUCUGACCGCUCAUUUCAUCAAGACAGGACAGAAUGAUGCCGAAGUGUAAAUAGUUUUAGCCCAAUUAAAAGAGGGCAUUUUUGCACUAGCCAUUGUCCUUUCCUAAGUUUUGUACUUUUUAUGCUCGUAACAUCUCCAAGAAAUGGAAAUAGAAAUUUUGAGAAACUUGAUCGUGCUACCAAUGCCCCCCACAGUUUUCUUCUGCAUAUGUUUACAGGCUCGCUGUCAUUUUCUUUUCGUCCCCUUUUCAAGGGAUUUGGUGGCCUAGCUUAGCGCAACGUUUUUUUGUUUUGUUCAAAUGCUAAGCAUAAUAAGUUGAAACUGAAGAUUGACAGAAGAGAACUUUAGUCCCUGUUAUUGUCUUGCUGGAGCGCUGUUCAAUCGUUGCAAAACAACUUGUUUUCUGGUGUGCAUGAUACAGUCUUUAGCCAAUGUUCUAUCUUUCUGUGGUUUAAGAAUCAGAUAUCAUAUAUACAUCAAUCCGAAGAGAGAAAUUUGAUCACACUUCAAUCUCAGAGCAUUUUUUGUUCUGAUUUGGUUACCAAUCUGGGCCUCAUUAUCCUUUAUGGACAGACUUCUCUGAUGUGGAACAAUUGUGUUUGAUCUAUUUGAAAUGGCUAAAAGCGGUUUUGAAAACAUUUGGCAUGAAACAUUGAAGUGCUUCUGUAUAAAAGCCUUUUUCUGACCACAUGCUAGGGGUUUUUUCAAGAAGCAUUUGGAAUUGUAGUAGAGAAUUCUGACGUGAUUCUAAUAAAAGCGCUUCUAGCAAAGGUGCUUACGAGUAAAAAUGUUUUCUACUGAAUCUUCGAAAAGGGCUCUAAAUGUUUGGGCCUUCUUGUUCAUCAUUAAACUCCAAAUGGGAUUACAAAACAUGUCCACCAAAAUGUAAUUGGGUUUUGCUCGACCUAGUUAACCCUCUGUUUGUUGGGCUUCUGGGUGGUAGAUGAACAAAAGGUAAAUGUCCCUUGCAAGUCAGUUCCCAAAUAAAAGAAAAAAAAACUCCUUUAUUACAAGGGCAAAAAUUAGAGAUGUAUUUAGUGGCAGCAGCUCUAGAUCUUGAGACCUGUGUCCUCAGAUUGGAGGGUACGAUGCCAUUAUUAUAGGGACAGGGACCAGCGAGCUAACUCAUCUCAUCAUGGAGGAUAAGAAUGCGCAAUCAAUAUAUCCUAGAAAAUGCUUGCAAGGAAGGAAGGUCUCGAGUUCAUGCUCUUUUAAAGUGGUGUCUGUGGUUAUAAAUUGGGCCAAUUAUUCUGUGCGCACAAGUUAUCACCAUAUUUUUGGGUGAAAGACAUGAAAUCUUAUUCAAAUAUUCCAUCUAUUUAUGAAAAUAGUUUUUCUUUUUUAUUAUCAUCGAUACGAACAUUUUACAUAAAUUUUUGCUAAUUGUAUUGAGUUAUUAAAUAUAACACAUGAUACUAAUUAUUCUGUCGCAACUUUGAUCACUUUUAAGGUCACAAUAUGAAAAUAUAUGUUAAAUACAGCACGAAAGGAAUAUGAUAUUUAUACUUAUCUUUUUUUGUGUUGAUAAGAUUACAUGUCUAAAUUUAGUAGAUUUCAGUCGUAGACAAAAGCAUAAUAUCCUUAUUUGCAAGCAAAGCACAAAUCAAACCAUUGAUAUUUGAUGGAAUGGAGAGUUGUGAAAGGCACACUUUGGCCACAUGGGCAUAUGUGGUGUAGAAUUGUAGGAGGAAGAACUAGGAAGAAGAAGAGGGUGAGAAAAUGUGAUUUGAAAAAGAGUAGAGAACAAAAUCCAGAAAAAGAAAACUGGCAAAUGGAAUUAAGGAAGGCGACAAAAGAGAGAAUCUGAUGGGAGGGGGGGUGUGGGGUCCACCAUUAUUCCUUAAUGUUAAAAGCACCGCCGCUCCUAUGCGGCGAUCCGGAUUCCCUACCCAUCAUUUUGCCACGUCAUAAGCCAUGAUCGCCCUCCCGACACUCCCCACGUUUUUUUCACCGUACUGCGUACCACACUCCACCGUAAAAGCUUUCCUUUCAAUUCAAGACUCGAGAUGGGAUCUCCACAAUAUCUCUCUCUACGCAUUAGUGUCUCCUUUUUUUUUUCUUUUUUCUUUUUCUCACUAAAAUAUAGAAAAUUAUAAAUACAAAUAAUUUUAUUGAGCAUUUACUAACUACACAAACUAAGAUGUUACCGACUAUAUUUUAACAUGUGUGAUUUGCAUAUAAUGAUAAUAUAAAAUUAGUAAUUCUUACUUUUUACUAUUGGAAGAGUUUUUUAAUUCGACUGUCUUUUCGUUGUUUAUUAAAACUUAUAUAAUUGAUUUUGGAAGUAAGACAAUCAAAUUAAAACGAACUUUUUUCUAAUAGUUGCAGCCAAAGUUUCUCUUUGUGGUCCAAACUCAUGUAGCUAGCUAGUGACAAUGAACACCAUGAAUUUAUGACUUUGACAAAUGUAGUAUAAUUCCAUCAUGCGCAUGAAGAUAGGAGGUUUAAGCCAACAAAAUAUCAUAAUUAUUUACAGCUCAUUUUGUAGGAUCCAGAUUCUCUGCUAUAAUUUGCUUUACUUUUGUUCUCCAUAUGUCAUCUUAUUAAAAUUUAAUCUAAGGGACUUAAAAAUUGACACAUCAUCCUUGUAACAAAAAUCCAAUUUACUCCUACUUAAAAAAGGAAAAAAAACCCUAAUCCAACUAUCGGCAAAGCUAACGUUAUGUUCUUUUUUCUUUCUUCUUCCUGUCUCACGCCCUCCACGUCUUGUCCUUUUUGUUUUCCCUUCUUCUUGACUAUGCCACAAAAUCUCAUCUCUCACCAACGUCACAAAACAUAUUAACAAUUAUCAAAUACUGAAGGCUUUACCCAGAAAUGAAAAACAAGAAUUUAUUCUUCUUUUUCUUGUUUCUCAUGAAGCUUUAUAAACAUAUUAGAUUUUUAGGUUAAAAAUGAAUAAGUUGGUCAACUAUCUGAAAAAUUACAGAGGGCAUUAGAUUUGGAAGCCUCAUCACAAAUUUGGUUGCUGGAAUUCAGAGAAGGCUACCAUUUCACCAUAAAGUCCAGAAACGCAAAUAUCCCACCACCUACAAUAAUAGUAAUACAAAUUUACAAAAACACUCUCUUAAAACAUGAUUUUUCUUUUGAUAGGGGAAAAAGAAGGGAUUGUGAUUGUAGAGGUUUUGGAGAAAUGAAGGCUUGGUGUGAGAGAUAAGAUUUUGGGGCAGAGACAUGAAGAAUGAAAAAAAAAAAUAACAAGAACAGGACGCAAGACUGUGAUUGAGUAAAAAAAAAAAAAAACAGAUGUGAGAUAGGAAGAAGGAAGAGAAGAAAGAGGACAUGAUGUUAACUUUGCCGUUAGUUGGAUUAUGGGUUUUUUUUUUAUAUAUAUUUUAAAUUAGGAGUAAAUUGGGUUUUUGUUUGAAGGAUGAUGUGUCAAUUUUUAAGUCCCUCAGAUUAAAUUUUAAUGAGGUGGCAUAUGGAGAACAAAAAUAAAGCGAUCAUGGUAGAGAAAAUCAGAGCAGAGGAUCCGGAUUCCAUUUGGUAUGCAAUUAGAUUCAAAACACAAGAGAUAUUAUGUAGGCAUUUGGAAUAAAUAAUUAAGAUAGAUUAUUUGUAAGAAAUAAUGGAAAAUACUAUGGAGAUAACAUGAAGACAUUGUGUUUUAUAUCUCUAUAUAGAUGAAGUUUGCCAAUACAUUGGAUCCGACCUUACACAAAGUGGCCUAUAAACUUGAUAUUCCGAACAUUACUCAGUGAUUAUUCAAUAUGUCCACUACACUAUGUCAGAUUCUAAUGAAAAAUAAGUGAGAUCUACUAUUGCACGUUGGAUCUCACAUGAGACCAAACCUAUAUACAUCAAAAAUUUGCUAUUUAACAAGCUGGACUUUUGAUUUGUUACCCUUAAUUAAACCUACUAAUAUAUCUUUCGAAUGAAACUCUUUCUUGAUUUCUAGAAAGGUAAGAUCGAUGGGAAAAGGGAGAGUGGAAAAAAAUGAUGAUGAUGUAGUUGGAGAGGACUUGAGGGAGGGCCCAAUAAGUGGAAUCCUUGCAAGGACCAAGCAAGAACACAACACACCAAUAAUGCCAUUGAAUACAACUCCUUAAAAGCAGACAAAGACAUACCAAAACCCUAGAUGACAAAAACAGCCUCACAAAAAGUUGCGAGAAGGAAAAAAAAAAAAAAAAAAACUGUAAUUUUUUGGAUAUCUAGCAUUAUUUAAAAAGAUUCUAUCCGUCCUUGACAUGCAAAAGGGGACCCACUUAUUUGCAAAAGAAAAAAAAAAUGGGUGAGGAGAGAGAGGCAAAAGAUACCCUCCCUCAGGAGGAGGUCUCGCAGAAAUUGAAAUGCCAAGAACAAAGCUUGUCAUCACGUGAAAGAUGCUUUUGGGUUUUGAUAAGGAUUGUGUGUGUCUUCUUCGGAAGCAUUUUAAAUUAGGUAUUGUGUUUGUUCUUUUGAUUGACCCAACAAGAAGCUAGUUGCCUUUGUAAGUAUCUUGAAAGUGAGAGGGAAUUGGCUCAUGCACUGAAUCUUGUGGAAAUUUUGAGACGUACAAAUUGGAAGGUGCAAGGUGCAAGAUGCAUAUGCUUUUCCUUAUCUCUAUAUAUAAAAAUGAGUAUAAUCAAUUCAUUCUUUAGAAGAUUCGUUUGUUUUCAAAUCAGAUAAAUUUUUGUAUUUCCUAAUAAUAUGUGUAUAUGUAAUGAUAACCGUACGUAUAUCAAAAUUAUAUACUAUGUCGUCGAUUAUAUGCAGCAUGUCGACAGAGAGCGUUAUGAACACUCAAAUAAAACCAUUUGAAACUCAUAAAGCUACAAAAGGAGUAGAGGAUAUCCAAUUCUCUAGCUCUAAAAUCUUAACACAUACACCACGGCCGGGUAAUAAUCAACGUAAGUUUUUUUAUUUUUUUAUUUUUUAUGAAUCUAUAGGGCUAGAAUUCGGAUGUGGUAAUGAUCAACAUCAUAUUUUCUUUGAAUCUCAUAAUAGAGCUGAAUAUAUUGAAAAUUUAUUAAUGAAAUGUAACCUUUCAUACAAUGAAUAAAUAAAUCAAUAAACAAAUAUGAAGGUCAUGAAAAACUAGACUCUUCAUUAUUUGUGAAUGUCAUUUAUAUUUUACAAAUUGUGCUUACCAGUGGAUGCGACGUGAGUACAUUCGAUGUUAAUUUUUCUAAAAUAUAUGGUAAUCAAAAUUAUGUUUUUUAAAUUAAAGAAUAGAGUAGGUGAUGAUCUACCUACCUGUAUAUAUAAUAAAAUGCAUUAUUUUUAAUUUCUACCGACAAUUUCAUUUUGUUAAAAUUUGUCAACAAGGAAACUCACUAGCUAAUACAUGCUUUUGGGGAGAGUUGAAUUAACAGAACACUAAUUUUUUUCAUUAAAUUAGGCCACCUCCUUAAUUUCACUGCAGCCAACUCAAACUCAAACUCAGAGAUCUUUGUAUUUCUUUUAUACUGAAAAAAAAAAACUAAUUUAUAAAUUAUGUGCUUAUUUUAUUUGUUUAAAUUUAUAUAUUAAUUAUUUGUGAUUCUUCAUGUUGCUUUCUUUGAUGGUAACGUGUGGGAAAAAUAUAUAUAUAUAUAUAUAUAUAUAUAUAUAUUCUGUGUGGUAGAAAAGUACUAAACAGUUGGGUGGUACAGAGAUACCAUUUCUUGGAUUCCAGAUAGUACCAAAAUAAUCUCUUCAAAUCAAAAUUGAGAUGCUUUGCUUUGGCACUCAAAACACAAGUUGGUUGGCUUUCAAGCGGUCAAGCCAAGCUACCUCUCUAUCUCUCUCUAUCUCUCUCUAUCUCUCCUUUUCUCCUUUAUCUCUAUAUUUUUAUAAAGUCUUUAGAGUAAAUUCCAUGCCUUCCCUUUUGUUUAUCUUUUUCUUGAAUGGAUCAAAGACCUGGCUUCAAUUCCAUGCCAUCAUUUGCUUUCAUUAGAAGCAGGAUUGAGAGAAUCUUAUCCCCUUUGACCCAUCAUAAUAAACAAUAUAAAACUAAAUAAGCACACAAAGAAUAGGGUAUAGCUCAAUUGGUUGAGCUCUUUCACCUCCAUUAAUGUGGGUAGAGGUUCGAAACUUCUAGGCACCCAAUGAAUAUCUGUGUACCCGCCCACCCAUCGCUUGUACUAAAAAAAAGGGAAAGACCGCAUUGUGAAAUGACUCAAAUGCCCUUCCACGAGUCACUCAUAAUCUUGCCAUUUUCAUUUGCAUUAAUUAGACUAAGAGAUGGUUAAAAUUCUACCAGAGUGGCUAAUUUUGCACUUGCUGGUAUAACGGAGUCUUGUUAGGUAAGGUGCCAUUUGCUAGGUGCCUUUGGAGAAAUUAUACCAAGGGGGAUGAAUGGAGUUGAUGGGAUGGAAUUACACAUGGGUAAAACCACUCAUGAAAGAUGUUUGCACAUGAUAUCAUCUUCUUCUCCAUUUCUUGUGCUUUGAUUUAAAGAUCACAAUGGCAUGUGAACAAAUUUAGAUUAGGCUUCAGUGUAUAAAUCUUUUGUCAAACUUUCUUUUCACGUCAAAUUCUCGUUUACAACACUUGAACUCGGAAUAUUUUUCAACAAAAUAAUUCAAAUGGUCAAUAUCAAUAACAUGUGAACAUUUAGACUCUCUAAUUAAUUUACAAAUAAUAGAGAACAUGUACAUGCAAAACACAGUGUAGAUGUGCUCAAAAUAGCAAUUAACAUUGACCAAGUAGGUUUUUGUUUAAAUAUGUAAAGCUAGAAUUUGGUAGAUUCACAACAUAUAACAUGGUGUAAUUCUUCCAUUAUAUUGAGGUAUCAUAGCAUUAUGAAAAGAAAUAAAAUAUCAUAUAAUUUUCUUCUUAUUACCCACCAAACUUGUUUUUUCUUUCAACUUAUUGACUCAACUUGAACCAAAACAUAACAUGGGAAAACCAACCAGUUGUUUUGGGGAAAUAAAGAGAUUAUUUAAAUUGUUGAAGAAAUGGUAGAAAUUUUAGGCAUUAGUUGGGUCUUUUCUUAGAACAUCUGAAUAUUUAAUUUUUUUUUAAAGGAAGAAGAUAAAGAUAUGGGAAAAAAUUGGAAAUUUCAAUUACUUUCAUCUUAUUUUUUACUUUGAUGGUUAAGAAAAUUAUAAAUUGGGCGAUUUUUUCAAAACCAAAGUAUCUAACAAAAUGCAAUUGUAUUUCUCCCAUAUGGUCAUAGGUUCAAGUCCCCAUGAUAUCUGUGCGUGUGAGUUUCCCCCCUCCCUCUUAACUUUGGUAUAAUAAAAAUUUACAAUUAUACUGUAUUUUCAUGAAUUAAUUAAUAUAGUGCUACCCUCUUAACUUUGGUAUAAUAAAAAUUUACAAUUAUACUGUAUUUUCAUGAAUUAAUUAAUAUAGUGCUACCGGCCAAAAUAAAUAAUAUAUCUGUUCCUUUGGCCAGUGGAAUUCGUUGACAGAAAUUAAUAUAUUGUUGAGAAAACAACUUUAUAGCCCAUUUGACUCAUAUAUAUCUAGGUUUAAAGAAUAUUAUCAUUAUUUUUAAUAUAUAUAAAAAAAACUUGGUGGGUUGAGAAGAAGCAAUUAAUUAUCAUUCUGGCUUGAGAAAAAUGAAUAUCCUCAAUUUUUUAAAAUAAAAGGGAUGUAGCGAUAGUCUAAACUACAAAGGAGGGGAAUUUCUCAUACACACACAACUAUGAUGUCGUGGGAAUUUGAACCUGAGACCUCUGGUCUAACAAGUCAAGUCUCUUUUUCAUUGGGCAAUACCCCCGUUGGCAUUUUUUUCUUCAAUUUGAAGAGAGAAAACUGAACACAAAAAAUACAUUUUAGUGUAUGUUUUUUUGUUUGUGUGGAUACAGAUGUUAGUGCUUUCUUAUGUAAAUAAAAAGACCUAGAAAAUUUGGAAGGAUGUGAUAGGAAACUAAUGGAAUGGAAUAGACAAAAAGAUUCUUAGAUUACAAGCAUCCGACAAAAACUAAUGGAGAUGCGAGAAAUUGGAGCCGGAUCCAAUCCAAACUUUCUUUAAUAAAUAUAUUAAAACAGAGAAAAUUGAACUUGGUGGAGCAGCUUCAAGAGAAUACUAGAAUUGAGAUAGAUUCUUCAAUUCUAUGGACUAAAGAAAAGAGAUGGGAAUCUAAUGGCUGUAAAAGCCUGUCUUUUUUUUCCUUGAAAAGGGCAUCUUCUUCUCUCUUCCUCCUCCCUCCUCCUGCCAACAUUAACAUAUAUAUUUGUUCCCUACUGAAAUCUCUGGCGAUAUCGAAGUUGGCCCCAACAUUUUUCACAAGAUUCCUUAUCUCUAAGUUUUUAGCCACCUUUGCUGAAUUGAUGGGUCCAUAAACAUCACCCAAUCACAUGUUGUAUAGUCGCUUAAUAAUUGCUCUGGAUUUUGUUGGUUUUCUAAGUGUCAUUAAUCAAUUGAUGCAAACCGGAAUCUAUAGAUUUAUUUUGAUUUUUUCGCUUUUAAUCUUUAGAAGAAAAUGAGGAGAGCUUAAUGUUCAUCAUGUACUCGACUAGUUUUUAGUUUAACGUUAGUUAUCUUCACUUAAUUUCGGUAGAUUUGAAAUAUUUUCUUAAUUCACACUUUAAAUAGGAAUUAAUCCUACUCGAACACGCCAAAUGACUUGUGAACCUUCAAGGGAAGAUGACCUAAAUUUUGGGUUUUGGAAUCCAGAAAAAGGUAUAGAAGAAACAAAUUUGGUGAUCCACCAAGCCGAACCCUAAGGUUUGAAAGUGGGGUGGAUUCCUUUGAAAUUGGGGAAGAAAAAAAAAGCCAACCACUACCCAAUAGCAUAGAAAGCCCUGCCAAUGGUAAACAAACAACUACUAUUUUUUUUAAUUUAUUUUUUUCUACAAAUUAUUAAAUAAUAAAUAGCUGUGAAGGACUGAAGGUCAUAAAAUAUUGUACAUCUGUAGGAAUCUCAAUGGACACAGACUGACUAUAACAUGAAAAUUCCACUUUGGUGGCCCUUCUGUUCCCAUUAAAGAAAUAACACCACUUUGACCUACAAGCCAGGGCUACAAAAAGUGGGUUAUAAUUAGGGCAAAAUUAUAUUCUCCAUUUGACUGAGAAUGGAGAUUGGAUUUGGAGGGUUGAGAUCCAUGCUCAACAACAAAAUUAUAAAAGAGAUGUAAAGCUAUUUCAAUAUAAUUCACUUUGAAAGAACAACAACUUUUAGGUUGUGAGAUUGACCAUUUCAAGACACUUUACCAUAUUAUUUUACUCUAUUUUUACCUGCCAUUGCAGAAAUGUUUAACACACAAAAAAAAAGGAAGAAAAAAAAGAGAGACCAAAUUCUAGAGCAUCUAUUGGGUUCAAAGUUGGUGAUGAGGCCUCAAAUUGGUGGUUGGAUGCUUUUAGGGUUAUGGCUUAGAGUGCAUAUUGACCAUUUCUUUCACCUUUUCUUCAUGAAGGGUUGCUUUAAGAUAAUUGACCCUAAUUGGCCAACUCAAGUAAGCAUGUGGGGAUAUUGAACAAAAUGAAGAUCAAUUUCUUUAUCUGAUUCUCUAGCAUAUAUAUAUAUAUAUAUAUAUAUCUUGUUGCUUUGAAGAAUAAAAGAGGCAUUCAUUCAUGUGAGCUAAAUUGGUCAUUAAAUUAUAGAAUUUGGAUGGCAAGUUGUUUGCUUUAAAACACUUGGGCAAGAUUAGAUCAUGGUGUUUGAAUGUUGCAUGUGAGUGUUGGCUGUUCAACCUCUUUUUCCUUCAUGAGCAUCCUCCUUAUAUAGUGUUCAUCAAUCAAACUAUAUUUUGAUUUCUUUGGGCAGGGCUUUUUCUACAUUUUUCUGCAUUUAAAAAUGACACAAUAUUGAAUUUGAAGUGUGGGAGGAUAUAAGAUAGGAGUUUGAAUAGUAUGUCGAUCUUCAUGGGGCGGCCUAAAAUAUAAUACGUGACCAAAAGGCAAAAACAUCUGGCUCCAACACAAGUGUUUCUUUUUUUAUGUUUAUACUUUCAUUUUGCCAAAUUAUGUUAAUGUAUUGUAUUAGAAUUUUGAAAAAUGUUUAGCUCUAUUCACAUGUAAUGAAGUAAGGAUGCAUGCCUCCAUACACAAUAGAAUAUAAUGGACUCAUACACCUACAACGAGGCUACACGAUUAUCACAUUUAAUUAGGUAUUGAAUUCAUCACAAAUAUAUAUAUCAUUUUCGUCAUCCAUGUCAAUUGAACUUGAAAUCUCCUCCAAUCAAGCGGAGGCAAACACUAUUAGACCCAAUUUGUUUAAUAUAUCUUCAUAUUAAUCUCAUAAUGCUAAACCACCAUUGGAAAGCACAAAAUAUACCUAUUUAAGAUUUGCUUGGCCAACGGGUCGAGUAGAAGAGGAUCUUGAUUUGCAGACCAAUGGUCAUAGGUUCGAACCUUCAUAAUACCGUGUUAGUGUGUAUAUGAGAAACCCUCUUCCCCUUGUAGUCUAGACUAUCGCUUAUAUUAAAUACCUUUUUGGAUAUUAGGUUUUAUACAAAAAUUCAAUUUAGUCACUGAGAAAUUUUUUUAGUCAAAUUGGUCAUUGUGUUUCCCAAAGUUUACAAUUUAUAGACAUUCCGCUAUCUUUCGUCAAGUACAAUUUUUAUUUUUAUUUUUCUAGGAAACACAUUUAGUCUUCCUCUAACUAAAUGAGUUAUGGUAUAUUGUGUUUUUAAGGUUUAAGAAAUUGAAAGAAAUCUUGUGCUGAAAUCGAAAUCGAGACUUCGGAUGGGAAGGAGACGUAAUCAUGAUAUAUAUUGGUAAGUUAUUGAUUUCAUUUUAAUGUGGUUUCGCUUUUUUAUUUUCCUUAUACCCCACAAUUCAAUUUCAACACAAGAUUUUCCCAAAUUUGUUUGAACCCUAAUAGUAAAACAUACCCUAACUUGUUGAGUUAAAGGAAGAAGACUAAAGGUGCUUCCUGAAAUAAUAAAAAUAAAAACUGCACUUAACCGAAACAUAACAAGAUGUCUAUAAAUUAUAAAUUUUGCGAAACACAAUAACCAAUUUGGUUUUUAAAAAAAAUCCCAAUGAUCAAAUUGAAUUUUCGUGUAAAACUGAGUGACCAAAAAAGUAGUUAACCCAAAAAUAAAUAAAAAUUUGGUUGUAAUCUGAUAAUUAUAUGAAACAAUAAAAACAAAUCCAAAAUCCAAAUACUCAUUAAUAAAUAUCUGAAAUUUGAAUGCAACAUGACAUACCUUAUUUGGUUCAUACAUACUCAUCCAAUACAAGGGAAAAAUAGUUUCCACUUCUUCAAAGAAUAUGAAUAUUAUUAUUCUUCUACCACCGUCACUCUCCUUAUCUAUUUAUUUUGUCAAGAUUCUAUAGCAAGAAAUUGAUACGAGUAUUUACUAUUUACUAUUUAUUAGAGAGAAACAAAGUAGACUUUCGAUGCCCGAGCUAACUCACUCAGAAGAGAAAAAAGCCCGAGUUAACUCGGGAAGACAGAAGGGUAGAUAAAAGACGCGACGCCACGAAAGAGACUUUUUUAAAAACCCGUCCAAACUGGGCGAUGCUUUCUCUCCCUCAAGAGAAACUUCUCUUCUUCUUCUUCCUCUCUCUCGACUUAAUAUUCCUUUUUCGAUUUUUAUUUUCCUUUUUAAUUUUCCCACUUUUUCUCUGCCCCCAAACACCCUACUCACUGUAUUAUUUAUAACAUUGUCUAUAUAAAUAGAUCCUCACUAUUUCUGAUUCUCGGUUUUCACCUCUCUGUUUCUCUCUCUCUCUCUCUAUCUCUCUGGUCAAUCACACACAAACACAAAGCAACAAAGCGAUUGCAAACAGAAACCAAAAUACCUGAAGGAUCCAAAUCAUCAAAAAUCUCAAAUGGGUUCGGUUCCUCCUGAACUGAGCUUGGAUUUUAGACCCACUUUUGUGCCUAAAACGAUCAGUGAUUUCCUCAAGGAGGUUUCAAUGAUCGGUAGUGUAUCCGAGAGGUUGUCCAAGCUUGACGAUUUUGUUAAGCGAUUGGAGGAAGAGAUGAGGAAGAUCGACGCCUUCAAGCGCGAGCUUCCUCUUUGCAUGUUUCUCUUGAAUGAUGGUUGGUUUUUGUUUUUCCAUUCCACUAAAACAUUAAAACUUCGAUUUUUAAGUACAUAUUUUCCUUUUUAACUUUUUUUUUUGGGGAAAAGAGGAACCAAUUCUGGAGAUGGGGUUUGGAUUUUUUAUGGUUUUGAUUGAUGGGUAUUCAGUAAAUGAUUAAAUUAGUUCGAUUUGAGAAUUGGGGUUUUUGGUGUUUGUUGGUUUUGGUUAAUGGGUUUUUUUGUGUGCUCGAAAUGGUUAAUGGGUUUCUAGUUUUGAAGAUAUUGAUCAAUGGGUUUUUGUUUCGUUCUAACUCUUUUUCUGGGUUUGCUUUCUUCAUAUUGAUUGCAGCGAUUCUAGCUCUGAAGGAAGAUGCAGUGCAAUGUGCGGCACCAAAUGUUCAACCAGUGUUGGAAGAAUUCAUACCAUUGAAGAAAGAUUGUGAAAAAAACAAUGGAGGAACCAAUAACAAUAAGAAAGAAAAAGACUGUAGGGAUAAGAAGAAUUGGAUGAGCUCUGUCCAGCUUUGGAACACUGAUAAUUAUCAACAUCCCUCUAGUGAUUUCCCAUAUGAUCGAAAGCAAGUUUCUGAAAUUGAUUCUAAGGUAAACAAACAAAACAUCAAAAAAUUUGAAUAAAACUAAACAAAGCAUUGAACUUUAUCUUCUAACUGAGACAAUAAUCUAUGGCAGAGAAAUGAGGCAGAAAAUGGGUUAGCAAAUGAGGAUCCCUUCCAGACAUGUAGAAAUAGGACUGCUGGAAGAGCAUUUAUGCCAUUCAAGACAUACCCUGCUUUCUCUGUCACGGCGGCUAGGAAGGAAGAUAAGGAGGAAUUGCCAGUUCAUGGGCUGUCCUUGCUUACUCCAGGAAUCAAGAAUCCAAAGGAAGAAUCAGCUUCCAGUGGUUCAAGAUCCACUUGUGGCAGGGCAGUCUCCUUCUCUACUGCCAAUGCUCAAUCCAAUAUGCGGACUCCACCGCAGCAGCCAACUAGCCGGAAACAGAGAAGGUGCUGGUCUCCGGAGUUGCAUCGGAGAUUCGUCAAUGCCUUGCAGCAACUUGGAGGUUCACAAGGUUAGAUAUUGGAACUUUUUUUUUCUGGUCAACUGUUAGAUAUUGAAUCUGAAAUUCAGGUUCUAAUGUAAAUUAACAUGUAUGUCUUACUUUCGUGAUUGUGAGAGUCUAGAUUCUAAAACUUAAAUUGGAGUUAGUUCCCAAAUUUGUUUUGUUUGCUCAUUAUUUUGGUUUCAUGGAUUUGAUUCUUUAGAGUUCACAAUGGAAAUGUGGAUUAUUAAAUGUUUGAAUCUGGAAAAGGUGCAAGUAUUGUCAUUUUCCUUCUAUGGCUAGGCUACUUUAAUUUUCAAUGGUUGAACUCCAGAAUAUCUUGUGCUAUUAAUCAAACAUAUGUAUAAGGAUAUUAGUAUGAAUCUGGCAAGUGACAGAAUAUUUGUUGCAUAACAGAUAUUUAUACUCUCUUUAUUUUCCCCCACCAUAUAUAGUGUCUAACUUGAACUUUUUGGAUCUUUUGCAGUGGCCACUCCAAAGCAAAUUAGAGAACUCAUGCAGGUUGAUGGCUUGACCAAUGACGAAGUGAAGAGUCAUUUGCAGGUCGGUUCUAAGUUUCCCUUUCCUUGCUUCUGUUUGAUUAUGUAAAAAAAUUUCAAAGUAACAAAGGAGAAGGCAUUGUGGAAGUCUUCGUCCUUAGAAAGACUGAGAUUGGACUUUCAAACAUUUUUAUUACUUUUGACAUUGCAUGUUGAUGUUGAAAAUUGAGCGAAUUUUCUUGUCAAUGCAGAAAUACCGACUUCACACAAGAAGAGUUCCAGCUGCCACUGCAGCCCCAGACAAUCAAUCUGUAGUUGUUUUGGGGGGCUUGUGGAUGUCCCAAGAUCAAUAUGCUGAUUCUUCAAAAGCUAGUAGUUCCCAAUCUGGCUCACCCCAAGGUCCCCUCCAUUUAACUGGAACUGGUGGAGAUGAUGAAGAUGAUGAAGAUGCAAAAUCUGAAAGUUAUAGCUGGAAAGGUCACAUUCAAAAAUCUGGAAAAAAUGAUGUAUAGAGUUUAUCCACCAUCAAUUUUGCAGAUAUAUUUAUACAUGGGAGGAGCCAAUGAAUAUAAAGAAAAAUAUAAUUACAUUAUACAUAAAAGGAGAAGGAUCUUGAGAGACAGACAGAGCGGCUAUGAAAUUUUGCAGGAUUAGUUUCCCUUCCCCUAUGUCUUGAGUAUGAGUUUUAUUGUCUCAAAAUUGGUAUAAGAAUUUGUUGGUUAGGUCCUCAUGUCCAUGGAAGAAACAAGGCCAUUUUUCCUACAUCAAGCUCAUAGUUCCAUGGAAGUUUUAUUGUUUUAGAUUUGAAGUCUUUCAGAUGGGUUCUUGAGCAUUUCAGGUGGUGGAACAAUUCAAUCAUGAUCUCAUCUUAAAUGGGCCCUGAGGGAUCUGUCUCUCUCAAUCUGUUGAAAACUGACCCUGCAGCUUCGUCGCUUUUUAAUUCUCAGACUGAAGAGAGCUCCUUUGUCUAAAUUAUCUUCAGAGGAAUGAUGGAAGUAUUGGUCAAACUAUGAAAUCCAAGGCGCAGAUGAAAUGUUUGAAAUCCAACAGCAAACAUCAAUUGAACAUUUCAACUGAUGAAAAAUAAAUGUCAAAAUUCUAUGCUUUAUGAUUGUUAAAAACUAGGCACUCGAACCAUCUUGUUUUCAGUUUUGCGUAAUUGUUGUCUGUAUUGUUUCUUUUUGGUCAAAAUUGCUGAAGACUUCCACUAAUCCAAAUAGAAUAAAAAAGUUGUGCAGAAUGGUUUGCUUUUUUUCUUCUUGUUUUCACCCUGGAUUGGACAACUCCAGAUACCAAACCUUUAGGACUUAGCAGAACCGCAUAUCAGCUUUUAUCAGGAGAAUAAGGUGGAACCCUCUAACAGUUAACAUAUUCUAAUGUCCUUGGAGGUAUGCCUUCCUAAGUAGAUGACAACUUCGGUAUUUUCAAGAUUACUAUUGUACUCUUUUGGUCCAUGGCAUUUUGAAACUAUGCUUCUGCUUGACAUUCCUAAGCUCAAAUGAGAUGAUAAUUAAUUACUCCAUCAUAUUAUUUGAAAAAUAGUGGUUAUAGUAAUAAAAAAAAUUGUUUUGCAUUAAUGAAAUUGAGUCUUCAAUUCAAUCCCAUUCUGCCUAUAUUUCUAUUGUUUAAGUUAUCUUUAAUUUGCUUCUAGCCCAGUGGAAAAAGGGCAUUGAUUUGCAUACUAGAGGUCUUAGGUUUGAAUCUCCAUGAUAUCAUAGUUGUGUGUGUGUGUGUAAGUAAUCUCUCACCCUUAGGGCUCGUUUGGUACACAGGACUGUCUUGGCAUGGACUAUGUUUAGGGACUGGUUUGGCUUGGCUUGGCUUGGUCUAAGUUGGAUAACACUUAUCCUGUGUUUGGUGUAUGCUGAGACUAGGACUAGAAUUUUUUUUAUUUUUUCAAAAAUAUCUAUAUAUAUAUGUAUAUAUACAUGUAUAUAAGUAUAUUAUAAUAAUAUUAUAUAUUUUAAAUAAUAUAAACGUACAUACAUAUAUAUAUAAGUGUAUAUAGGUGUAUAUAUGUAUAUUAUAAUAUACAUGGGUAUAAUACAUAUAUUAUAAUAUACAUGGGUAUAAUACAUAUACAUAUAUUUAUAUAUAUGUAUGUAUAAUAUAAUAUAUAAUAUAUAUGGGUAUGUUAUAAUAAUAAUAAUAUACAUGUAUAUAUGUGUUUAUAUAUAUAUGUAUAUGUGUAUAUACAUGUAUAUAUGUACAUCAUAGUAUAUGUGUAUGUAAUAAUAAUAAUAAUAAUAAUAAUAAUAAUAAUAAUAAUAGUAAUAUAUGUUAUUAGUAUUACAAUAUAAUAUAUGCAUCUUAUACAUUGGUGAACAUAGGACUAGCUAAUCCUCCAUUUCUACAUGGGUUUAGUAGUCCCCUCCUAAUGAGGCAUUUUUGGUGGGCCCGAUAUUAGCAAUCUCAUCUAAGACUAGAAUUAAAUGAAACAAACAUGGUACUAAAUUUAGUCCAAGCCAGUCCAAGCCAAGCCUGUGUACCAAACGACCCCUUAUAGUUUAGACUAUCUAUCGCCUAUACUUAGAAAAGAAAUUAUCUUUAACUGUUUUAGCUAGUGCAAUCUUUGUUUUGUCAAGACUAGUAGUCUGCGGUUCGAUCUUCCAUGACACUGUGUUGUGUGUGUGUGUGAAUAAUAUGAUGGACUGAGUCUAAUUUACAUAAGCAUUUGAACAUGAUUUUGUGAACAAUUCUCUAAAAUAAAGCCAUCAAUGCAUUUACUAGGACAGGAGAUAAACAUGCUUGAAAGAGAGCAAUGAUUAAUUUCAAUGUUUUGGCUACCAAUAAUAAAAAAAAUAAGUGUCAAUGUUCAAUUUGGUGGAUGGCAGAUUGGCUGUGUUUUAGCUGUAUUGAACAAGAUGAAAGGACAAGAUCCGGACUUAUCUCCUCUAUUUUCUUGUCAUUAUCUUCAAUCCCUCUGAGAACUGAUGGUUUCUUAUUUUAUGAAAAGUAGACAAGGAAUGAGUUGACAUUAUUCUCCCAAAUUCAGGCCACCUAAUAAGUAUCAGUUUGAGUUCUUAAUUAAGAGAUUUUAACUGUUGUAGGGUAAAGCAAAAAAAUCCAACCAAAAACGAUUAUGACAUUUGUCCUAAUUGCAGACACAAAAAUGGUAAACUCAGAAAUGAUGAAGGGCUCAAAUAUGCAGAAGGCCAAAUCAAUGAAACUCAUGAGCCAACCUAGCCUUUCCUUUUCCAGCAAUUCUGUUUCAGCUACUCAAGACCAUUAAUCUCUUGGACUCAAAAAAAACCUCUAUCUUUUGCUUUUUUUCUUCCCUGGAAUGAUAUGAUAAUGAAUUAAACAAAUAUAUGAUAAGUAUUCCAAAAGAUAUGAUAAUUUGGUCAAUUUCUUUAGAUUCGAACUCUCAUUGCACCUUGACAGUGUAUGCGUGAGAAAACCCUUCUCUCCUUCCUAACCGUGUAAAAAAAAAAGGCCUCUUUAUUAGAAUUAUACUAAAUCCUGCUGAUUCUAUCUUUUAUACCUAACCCUGUCAUAUCCCACUUUAAAGAAAACAUAAUCAGUUGGUAUGUUUAUCUGAGCUGCAUGACAAAACAGUCUCUCUCAGAAGCAAAAUAAUAGAGAGAAUCUUAUAGACAAGAUAUAAUGAAGGGAGCCCAUAUUGAGGGCCCAUUUUGUGGAUGGUAUAAAUGGUUUGUUUGGUGACAGAAGUGAAUGAAAAUGAUGGAGGGUUCUAAUUAAUUUCUCUUGCUAAACAAAGGGUUUAUUUUAUUCUUUUGGUUUUGAGUAAGCUGAUCAGAUUUCAAACCCAAUAGUUAUUCUCUUUCCUCUAUUGGUAGAAUGGAGAUAGAAUAUGAGAAGCAGCUACACACAUUUGAGAAAGUCACAUGGCAGCAGAAGUAAAAUAUAAGUGCUUGGCCCACACCAACAGCAUUCUCAUUAAAGAUUCCGUCAAAGACCAGCCAUAGAUAAUGAUCCCUGCUGAUAGGGAUGACAUAAUUUGGAAUAAUUGACAUGGAAAACACACUCAAUUGGGCAAUUACAGAUAGGGUUUUGGAAAUUUGGUACAAAGGCCAAGCAACUAACUAUUUCCAGGACUUUUCAGGGUCCUAAAUUCUAUCUGAGAUUCCCAUGUGUUGCAUACACCCAAAGGAAACUGUGUUUGAUAAUUCAUGUUGACAAGAUUUGUGCUCUACCAUGACAGAUUUGGCAGAUUUGGCAACUUGACAUAUCAGCUGUGAGUUGCUCAGUUUUUCUAUGAUUCAGGUCUUUCAGAACCAAAUUCACCAUCCACAAAAUAAGAAAAGUGCCUUAAACAAUGCAUAUUUGAGAUUCUCUGACAGUUGUUUGUAUCUGAUUCUCAAUUUACCCCAUGAUUGGUUUAUUCUUAUGAUGUGGCAAUGUUUUAUUUGCUGCAAAUAUUCAAAGUCCAUAGCGGAUCUAGAAAGAAAAUAAAUAAAACGACAAUGUAUCAGUUGGUGUAAUAAGUUGGUGUUUCUAACAUUACUCACUUAUAAAAAAAACAAAAAAAAUUGAUGUCAAAGUUUAUGAAUGGAUUAGCCAAGAAGGGAUUAGAACUUAUUUAACUGCCGCUACUAAGUAUGAUGAGAUUUAAAAUUUGGAAUUUAUAAGACAGGUUUUGUUUGGGGUCAAGUGCCCAAGGAACCAUGCCCAAGAUCUAAGGUAUGAGAUCCAUGUUUCAGGGCUCUUAGGAUAAAUUAGGGUUUAAAUUUCUGAUUUUGGAUUCAAAGCCUAAGUUUUGGGUCAGUAUAAUUUUGAAAUGUUAACUUAUGUUCUAAAUUUAUAAGUUUUAUCUUUUUUUUAAAAUCAAGAGUAUAUAUAAACUUCAUUAAGGCAAUCAAACAGAUACAUAUCAUAUCAGUAAUCGAAUGAGUAAUUGAAUCAGCCUUUCAGCCUAGUCUUCGAGUCUUCCAAGUCUUCUAGCUCUCUAGGCUCUCCUAACCCUAACAAGCUUUCCAGUUUAGUUGUCCAAGCUCUAACUUUAAUAGAACCUUAGGUGCUACAAUUGAUAUUGAGUGAGGAAGAAUCAAAUACAUAAUCUCUAGCCAACGAAGUCUAGCCUAGUGAAAAAAGACAUUGACUUGCAAACAAGAAGUCUCAAGUUCGAAUUACUAUGACAUCUUGGUUAUGUGUGUGCGAGAAACCCCCCCUCACCUGUAGUUUAGACUAUUGCUUGUACUAGAAAACACAUAACCUCUAAUGCAAGGAUCGAUACUCUUGAGAGAUUCUCCAAUAAGUCUCUAAGUUAAGGAUUUGUUACAUAUUUCUAAUUUUGGUCAUCAAAUUGCAUUCAGUAGAUGUGUUGGUAUAUUUAAUAUGCAACAUACAUGUAAUCUAAUGGUCAAGAUUAGAAAUAUGUAACAAAUCCUUAAUAUAAAAUACUUAUUGGAGAAUCUCCUUGAUACUCUUAAAGCUUGUUUGGGACUGGUUCUUUAGAAAGUAUUUUUGCUCAUAAGCGCUUCUAACAAAAGCUUUUUCAUUAUAAAAAUCUUGAAUUUUCAUAAAAAAAUCCUAGUGCUUAUUGAAAAAGCAUGUGGAAGUGCUUCAUGAAGAAGCACAUAGCAAGUGCUUCUCCAUAAAGUGCUUAUAAAAUAUUCUGUUAAACACUAUUAAAAGGUCUUUUAGUUAAUAAAAAGUGCUUACAGUCCUUCCAAAAGCACUCCCAAACAAGUUCCUUAAUCACCUAAAUUAUAAGUCCGUUACUCAUAAUUUUAUCUCAACUCGAGAGACAAUGUAAUUUAUCAACAAAUAAAUAAGAAGUAUAUUGACUAUUUCAUCAUGGACUUGUCUUCUUCACACAGUAGUGGAAAAACCGAUGUUCUUCCUUAGAAAUGGACCAAAUGGAAAGUUGAAGUCAUAAAUUAUGUUCGUUUAACAUCUCAUCGGCCUAAAUGGCUGGCCCUCUAUUGAUCCUGUAAUAAGGCUUUCCUCAACUUUGUGCUUUUGAAUUUAUAUUGGGCUAAAAAAAUCUAUUGGGCCAAAUCUCAAGUGGGUGAAGCAGCAAUAAUAGAGAGCAUAUAAAUAGAUAAUCUAACAAUUUUUUUAUUUUAUACAAAUAAUAUUCUAUUUUAAUCUAAUCUAAAUUACGGAAAAAAGGAGUGUAGAGUGGGGAGCAUAUCCGUACUAGUCAACUUAACUAAGUCUAUAUCGAACAGUUUUUAAAUACACUAUUUUUUUGAAUGGGGACUAGUAACCCAAAAAGCUGAAUUACACUUUUUAAUCCAUGUAGUUUGUGUUAUUUUUCACUCAUCUUUAGUAUCACAAAGACAUCUUUAGUCAUCUCUCUUCAUUAUUAAUCAUGCACAUUUGAUAAAUAAAAAUGUCUCAUCUAAAACUUAUCCAUUAAUGAUGCAUUCAUUGUUUUAGAACUGAAGACAGUUUUUUUACAUGAUUAAAAAUAAGUGCUGCUAUUUCCAUGUACCUGUUUUAUUUCAUCACUCACCUUAUCUUCAAAAUUUAAAAGACAAAUUUACCUGUUAUAAAAUGACUUCUAAAAACUUAAGGAAACAUGUUAAAACUCACUAGCCUCUUCACACGCGUUUACGUGCCUACGAGAGGCUAUUUUUUUUUUUAAAAAAAUUAAUUUGUUUUAGAAUUAAAAAAGAUAAUGAAUAGUUGUGUUCCAUUAAAAUAGGAUCCAUUAUCUGAUUUUCUUUUAAUUUUAACUUCUUUUAAUAUGAAAAAGUGUAAAUUUACCAUAUUAUCCUCAUUUAAUUAAUAAUUUCAAUUCUUAAUGUUUACAUUAACCAAGGACAUUUUCUGCUAUUUUGAAUAUUUUACCAUUCUCUGUCUUUUGCUAUAAAUUUUUUUAUAAAAAGGAUAAAAAAUACAAAAAAGAUUAACCCCACCCCACCCACUGUCUUUUAGCCUCCACCCACCCUCUCGAACCCUCCUCCUUCUCUAUUUCUUAACUCAGACCCCAAGCCCCAGAUUUCUAUAGUCACCCCACAGUGGAAAGAUAUGGGUAUUUUAAGAAUAAUGGUGGGUAGAAAGAUAGGAUUGUGUUUUUUCAAAUUUAUAUGGUGGGUGGAAACUAAGGUAAGUGGAAAAAUAGGAUAGGAGUAGAAAGAGCAACACUCUUAAAAAUAAAAAAAAGUAACAAAAAAAAUAUUAAUAAUUUAAUUAAUAUUCUACAUUGAGUUUAUCAAUUUAUUUAUAACAAAAUUAUCAAUUGGAAGUUAAUUUUCUUUCAACUUCAUGCACACAAUACUUUUGUGUGUGUCAGUGUGUCACCAUGCUAGAAUUGUCUUCCUUUUUAUCUUUUUGAAAAGAAAAAAAUGGAGAGAGAGAGAGAGAGAGAGAGAGAGAGAGAGAGAGAGAGAGGGAGAGAGAGAGGUUGUUAGAAGUGCACUCUCGCUCCCCAAAAUGGUCACAUGAAUCAUAAAUGUAAUUGUAUGACCAAAUUUGUAGGACUAGUUGAGAGAGAAAAAGAGGACACUUGGGCAAAAAGAAAACCUCAAAAUAACCAGUCAAACCCUCAAGCAACGGUCAUGUGUAAGAAAAAUCAGUCCCUACAAAUCCCAGAUUGAAAUACGGAUGCCCCAAUAUCUGGGCGCCAAACAAGGCUUCAAUAUCAAAUUACAGUUACUAAACUUGCAGACAAUAAUCAGAAAAAACCUUAACACUCUAAAAAAAUCAGAAACACAGAGAGAGUGGGUAGAUAGAGAGAGAGAGAGAGAGAGAAUAGAAGAAGAGCAAAAAGGAAAAAAAAAAAAAAUGGCACAACCACAACCACCUGGGGAGAAAACCCAAGAUGCCCCAGAAAUGGAAGUGAAAGAAAACCCAAUAAGCCCAUCCUUCAAAUUCAAUGCACAAGCACCUGAAUUUGUGCCAAGAUCACAUACCCAGAUGCCCAUUUCUGGUUAUUUUUAUCCCUGCUUUCACUUUCUUGGUGAGUCUGCUUCCCCUGAUUGGUUUUACAUUGGGGACCAGGAGUUGCCUCCUUAUUUGAUCUCCAAUAAUCCCAACAUCCCUCUUGCCAAUCGAUCCAAGAAUGCACUCCCAGAUGAUCUUCAGCAGAAGAUCAUCAAACAGGU
rnacentral:lncRNA from 1 species